rnacentral:lncRNA from 1 species
CGCGGGUGGUGCGGGCCGGCUUCCUCGGCUGCUUGGGCGGCGAGGAGCAGGCGGAUUGCGGCCGUGGGGCGGCGAGGUCAUCCUCCCUCCGCUCCAGAUCUGAAGGUCCGGCUCUCCUCUCCCCUAUCUGCUCUCUGCCUCCGCUGGCUUGGUCGAUUUGGGGCCUCUGGCCGCUGGAUCCGGUGCCGGCGGGGUGCACCCCAAACUGGUGCUGUGGGUCGAGCCCGGGGGAACCCCCUCUUUGGUCUUCUCCAGUACGGCGGCGGCGGCGCCUUUUGGCGUCGUUCUACUCCCUGGAGUUGCCGUUGUGGGCUCCUCUCCACACCCCGGCCAAGGCUCCCGGGCGAAAGCUCGAAUCCCUGUUGGAUGGGCAGCGGCGGCGCCAGGUGCGUCGUGCCCUUCUUGGAGGCGCCGCCUAGGGAAGAUUGGCGCUUUGGGGUUGUGUGCAGCAGCUGGUAGGUGGGCGGCUGGUGUCCAUCGAGUCCCUGUGGCUCGGUAGCUCCUUCACUCCGGCAACUCUUCCGGCGGCUUACCCUCUACGAUUGGCCGCCUUCGGUGUCUGCGGUGUUGCUGUUGUGUGUGCUCCGACCUGUGGUCGUGCUCCGUGGCGGGCCCAGUCUCAAGACCAACCUUUGCUCAAGCUCUCGGGUGAGCGUCUCUUCAUUCGACGGUGCGGCGCCUUCGAGCCUAGGCGAGGGGAAGGGAUCCCUUUCGAUGUUAGAGAGGGCAAGUGUUUGGAUCAUCUCAUCUGCUGGUUUCCUCCCUGUGUUCGAUUCCUUGCCGGUGCUCCUCGAGGCUGCACUUGUAGCCAUAUUGGUGCCUUGUUGUAGUGGGGCUUAUCCUCAACUAGCAGUUCUUCAUAGUUCAUCUUCUGUUUGCUGGUUGUUGGAGUAGCGUUGUAAGCUGUUCUUACAGCCCCCUUGUAUCGUUUGGCCGAUGUGGUGUGGUGUUCUUGUUUCUUGUAUUCCUGGCCGGUUGAUGGCUUUGUUAAUUCAAAGCCGGGCUCUUCUUGAGCCUUCGUUCUAAAAAAAAAUCUAACGCGGGGGGUAGGGGGUCGACUGAGACUUCAUAAAAAAUCAGUCGACUGAUUUUUAGCCCUUCGGUUAGUGCUAUACUAUACGUCGAUGAUUGGAUACUUAUUUGUAUAGAACUGGGAGGGUUUGGGGGAGAAGGGAAAGAAGUCAUCGGCUUUCUAUUUAUCGUCGUCCUAGCCGAUGUGACGUGGGCCCGGACCAUUGUUGACUGUGCAUGCGAGCUCGGGCUGGCCUGUCUAUGUGGCUGGCUGCCGACGUGCAGGUGUGUCCAGUACUGAGAUUUUGUCAUGUCUACACAGGGCCAGCCGUCGUGGAGGUCUUGGUAGCCAGGCCCCGUUGCAUGUUUCUAUUUCAGAUUUNNNNNNNNNNNNNNNNNNNNNNNNNNNNNNNNNNNNNNNNNNNNNNNNNNNNNNNNNNNNNNNNNNNNNNNNNNNNNNNNNNNNNNNNNNNNNNNNNNNNNNNNNNNNNNNNNNNNNNNNNNNNNNNNNNNNNNNNNNNNNNNNNNNNNNNNNNNNNNNNNNNNNNNNNNNNNNNNNNNNNNNNNNNNNNNNNNNNNNNNNNNNNNNNNNNNNNNNNNNNNNNNNNNNNNNNNNNNNNNNNNNNNNNNNNNNNNNNNNNNNNNNNNNNNNNNNNNNNNNNNNNNNNNNNNNNNNNNNNNNNNNNNNNNNNNNNNNNNNNNNNNNNNNNNNNNNNNNNNNNNNNNNNNNNNNNNNNNNNNNNNNNNNNNNNNNNNNNNNNNNNNNNNNNNNNNNNNNNNNNNNNNNNNNNNNNNNNNNNNNNNNNNNNNNNNNNNNNNNNNNNNNNNNNNNNNNNNNNNNNNNNNNNNNNNNNNNNNNNNNNNNNNNNNNNNNNNNNNNNNNNNNNNNNNNNNNNNNNNNNNNNNNNNNNNNNNNNNNNNNNNNNNNNNNNNNNNNNNNNNNNNNNNNNNNNNNNNNNNNNNNNNNNNNNNNNNNNNNNNNNNNNGGCCUGCGAGCAAUGGCGGAGGAGGACGUCGUGAGCUCCAAGAGGCACGACUCCGACGAUGACGCGGCGGGAGAAAAAAACCAUUUCGGUGUCGCUGAUGUAGAGGACUGUGGUAGCCGGAGGAAGAGGGGUUGAUGGCAGCAGUAGAUUCAUGGGCAUUCAAUGAGCGUCAGUCGAAACAAAAAAAACAAAAAAGAACUCUAGCCGGCAUUCGGCUCUUUUCCUUUUCUUAAGACUUUUGUUCGUUCGUGUCGUCGAUGACAGACGGUUCGUUGGUUUACAAUUGUCGGUCGAAGCCCGUCGCCGCUGUUUCCACACCUCCGUGGUGGGGGCCGGGGUGGCGGCGGGCUGUGCAUAGUACCAGACUUGGGUCCAGACUUGCAUAGCCUGGGGAAGAGCUUGGAAGAGGAAACAAACCUUUUCGCUCCGUUUCAUCGUUGUUGUUCCGUUUGCAUCGUUUUGCUUCUUCUUGGUUGAACUUUGCACUGCCGGUUUUGUGCUUUGUGGGCGUUGUCUCCUGCCGAUAGCCGCCAUGGAUUUCUGUUUUGCAGGGACUGUUUGCCUCACUUGGGCAAGCGAGAUUCUCACGUGGAUGGAUGAGAUAUGGUGAUGGGAUAUGGGCGCUGCUGGAGGCAAAAUUGUGCUAACUUGGCGAUGAGCUUUGCCACAAUGCCACACCUGCAGCUACAUGACUGAAAUCAGGGUACGCUCUUUGCCACACCAUGGCUCUAAGAUUUACUGCAAGUGCUUAGUAGAGCGGCAUCCAUUUCGAUUAGUUUGAGCCGGAGCGAGCCUCUCAUUCCUUUUCCGUGCAUGUGAUAGCAGUGCAAGUCGGAGAGACGAGACCUUUUCUAAAAUAUGCUCCAACUCUCGUGGCGUUCUACGUAUUAGGGUAUAUUUGGCACUUUGGUUAGAGAACAAGUAGAGUGCAAUGGAUUUAGUGUGUUGGUAUUUAACGCUUGAAAUUGAAUUGGGCGCCACUCGAUUCCUACGAAAAAGAGGAAGGCGAGGCACCUAGCUAGGCGGCGGCGACCCCAAUGAGGCCAUGCCAAGAACAGUGCCGGAGACAAGGGAUGGCGUGGCUGUCUGUAGUGUCGCCGUGGAAGCGAGGCGGAAUGUUGAAAGGUGUUGGUAGAAGGGGGAAGGGGGUGUUCAUACAUGGUGGGCUACCGAGGCGAUAGGGCAGCGCGACACCNNNNNNNNNNUGAGCAUUAUCUAUUACACAAAAGGUAAUCGGACAUUAUCCUUAUUCAUUAUUAACCAACCUCCCAAAUGAUAUGCUUGUGGCCGACGAGAGGUCGCUGACGAGGCAGCCGAGAUCCUCCCAGUCGGUAGAUCUGGUCAUCAUUGUCCACUAGGCAAAGAUCCGAAGUGUCCAUCCCGGGCACGACCGUUGGGGCCGUCCGGUGUGCGGCCACCAUGGAUGCCGAGCAUGUGGACGUCGUGGCCAUCCCACCUAGCGGAGGCGUCGCCAGAUCUGUAGGGAGGCUAUGGUGGAGUGGGUGUGGGGGAAGGAGAGGUAGAGGUGGGGGAUCGCCGUCGGCUGUGGAGAUUGGGAGAGGGGUGGAUUUGAGGUUGAGAGUUAGGUUUAGGGGUCAAAUUUAUAGGGUAGGGGACGCGAUGGGUCAUUCUGGGCCGACAAACUAUUAGCCUCGUGGACACUUGAUAGGCAGGCCAAGAGAGUAUGUCAUUGGUAAAAUGAGUUUAGGUUAAUUAUCUUUGCUCAAAUAAAAAUUAUGGUAUGGUAUGGGUAUGGGAAUAAGGCUUCAUGUCUGGGACUAGACUAAAUCUCAAAUUUAGGUAUCUUUCUAAAACCAUCUGCAAUUUUGUAGGCAUUAAAUGCAUUUCUCUCUAUUUACUCGAUAUAUUUGAAAUUUGAACUACAUGUACCUUAAAAUGGUCACCAAAUUAAAAGCAAAUCAUGUUCAAGCACUUAUGUAACUCAUAGCCUCCUGUCAAAAAAUAAGAAAAUUUUAAAUAUUUCUUUAGAAAAUUCCAUACAAUUACAAGCAUCCUAUAUGUUUUAUUUUCCUAUAAAAUCUAAAUGCGGUUUAAAUACAAUGAGAUUUUGUAUGGGUUCAUCAUAUUAUCUAAUGAGACUGUUAAAAAUCCAUACAUUUUUGUAAUUUUGUAAGCAUACAUUGAUUUAUAAUUCAAGCAUCUCCCAACAAUUGUUUUAGAAUUCGAAGGGGGAGGAGGAAGUAUGUAGUCCACAUCAUGGUUUGUUCAUCAUUUUCACUUGAUUUUGUACUGCAACUAGAUAUUGUGGCAACAUACACUAAUAUACCUGCAUAUGUUCCAUCUUUUUAUGUAAUGAUUUGUCUUUCUUAUUGUUUUGAACACAUCAAAUUAAGGUACCAUGUGGGGUGCCUAACAAAACUAUUGAUUUCAAAUGCCCCAAACUUUUCUACAUGCCAGAUCCGUUAUUUGUUUGUUCAUGUCAAAUAAGCCGAGGACGCUUCAGUCAGUGAGUUUCGUUGCAGUGAUGUAAAGUGCUCAUACUUUAUUAGUACUACUCAAGAAAAUAACAACAAUCCCCGGUCGCCAGUGUUGACGUAUAAUGUGCUGACUAUUCUCUCUCAUCAGGUUAGUCUUUUGGUUGCUUUGGUUAGAGUAUGCACUUCUACAUGGUAUUGAAGCCAAGAGGUUUUGAGAUCAAGACCCGACUGACGCAAUUAAAUUGCAGCACACUUUCGGUCGAUAUUUAGGCCUGAAGGAGCCACACAUGACGAUGGCGAGAUCUAGCUCUGCUUUCAUCGAGACGGCCGCUCAUCCGUCAACGCUCCCCGCGGCGUCUGGAAACGGCAGCAACUAGUAACUGAAGGCGAGCGCAAGGCUGUAAAUGGUACUCUACACUUCACUGUAAAUGGUACUCUACACACGCACACGUUACCGGCAGUGUUUAAUCGCUUAUGAACAUUGCAUUGUUCUCUCUUCGGUUCGUAUAGAAAGAGUAGAAAAGAAAAUAGUGGCACUAUUCAUAUGUCUAGUGUAAAAAGAGCUGAAGAAAAGGAGAUUUGAGUGCGGCGUUUCUGCUCCCGAGCUCAUCUUCUCNNNNNNNNNNCACAUGACGACGGCGAGAUCUAGCGCUGCUUUCAUCGAGACGGCCGCUCAUCCGUCAACGCUCCCCGCGGCGUCUGGAAACGGCAGCAACUAGUAACUGAAGGUGGGCGCAAGGCUGUAGAUGGUACUCUACACUUCACUGUAGAUGGUACUCUACACACGCACACGUUACCGGCAGUGUUUAAUGGCUUAUGAACAUUGCAUUGUUCUCUCUUCGGUUCGUAUAGAAAGAGUAGAAAAGAAAAUAGUGGCACUAUUCAUAUGUCUAGUGUAAAAAGAGCUGAAGAAAAGGAGAUUUGAGUGCGGCGUUUCUGCUCCCGAGCUCAUCUUCUCCCUCCGCCACCCUCCCCCCCCCCCACCCACCCCGAAAAAAAUCAAAACAAAUAAUAAAAAAAUCAGAAAAUUCUAAUUUUUUUUAUGUGCUAGAUAAGUUCAUGUGUAANNNNNNNNNNNNNNNNNNNNNNNNNNNNNNNNNNNNNNNNNNNNNNNNNNNNNNNNNNNNNNNNNNNNNNNNNNNNNNNNNNNNNNNNNNNNNNNNNNNNNAAAAUCAGAAAAUUCUAAAAAAAUUUAUGUGCUAGAUAAGUUCAUGUGUAAGGUGCGCUUCAAAUUUUAACUCAUUUGGACAUCUCAGCAAAAAAGAUAAAUUCAGAUUUUGUAAAAAAAAUUACUGUUCACACACUGUUCUGACCCGAUUUGUGUUUUUUAAUGAGAGCUGCUCAGAUGUCCAAAUAAGUUCAAAUUUGGAGCGAACCUCACGCAUACAAUUGUCUAUCACACAAAAAAAAUUGGACUUUUUAGUAUUUGUUUUGAUUUUUUUUCUGACCAGGUGCAAAUGAGCCUGGGCACCGAAUUGGAUUUUCUAUUUUGUUUUUGCUUUAGUAGCGUAAUAAACAUUGUAAUGAAAUAAUUUACUUUUUGUGAUUUUUUCCUUUUUUUUGUUUCGAUUUGUUCGUGUUAAUGGAUUCCAGUGUUUCGGAUUCACUCUCUACCAACUACCAACGCUCGAUAGCACCUUAAAAGUUGUAUUCUUUUGGAAUAGAAAAACAAGUGAGUUGAUAAGAGAAGUGUUAUACAAAGCAUGGAUGCAUAUGAACCCAUUUUUAUAAUCUUAAAGGAAAAUUACAAUUGUACUUUGCGUCAUUGUAGACACAACGGUGCGCGCGCCAGCUGCACGGCCUUGAACCAUCUCUCUCGCAACAAACGGUGCUCGCAUACGUAGCGUGCUCGUUGGCGCACAACUAAUAUUGCCGAUGUGUUCUCGUCUUGUAAUGAAGAGAAAUUGAUAGAGCACCAUUAUGCGAGACCGGCCAAACCUUGCCAUCAUGCAGACAUUUGGAAGGAUGUUGCAUUGAUAUCUCUACCAACAAGGUGUUCCAAUGUGGAAGUAUCCAUGAGCAAAAGUGAAUCAUCAUUCUUAAUUAACACAUGAUUCACUAUAACCAAGUAGUAUUUAUGAUUGAAAUCUUCUUUUGAAGUAUAUCCAUAUAUGUACUAAUGUUAUGAUCUUAUAUAGAGUACUAGUGACAUUGUUUACAUAUAAAAGGAAAAUUGCCCUUCACUUCACUAAGCGUGAUGAUGUAUAUUUGGGGUAUUUCAUAUGGACAGACGAAAAGUGUUUUUGGGCACUGGCGUGCAUGGAAGCUUGGCUUUAUUAGCUACAACAAAAGGAUCGCCCUUUCUGGUAUGAAUAUGUCAAACAAGUAUCGUAUGCUAUUACAAGUAAGGAUUGAUUUCGUGACUUGGUAGGUAAUUAAAUCCAAAGCACAACAGCCUCUCAAUCGACUGAAUCCAUCCAAAUGGUUACCCGUUCUUCGUUUGUAAGAAAAGGAAAAAUAAUAAUAACCCAGUAUUACAAGCAAAGCUAGCUAGCUCUAAGAGAUACCAACAAUUGAUUCCAUGAAAAGAAUAUGAUGCCUCUUGUUUUGUGAAACAAUAGUAUGCCGCUUUGCUAGCACAUUUUGAUCAUCAAAUCGUCCAAAGUGCGUGCGUGAUCUCGCCGCCCAAGCGGCACCCGUCCCUUGCUCGCCUUUGGCUGCUUGCGUGCCGGGGGCGUUGGCAGAUGAGCGGUGAACGUACCAAGGUGCAUGCACGUCCAUGAUAUCCUCAGGCUGGGUUUAAGCGUCUGCUCGAGUCUAUAGAUGAUGAUGAUGAGUCACUAAAGUUGCGACGAAAUACUUCUGACCACAUCUGCAGACGAGUAGACGUUCAGUGACGCGGUGUGCACGGCAUUGGCCGGCACUCGUGGUGGCCGGCAGCAGAUGGGGGACGACGCUCGCAGCGCCAACGCCAGGUCCCGGCCUGAGUUCUGGAGCCCGGCCAGCCAGCGCUCCUGGAUGCUGACGAUGCGCUGGUCGACGGGGGUGAGAGGGCGGCGCGGUGGUGGGUGAGGCGGAGCCAUCGAAGGAGAGGAGAGGGAGGGACGGUGAGGGAGAGAGGGAGCGAUGGGAACAGUGCGGGCGGGGCGGUGACUGGACAGUGGGGGAGAAUUAUGAGGCGUCCCGUCCGUCUCCCGCGUUGUCCCAGACGUGCAACCCCCUUGCACGCAUUGCCGCGCCGAGCCAGGCUCGCGGGAAACUGCCGAUUCCGCAGUUUCCGCCGGGCCAGGCUGCAGCCUGCUUUAAGGUCCGUGCGGGCCACAAACCGCAUCGAGUCCAGACAACCAAACAGACCUCGCACAUCCCGCGCGGCCCUGGUUGGGCUGUACGCGGGCAACCAAACACCGAAAUCACUAAUUAAGGAGUACUCCUUGCGAAGAUCACUCCAACUUCCAUAGGUUGUGACAAGUGGCGCGCUGCAUGUGCGCCACUUGUCGCAAUCUGAGAGUUUUCCCUUUUUCGUAUAUUUGUUUAUUCAAAAUGUUUUAUCUCUUAAACCGUGCGUCCAAAUCUCGAACCGCUUUCGCCGAUGGAUUCGUCGCGUCGAGAUCUUCAAAACUAGAUCCCAUGUUGAUAGGUUUUGACGAACUUUUUUUUCACAAAAAAACCGGACAAAAAAACCAGAUGAAAACACCGAUCAGGAGCACGGGUUUUUUUCCUUUUCGAAAGAGGCAUGCCCGUGCCUCUGAUCAUCUUCGUGCCCGUAACUCUCGCGAAAGCAUAACCGUGCCUCUCGCGGAAGCAAAACCGUGACUCUUGCGAAAGAAAAAAAAACAAAAACUAUGUUUUUUUUCAUUUCCAAUAGGCACAGUCGUGACUCUUGCGAAAGCAAAACUGUGAUUGUCGCAAAAGGAAAAAAAAUGUGUUUUUUUGCGCAAAGGAAAUGUUAUUUUCGAAAAAAAAAUUGGUCGAAAAACUAGGGAAGACCGGUAGAAAACCAAAACAUCGAAAAAAACCCGUUUCAAAAGCCGAAAACGCGUGCGGAAAAAUUUAAAAACAAAAUCCGGAGAGAGCGCCAGAACACGACACGUGGCGAAUGGUUGAGAGCACGCCAAGGGCACUGAUAGUUGCGAGGCUCCCGAAGGAGCGCUUGUUAAUUAGUUGCUCUCACCAAACACGCCCAUUAUUUCUAUCAAGAUCAGGUGGAUAUAGCGCGCACGGUGAAGCGAUAUCCAUGUGGGAGAGUUCGUUCGUUCUAGCGUCCGUGAACCGGACCAAACUCCUCGCGAAGCAAGGCCAAAGCUGGCUGGUAGCCUUCUUUUCUUCUCAUCGCGCCCUAAGGAAGGAAACGGAGCCGAGGCUGCAUUGCACUUUUGAGGUUGGUGUCGUGGUGCAACCGAGCGGUCAUGUCCAAAAACUUAUGUCUUCAGGCACAAUCUGACAAGCACCGUUGGCGUCGCGAAGCCAGGCAUGCGACAGUGGGAGCGCACUGGCAGUAGCACACAGUGCGCGUCAUGCAGCUUGUAGUCGCCCGCAAAUGUGGUCAAACACAUUUUGUCGCAGCUUCUUAUGGAUAGAUAUAGGCGGCACACCAACAGACUCACCGUGAGAUCAACAUUCAUCUAUAGACAUGAAGCUUACAGCCUAAGGAAGAAAUAAGCCGAGGGCGCUCUAGUCAGUGAGUUUCAGUUACUUGUUGCGGUGCUGCCUGGAAAAGUGCUGCUAUUUUAUUACUACUCCAGAAAAGAACAACAAUCCCCGGUCGUCAGCAAGCAAGCAACUGACGCAAGGCGAGGGAGGAGCGGCCGGCGCCGCGCGGACGGCGAGAUCUCGGCGCUGCUUUUACCGAAACAGCCGCUCAUAUGCCAACGCUCCAGGCAGCGUAGGGAAACGACAGAAACUGUAGUAGUAACCGAAGGCGACGGUGGGCCGUCGCCGCGCAGGAUGGCAAGGCCGGCCGGGGAGCAUUGGCUUUGACCGAAACGGCAAUCGCGUCACUGCGGAUGGUAGACUACAGCCGCAGCUAGGGUUUUUUCCUCUCGGGGCGAUUCUGAUCGCCGCCCUUGAGAUUUUGCCUUCCCUGCCCCCGUACUCCUCCCUGGCCCUCCUCUGGCGAUCGAGAGCUGCUUGUCUCUUCGGUCCUUGGUGGGGCGGGGGAGUGGGAGGUGCCUAGGGUUCCUGCAGAGGCCCGGUUUCAUUGUUGAUCGGGUUAGGGUUCGAGGAGUAAUGGCGUCAGACGGAGCAUCGGGUCGCGGUCAGGACCUACAGAUCCGGAUGAUGUGACGGCACUGAUGAAGGAACUAGGUCUUCGCGAGGAGGAUCUAGAUGACGUGGUGUUUGAUGAAAAAGAAGCACCGGUAGAGGCGGCGCGGUGGAUUGCUCUCGCUAGGGUUCACUCGCCAAAGACCUAUAGCCAAUAUUGGUUUUUCAAAAACAUGAGGGCAGCUUGGGAUCUUGCUCAGGAGGUGCAGUUCAAGCCUUUGGAAGAUAAUCUAUACACGGUGCAGUUCUCUUGCUUGGGGGAUUGGGGGAGAGUCACACGUGAUGGUCCAUGGCACUUUCGAGGGGACGUUGUUAUUAUCAAACCAUAUGAUGGAUUGGCUAAACCAUCAACGGUUUUGCUGGACACAAUUGAGAUUUGGUUGCAGAUCCAUGAUGUACCACCCUUAUACGCGGGCCAAUAGCUCCUGUGCGACGUUUUUGAUGUGAAUUUGCUUGAGUGCGAUGUUGUUCGAGUGAAUGGCUGUGGUGCGACACAUUUGAGCAGGUAAAUAGCCCAGGGCCACAUGCGGUGUUAAAUUUGGUUAAAUUGGUCGUCAAGCAAGCCCGUUUAUGUUAGGACAUGUGGGUCCAACUUAAUUGCUCCUCAAGACAGCUGACCGUGCCCUGCCGCCCGACCGUGCCGGGCCCGCCACUCUGCCCCCUCCCCCCUUCUUCUCCGAUGGCGGCGGAUCUUGCGUUCUCAACGGCGGCGGCGGAGCCCUUGUUCUCAACGGCGGCGGAGCCUUCGUCCUCAAAAAAUGGUGAGUGAGAACACUAGUCCCCCUCCUGUUCCUCUCUCGGCCCCGUAGAUCUCAGCUCGUUUCCUCUGUUUUCACUUGUUGAAUCGAUAGGUUGUGAGGGGAGCCCGUGGGCAUACUGAGAUGGAGCCGCCAGAUUCAACUUCGAAUAGGUAAUGCUCGUCUCUCCGAUCCAAUUUUGCAUGCAAUUAGGGCCUAGUCUGCUCUUUCUCACGGGCUCACACUGUCCGCCACUGACAGAGGGGAUGCUGCCCCUCGGACCUUUGAACUGACGGUCAAUUUCUUUCCAUCAAAGGCAAAAUUAGUUGAUGGUAGCAUUUAGAACAUUGAGAGAGACACAAUUGUUAAAUGGGAGGUUGAGUUUACAGAUAUUGAUCCACAAGUUCUACAGAAUAUGGGAGAGAAGGCAGUGAAGAAAUGGGUGGAAAAAAUUGGGGAGAAUGUUGUUUGGUGGUCCAGAGCAAGAAGUAUCACUGUUGCGGUUUGAUGAUUGGAAAGGAGAGUAUGUGAGAAUGGAAGAUGGUGAACAGAUUAUUGAAGAAAUCGAUCGGCAAAACGGCUAGACAAGCAAACGAGCUAAUAUUUUUGCUGAGCUGGUUGAUCUGAAUAUUUUUUCGAAGGUUGGAUAUGUGCCAUCACAAUUGGCUGCGCAGAUGGUAGAUGAUGAUUGGGCUACACAGAGGCCACUGAUUCCCAUGUGUACUGAACUUACAGUAAUAGCCGAAGAGGGACAAGUGACUGGAACUGAAACUGAAACUACAACAACUGUUGAUUGGAAUGUAGUUGAAUUAGAUGAGCCUACUGAUUUGGUCAUUGCACCAAUGCCUGACAUUGAGAUGGCCAAACUUUUUGGCAUUCCAGUCGAUGACAGAGAUAAGUAGGAGAGGGGAGAAUCUAGUUUGCCUGCUAAUGUUGAUGAAGAUGUAGAUGGACAAUUGAUGGAACAAGCUGCAGAUGAAGUAGAUGAUGCACAUGAUGAUGAGCUGGUGCAUGUGUAUGACAAAGAAAACCCUGUCAUUGAAGUGGCAAGUUGUUCCCAAGCAUGAAGGAGUUUAGGAUGUGUUUCAAGACUUAUGUAGUGAAACAUGAGUUUGAUGCCAAGACUGUUUGGACUGAUAGGAACAAGUUUUAUGCGAGGUGCAGAGGAUUUGAUGGUAGUGUCAAGCCUUGCAAGUGGUACAUAUCUGCUAGACUGCAACCUGAUGGAAGUACUGUCAGGGUUAACCAAAUCCCCAAUCAACAUACUUGUAUUACAAGUUCACAGAGAGUAUCAACCAUGACAUCACAACUUUGGGUUGCAGAAAAGAUCACCCCAAUUUUAGCCAAAACACCAAACACUAUUGCCAAGAAACUCAAAGUAGACUUGGAAAAGAUGUACCCCAUUAAACUGAAAUAUACCACAGUGUGGAAGGCAAAACAAAGGACAAUGAAAAAUUUAUAUGGUGAUUGGGCAAAUACAUUUAGGAUGCUUUACAACUUCAAAGCAGAGGUGGAAAAGAGGUCACCUGAUAGUGUUGUGGAGAUAGAUACAGAGGUAUGAGCCAAAGGUGAAGUCAAGUUCUCCAAGUUUUUUAUGGCUUUGAAGCCUUGCAUAGAUGGCUUCAAAGCAAGGUGUCGUCCAUAUUUGAGCAUAGACUCAUCAUUUUUGAUAGGCAAGUGGAAUGGUCAGUUGGCAGCAUGCAAUGCUCUAGAUGAACACAACUGGAUGUUUCCUAUUGCUGUUGGCUUGUUUCAGUCAGAAACCGAGGCUUCAUGGACAUGGUUCAUGAUCCAGUUGAAAAGAUGCCUAGGGCCAGUGUCACCUUUGGCUAUACACACAGAUGCAUGUAAGGGGCUUGAAAAUUCAGUGAAAAAUGUUUCCCACAUGCUGAGCAGAGGGAGUGCUUCGGUCAUUUGUGGAUGAAUUUGAUCAAAAAAAUUAGAGGAGAAGAAUUUGGGCGCAUGUGGCCAGCAGCAAGAUCUUACACUAGACAGACACACAAAUAUCAUCUUGAUAAGAUAAUGGCAGCAUGUGAUGAGUUUGGUCCAUGGCUGAACACCUACCAUUCUUUGUUAUGGUACAGGUCAGCAUUCAACACUGCCAUCAAGUGUGACCACAUCAACAACAAUUUGGCAGAGAGUUUCAACAACAAGGUGAAGGAGUUAAAAGAUUUGCCUGUGCAUGACAUGGUUGACCAACUCAGGAUCAUGCUCAUGCGGUUAUGGGAAUUGAAAAGAAGGAUAGGUGAUUGUCAGCAAGGUGAUAAGCUUCCAGCAGUGGUACAACAGGUGGUCAAUAGGAGCAGAAGUCUUUCACAUUUGUUUGUUGAAAAAUCUUCACCUUGGGGUGCUGAAGUUAGAGAUAACAAAACUGGAAGGAGACAUGUUGUUAACACUGAAUUUCAUGAUUGCACUUGCCUCGAGUGGCAACACACUGGUAAACCAUGUGAGCAUGCCAUUCUUUUCUUAGCAUCCCAACCGAAGAUAAACAUGCACCCAUAUCUGCAUGAAUAUUAUUCGGUAGCAAGAUUCAAAGUUGCAUAUGCUACUCCAAUUCCAGCCUGAAGUGGAAAUUGAAUUUUCCAUGUGUCCUCCCUUGACGAAAAGAAAGGCUGGCAGGCCUAAACAGAGUAGAUUCAAGGCAUGGUUUGAGAAAGGUGGGAGUAGUAAGAAGGGAAAGAAAGAUGAAAAGCCAAAAAGGGCCCAAAAAGGUAACAAAAACAGAUGCAAGUUGUGCCAGGAACUUGGGCACAGAGUGGGAUCUGUCAAAUGCCGUUACACUCCUGAUAAGCCAAAGUAUGUUCUUGUUUAUUUGUCUGUGUUUUGAUUUGGUGCUUUUUUCCAAUUACUAUAUCUAUAACAUUUUCUGCAUAUGAGGAAGCGAGCAAGUCAGCCCCUUGUUGUUGAACAGUGUUGGCCAACAAAACAAGCAAGAGUCAAUGGCGGUAGAAAAAAGAGAAGUGUGCCUGAGCCUGAGCAAACUGAAGAAAAGCAUGCUGCAGUCAACAUUCAGACUGAAGAAACUGAUGUGGAGGUGCACACUGAAGAAACUGAAUUUGAGCGUGUCGAGGUUCAGACUGAAGAAACUGAACCUGAGCGUGUCGAGGUUCAGACUGAAGAAACCCAUGUUGAGGUACACACCAAAGAAAUUGAAACUGGUGUCAACAUUGAGACUGAAGACACUGAUCACGAGGGUAUUGGCGAGGUGUUGAAAAGACCAGUGAAGAAAACCAAGAUAAUCAGUGAAGUUGUGUGUGUAGUAGAACCAAAAAUAAGAAGGGCUAAGGCGAAGAAGGGCACACGACGUGGUAGGAAGAAGUAGAACAGAGAACAGUUUGAAAAUUUGGGGCAUGUAAUAAUAUUUGUAACUUGGUGCGUACUGGUAGUCACUAUGUAUCCCCAUAUUUCUAUUCGAACUUGUUUGUCUAAACCAGCCAAAUAAAAUUUAAAUUUAAAUUUAAAUUUGGGCUAUUGAUGUUUUAGUGCUAUCUAAAGUACCUCAACUGAAAUAUGUUUGCUUGCUGAUCAUUACGAGCCCUUUUGGUAAGUUGAACUACCCGUUGAACUCAUAGUCAUGAAAAGUGUGUUUCAAAUGACCUCCAAAGGUAGGGUAAACGGCCUCAUAUUUAAGCAAGUUUUUUUGGCACCUUGUCUAAACCAGCCAAAUAAAUUUUCUACACAUCUAUUCUACCUAUAUAGUGUAAAUCUAAAGUCUCACUAUUUAUUGAAUUAAUUUUCUAUUUUUUUCAUUUCUUUUUGAAAAAACAAGCUUUAAUAGAAAAUUAUAUAAAACAAGUUUAAAACAUGAAAAUGAGAAAAGUAAGUUCAGAUCUUUCUUAGUCAAUCCAAAAUGAAGUUUUGGUGAGGUUUUCACACUUUUCAUUUUCAAAACUCCACCUACUCUCGGGUGCCCACUACUCUCUCCCUUGAACUCCAUACUACAUUGUUUGAGGAAUGACAAUUUUGUGAAGGAUUUUUCGUAAAAAUGUAUGUAAACCAUAUUUAUAUUUUUUUCUCAUUACUAUACGACAUAAUAAGACUAUGUGCGCAAGUUUAAUAUUUUUUUUUGAUUUUUUUUGAAUUAGUUAUGCUCAACCCUAAUCAGUCAAAACCUCUCAAAACCCCUCUCAAAACCCCUCAAACCCCCGCACACUACCUGGUCGUCGAUCGUUGUGCGUGGACGGUUGAGAUCAGGCGCUAGGGUUAGCUACAGUGUGCAGCGAUCCGCAUGAGACGCGCUGAUUGGUUGACGCGGUGGGGUUUGGAUCAGCCUCUCUCGUUGGAGCAUCAGGACCGUUCAUUUGAAUCCAACGGCAAGAGAUGAUGCGGUGCAUGGACCAAGCCUACGCAGUGCCCUUUCCAUCGUUGCAUGCGUGCCCGUGCCUGCCCGCAGCAUGCAUGCCCACCCGCAGGACUGCGCCCAUGCGUUGCAUGCAUGCCUCGACGUAGCCCUACUCCGCCACCCCUAUCAACGCGGCAAGCUGUCGCAUGCCUACCAUUAGAACCGAUGCAGUGUGGCAUCAAAGCAUGCACCCGGCCACAAUGCAGCAGCCCAAUGAAGACAACCAAAAAGCCAACGCUGCAUGGCGUGGUGUGCACGCUGUGCAUGGCGUGCUCCUCUUUGAGGACGCAAUACUGGCAUGGGGUAUCGAUGUGGGUAUCGAUGCAGUUCAAAUGGCGUGCUGCCCGUUACAAGAUGGGCAAAAGAAGGCGUCCAUUAUUGUCACGUCUCCCAUCGACCGAACCUUGCCCUCUAGCCAGGCCCUAGCAAGAUGAGCAAAUUAAUGGGCAAUGGCAUGCAUGCACGGGCGGCACACGCAGAGAACCCGGGGAAGGCGUGUCCCUUGACCCACGACGGCACAGACGCGUGCGUGAGCCUGUCCCCCUUGACCCGCGACCGGUGGCACAGAAGCGUUGCAGUCCGUUUCCCACGGUCAUGCUCGUGUACACACUUUCAUGGGGCGCCACCAAACGCCGCCCGCCCAUUAACCCCCCAUUAAUUCUAGGGUUUCGACGGGGUGAAACCACGUCGCACUUGGGCUAUUUAAGCCGGGCACUAUCGUCCUCUCCCUCCUCAUCCAUCAUACCCCAUCCUCUGCCUCCUCUGCCCUUCUUCUUCCUUCUCCAUCAAACCCGACCGAGCACUCGAGCCACCCCGCCACCAUGCAGUACACCGCACCCACCUACCGCUUCCCCCCAACCGUGCCAGAAAGGCUCUACCCGGCCAGAGUGUAUGUAGAGAGAACCCUUAGGGUUUGGGCGAUCUCGAGGUGGAGGGGCGCAAGGGAGUUAACGGAGUUCUUCCUUGCGGCAGGCUUCCGCCACCUCCCCCGCGGCCCUCCUCGGAUGUACCAUGUUGAGGAGGUCAACCACAACGGCGUUGUGGUUGGGCUCCUCGCCAUGUUCACUAACCCUUUCGAUGCUUUCCAUCUCCUCGGGCGAGCGUAUUGGGUUGGUUGUGAGUUCAUAGCUUUCGCCACCUACAAUAUCUUCACCGACUUCCAGAGCAUCUUCCCCAACAACGGCGUUAUGCACACGCUCCCGUACCCCAUCAACAACGGGGAGGAGUGAAGGACGGCGCCCGGAGGAGCGAGGUGGCGUUGUUCCCCCGGAGGAGGAGAAGAAGAGCCCGAAGAAGAACCCGCGUUUGGUGCCCCCCGAUCUAUCUAGCUUAUCGUAUUAGUUUUUUUUAAGUAGUAAUCGUUAUGCUACUAUUAUUAAGUUGUAUUAGUAUUUUAAGUUGUAAGGCUAUCAUGGAGUUGUAAGGUUAUCGUGGAAUUAUGGGUUGCAAUCGUUAUGCUACUAUAUAUAUUGUGUGUUUCAUGCUAUUAUUUGAAGAUUGCUAUGGGUUGUUCUUGCUUAUUAUUUGUGUAUUGCUAUGGGUUGCUACGAGCCCGGGUUGCUACACCUCAAUCUCACCACACACACACCAUCUUCAAAAUAUUGGCCAAACCAUGGACAUGCACGCCCCAUGCAACUAGGAGCCCCAUGCAAACCCACUAUGGACAUGCCACUAGGAAAUGCAAACUAAUUUACUUCAUGCAACUCAUUUAGUUCAUGGAACCGUAGACAUGCAUAAAAACAAUUAGCAUUUGGUUUUAUUGCAUCAAAAAAUGAUACAUCACAAAAUUUAGUGCAAGAAAAAGGCCAAAUUAAAAAUAAGUAACAUUUUAUUUGCCGAAGUUAGAGGUGGGCUGGUGCCGCUACGCGGGUGGGCUGGUGCCCCUACGCGGGCGGGCUGGUCUCUAUUUUGGGCAUGGUUAUUUUCUCAGGGCCCAUUUUCUCAUGGCCCAACAUCUAUUCGGCAACCCAGUUUUGUUUUUUUACUAGAAACUGAAUUUGGGUGUGUACUCUGUUAACUGAAGAACAAAAACAGAGGAAACAGAGCAUGAACACUGAAUAGGGCCCCUGAGAAUAUCAGUACAAUAAUUCAAGCAAGUUUUGCUUCACACGAAUUCAAGUUCAUCUAACAAAUGAUCCCUGGCUAACUCAGACUACUGGGCCCCCCUGAAACUAGCUGACUAACUAACUGAAACUAUAACAAAUUCUAGCGAUUGAUGAACAUCAAGUAAAAUAAACCCAUAGCAAUGACACAACCAUAAAAUGCUCCCGCCAUCUUAUUUGCUUGCUGCUUCAAAUCGAUCAGAUGCUUUAGUUGCUUGCCGAUUUUCUUCAAUUCACACUUCAGUUCUGCACUGUGCAUCAUCGGAUCGGCUCUGUCCGCCAAAUUGGGGGCUUGUUCCACGGCAAGGCGCCCCCCAAAAUUGAGCUCUUGGGUUGGGGUUGAUCCCUCCAAUUUCAACCUUUCAACAUAUUUGUUAAGCCACUCAAAAUGCCCACAUUUCUUCAGAACCUGAAAACAGGGGGCCGGCAGCGCAUGAAUCCUAGAUCCACCACCCAGAUCCACCGCCCUAAUUCAAGGGAAAAGGAAAGAAAUCGGGAGAAAUUAGACCAUAGAAUUGGUCAAGAACACAGAUCUAACUUGCCCCGGCUGUGGCUUGCUCAAACAUUUCACAAACUCGCGCCCACGGUUGCCAUUUUCUUCCCUCACACAAGUCAAACGCUUAAGAGGCUCCAUGCGCGGGCAAUCGGGGCAUCUUGUCAACGGCAGUGGACCAUACUGCGUCCAUGAUUGGCGGGUGGCUGAAGUCGAGCUAGACAUCACUCGCCGGCGGCGCGCUUCGUUGCCGGAGCAGAGGAAGAAGAAGGUGGGAAAGGAAAGGGGCAGGGUAAGCAAUGGAGGAGGGCGGGCUGGCUCGGGUCGGGGCACGCUGAUGAGCACGGGCAUGCUUGUGUGGAUAAGUUGUGGGUCCCACCCGCACGCGAGUAACUGGUGGGUCCCGGUGUCAUAACUCAAAUCGCUAACCCUCAUGUUUUUUAUUUCACGGUUAAACAGAGCCAUGUCGCAUUGGAGCUAUUUACACGCUCAAGUGUGUCGCAUCACAGCCAUUCACUCGAACAACGUCGCACUCAAGCAAAUUCACAUCAAAAACGUCGCACAGGAGCUAUUGGCCCCUUAUACGCUCAUCUUGUGCCAUCUUUAGCAGCAAAAGUCAGAGAAGUCCUAUACGCCGAGCCACAGUCACAAGAUUUCACGGGCAAUUUCCAUCGUGUGUGGGUCAGGAUCAAUGUCAACAAGUCGCUGAAGAAUGUUGUGUCGAUGAUAAGGGAUGAGAAGCGCCAAAUAUAUAGGCUAAAAUAUGAGAAACUUCCAGAUUGGUGUGCAGUUUGUGGUAUGCUUGGACAUCAGUUUAAAGAACAUGGCACUGGAAUCCACCCUCCGUCAUCCUUGGUUUUCAAAGAUUUGCGUGCUUCUUGUGUUCUCAAAACCGGACAGGGGCUGGGAGGUGGUCGAGGCCGUAGAGGCGGCCGGAGAGGAGGCCGUGCUGGUCGUGCAACCGAGCCGCGCCAUGAUCAUGACAAAGGCGGCGACAGGAAAGAGGGUUUUGGCAGUGCGUCAGAUACAUUAUGGAUGAUGCAAAUAAUAACAGGAAGAGGGCGCCGACCCAAACGCAACAUGUGAUACAGCCGGGGAGCAAUGCAACGAGCGACACAAGCCAGGGAGGGAUGCUCUUGCUUCCAGCUCCCUCAACGGUUCCAGCUAGUCCGAGCAGUAAACAGGACCAAAAGAGGACCAAGAUGAGUACAGAUGCAAAGGAGGAUGAUUUGGAAAAUAGUGCCGGUCUUGGCAAGAUCGUCUCUUCAUUGGCGGGCUCCUUCGAGGGGCGCCGCCGAGCCCAAUGAAUAUUUUCUGUUGGAACUGUCGUGGUGCGGGCAAAGCCGCGACAGUUCGAGAGCUUCGCGAUUUCGCGAGGAUUUUUGCCCCUACCCUCUUAUGCAUCAUUGAAAGGCAGUUGGAAAGUGGUAGGGUAGAAGCAUUAGCUGGUACGUUGGGUUUUGAUAGCACUUAUGCUGUCAGCAGUAGAGGAAGAAGUGGAGGAAUAGGUUUGUUUUAGAACAACUUAGUAAAUGUUGAAAUCCUUGGUUAUUCUGAUUAUCAUCUUGAUGUAUCAGUCGAGGAACCAGGCAAAGAGAAGUGGAGGAUGACAUGUGUAUACGGGGAGGCGCAGACACACUUGAGGCAUCAAACCUGGACAACUUUGAAAAACGUCAGUACUUUGAGCACCCUUCCUUGGCUCUGUUUGGGAGAUUUCAACGAAGUAUUACGUCCAGAUGAACAUCAUCGGAUUGGACAGCGGAGUAAUGCUCAAAUCCAGGCUUUUCGUGAAGCUUUAGAUGUUUGCAUGCUGCUUGAUUUAGGCUAUAAACGUAAUUUCUGGACCUUCAUGAAGAAAGUGACGGGAAGAACCUACACACGUUGUAGACUUGACCGAGCUCUUGUAAAUUUUGAUUGGCUGUCAAUGUUUCCCUUGGCAUCGGUAACACACUUGACGGGAGUCACUUCAGAUCACUCUCCUUUGCUGCUAAAUCUGGAUCCUGGAAUCAACGAUCGCGUCAAUCGUCCUUUUAGAUAUGAAACAAUGUGGGAGAGACAUGACAGUUUUCGAGAUGUAAUAAAUCAAGGAUGGGGUGCAAGCCCGCCAUGCGCGACAGUAGAUGAGCUGCGUCAGAAGCUACAGAACCUUUCAAGCGAUCUGGGAAGGUGGAGCCGUGAUACGUUUGGAAGUGUGAGAAAGGAGAUAAAAUCAUUGAAGAAAUCCUUGGACGAACUAAAGAACGAUCCCUUGAGGACAUGCCCUUCACAUGCAGAGCUUAAGAUCAACGAGAGGUUGAUAGAGAUGUAUCAUAGAGAAGAAAUUAUGUGGCGUCAGAGAGCGAGAGUUGAGUGGCUUUCAGCGGGAGACAAAAACACAAAAAAAAUUCAUAUGCGAGCCAAUCUCAGGAGGAAGAAAAAUAUGAUCAAAGCCCUUCAGAAUUCGUUGGGAGUGGAGGUAUCCGACCCUGGAGAGCUAAAGACUUUGGCUAAUGAAUUUUAUCAGUCCUUAUAUCUCUCCGAGGGGGUGCAAAACAUGGACGCUGUUUUAAAUCAUGUGCCACAUAAGGUGACAGCAGCUAUGAACAUGGAACUGUGUGCUCCAUAUACUAAGGAGGAAGUCAAGAUUGCUCUCUUCCAAAUGUUCCCAACCAAAGCACCGGGGCCUGACGGAUUUCCUGCACAUUUCUAUCAGAGGCAUUGGGACGUUUGUGGUGAUGAGGUAACAAGCAUAGUGCUAAGAAUUAUAAGCGGUGAGGAGAGCCCAGAAGCCAUCAAUGACACCGUGUUUGUGUUAAUCCCAAAGGUAACUACCCCUACAGUGCUUGCUCAAUUUCGUCCUAUAAGCCUGUGCAAUAUUUUGUAUAAAAUAGCCUCAAAGGUGAUAGCCAAUCGAUUAAAAGUGUUAUUACCUGACAUAAUAUCGGAGGAGCAAUCUGCUUUUGUCCCCGGAAGGCUCAUCACUGAUAACAUCAUUUGCGCAUAUGAAUGUUUGCACUUCAUGAAGAGGUCCAGAUCAGAGUCCAAUAGCUUCUGUGCUCUGAAACUGGAUAUGAUGAAGGCGUAUGACAGAUUAGAGUGGGACUAUUUGCGAGGGAUCAUGACAAAAUUGGGUUUUGACGGUCACUGGAUAGAUAUUGUCAUGCGCAUGAUUUCUUCUGUCUCUUUUUCGGUGUGUUUCAAUGGAGAAAGGCUAGAAUCGUUCAAGCCUACACGAGGUAUCCGGCAGGGAGACCCGAUCUCCCCCUACUUGUUCUUGAUCGCAGCAGAGGGCCUCUCGUGCCUCCUUAAAUCAAGUUCUCAGUCGUCUCCGACAGGUAUUCAGGUGGCUCCUACGGCUCCUACCGUUAACCAUCUCCUGUUUGUAGAUGAUAGCCUGUUGCUAUUCAAAGCCAGUGGGGAAGGAUCAGUUCAGGUGUCAAACCUACUUGAUAUUUACUGUAACGCUUCGGGACAGAGGAUGAACAAUGAUAAAUCUUCGAUUUUCUUCAGUAAGGGUUGCCCGGCACAGUUGGGAGACACUAUAAAGAACAAUUUGCAGGUCCAGAAUGAAUCAUUGAGUGAGCGCUACCUGGGUAUGCCAACAGAUGUUGGUCACUCGAAGAAUGGUACGUUCAAAUAUCUGCGAGACCGUGUCUGGGCAAAGAUUAAAGUUUGGAUGGAGAAAUUCUUGUCUGCGGCUGGCAAGGAAAUUUUGAUUAAAUCGGUUGCACAAGCGAUCCCAGUAUACUCGAUGGCAUGCUUCUGUCUGCCAAGAGGUCUUUGUGAGAGCAUCACAUCAAUCAUUCGUCAGUUCUGGUGGGGCUCAGAACAAGGGAAGAGGAAGCCGAGUUGGGUAGCAUGGGAUAUCAUGACUCUGCCAAAGCAUUUAGGAGGUUUGGGGUUUCGUGACUUGGAAAUCUUCAAUCUUGCAUUACUAGCAAGGCAGGCAUGGCGUACACUCACAGACAGUACAUCUCUUAGCGCCCGGAUUCUCAAGGCAGUAUAUUUUCCUGAUUGCUCUUUACUUCAAGCUGAGCUGGGAGCCCACCCAUCAUAGAUAUGGAGGGCGAUAUUGGACGGGCGUGACAUCUUGGCACAAGGUUUGGUGCGCAGAAUAGGAGAUGGUGCAUCCACUAAUAUUUGGCAACACAACUGGAUACCGCGAGACAAUUACAAGCGCCCUAUAACAGCUCUCGUCCAAAAUCCACCGGACCAAGUAUCACAACUCAUUGAUGUUACAUCGGCUAGCUGGAAUGAGGGCCUGGUCCGAACGAUUUUUACUACAAUCGAUGCCGAGGCAAUCCUCAAGAUCCCUUUGUGCACGCGUCGUGUGGAAGAUUUUUGGGCGUGGCAUCAUGACCCUAGGGGGAGAUUUAGUGUUCGGUCUGCUUAUCACAUGAUUCUCAAGACUAAGCACGACAGGGAAGCAUGGUUGCAUGAGGAGGGAGGCACAUCAUAUCAGUUCAGUGACACCAAUAACUGGUCCAUGAUUUGGCAUAUCUAAGUACCUUCGAAACUCAGGAUGUUUCUAUGGCGAUUGGCCCGUCAAUCCAUGCCAACUGGGACUGUUUUGCAACACCGUCAUAUGUCAACCGAAAACACCUGCUUACUCUGUGGAGCAGUGGACACAUGGAAGCAUGCACUGAUGACCUGCCCUAUGUCUGCGAGUAUAUGGGCGCUGGCUCCGGAGGAUUUGGUGCAACACAUGGCAGAGCGAGGAGAGGAGAACCGAAAGGAUUGGCUCUUUGCUAUACAUGAAAUAUUAACCAAAGAGCAGUUUGAUCGUUUGGUGGUGUCCCUUUGGGCAAUAUGGGGAGCUAGGAGGAAGGCCAUUCAUGAGAAUAUCUUCCAAUCUCCUCACUCGGUCAUCAGCUUCAUAUCUAGCUACUUGGGGGAGCUGCAGGUGAUCAAUGCCAAAACCCCGGCUGUGACGACGCAGAGACGCGUCAACCCAAGGGGGUGGCUGGCCUCGUCGGCGGGGAAUGCCAAGAUUAACGUCGAUGCGGCUGUAUCGAGGCAAGGGUUCGGCUCAAUUGGAGUGAUUUGUAGAAAUCAUGAAGGCAUGUUCAUCGGCGCGUCAACUUGUGGCUUCAGCAACAUUGUAGACCCACCGACUCUCGAAGUUCUAGCCAUUAGAGAAGCCUUGGCACUGGCAGAUGAUCUAUAUUUGAGGCGGGUUGAGGUUGCAUCGGAUUGCAAAGUGGUCGUGGAAGACUUACAGAAGGACAAUCUAGCGAGCUACGGUGCAAUUGUACAUGAAAUAAUAGCUCACUCUUCGGUUUUUGAGUUCUGUAAUUUUAAACAUGAGUCUAGGAGCUACAAUUAUGAAGCUCACAACUUAGCGAGGCAUGCAUUAUCUCUCGGUGGUGGUCGCCGUGUGUGGUUAGGCCAUCCCGGGAACCUAUCUUUCGUCCCUGUAAACAUUGUGACGACUUAAUAAAGCCUCGUGACGUUGCCUAAAAAAAAGAUGGUAGACUACACUGCGGCGUGCCACGCCUUAGAACUCAUCGCGAUAAAGGGCGCUUGCGGCUUGCAUCGCGUGCUCGGCGUGCAGCGGUGUUUAAUCACUUACGAACAUUGCAUUGUUCUGUCUUUGGUUCAUCGAAAAGUACGAAAAAAAUAGUGGCACUAUUCAUAUGUCUAGUGCAAAAAGAGUUUAAGCAAAGUAGAUUUUUUUUAAUUUGGUAGCAUAAUAACAUUAUAAUGAAAUAAUUUAUGUCGUUUGAUUUUAUUUUCUUUGAUUUUCUUUGUCUUCGUGUUCAUUAGGAUUCCAGCGUUUGGGUGUCACUUUGCUACCAACCACCAAUGGUCGAUAGCACAUUAAAAUUUGUAUUCCUUUAGAAGAGAAAAACAAGUGAGUCGAUAAGAGAAAUGUUAUACAAAGCAUGGAUGCAUACAAACCCACUUUCAUAAUCUUAAAGGAAAAUUACAACGUUACUUUGUGUCACUGUAGACACAGCGGUGUGCGCGCCAGUUGCACAACCUUGAACUAUCUCUCUGGCGACAAACGGUGCUCGCGUAUGUCGCAUGCUCGAUCGGCGCACAACUAAUAUUGCUGGUGCGCUCUCGUCUUGUAAUGAAGAGAAACUGAUAGAGCACCAUUAUGCGAGGUCGGCAAAACCUUGCCUCCAUGCACACAUUUGGAAGGUUGCUACAUUGCUAUCUCUACCAACAAGCUGUUCCAAUGUGAAAAUAUCCAAUAGCAAAAGUGAAUCAUCAUUCUUGAUUAAUAAAUGAUUCACUAUAACCAAGUAGUAUUUAUGAUUGAAAUCUUCUUUUGAAGUAUAUCCAUAUGGGAGUACAAAGCUGCGCAUGCUGGAACCGUGAACGGGAUUGUACACACCCAGCUUGUCUUGAGGGAAAGUUAGAACACCCUACGGAGGAAAAGAUAACAGAGGCUGCAAAGACUUGAACCACAAGCACCGUUCUUGUUGCAUGCAAAGCCACGCACGCGUGUGACAGUAGGACAUGCAGUGGUACGCUGAGUCACUCGACCUGUUCUGUGAAUGUGGUCGACCACAUUUUCGUUGCUUCGGUUAAGGAUAGGCAGCAGGCACCAAACGGUGACUCAUUGUUUCUAUCAUAUGAUCAGGUGGACACGGCGUGCUCGGUGAAGCGAUGUGUAUAGGCGGGCGUGAACUGGACCAUUGGUAGCCUUGUUUUCUUCUCAUCGUGUGUGGUGUAGAUGAACAAGCCCUAUGGAAGGUGAGGCUGCAUUGCACAUGUGAAGUUGGUGUCACGCUUCAACCAAGUGGUCAUGUCCAAAAAUUCUGUCAGUGGGAGCGCACUGGCAGUGGCACACAGUGCGCGUCAUGCGUCUUAUACUCGCCCGCAAAUGUGGCCAAACCCGAGAAGAAAAAAUCCCCCCUUGCCCCCGCGCCGUCCCCCCCGCGGGCGGCUCGGGCGGCGGCGCCAGAUCCCGCCGCGGGCGCCCUCCCCUUCCUCCUCCCCCCUCCGCUGCUGGCCGGGACCGCCAGGGCGAAGCCCCUCGCGGUGGCUGGCGGCGGGGGAUCUCUCCUCCACGUCUUGGUGCUGGUGGGCGCGGGGCUCCCUCCCUGGGCGGUGGCGUCGGGCGUGCACAGGGUCCGGCGGCGAGGCGGCUCCUUCUCCGGCCGGCGGCGCACUACGGUGCUGCGGCGGUGGAUGGGGGCUUGGCCCGCGGCGGCGGUGCCCCGUGGUGGUGGCGGGGGCCCGGCUUCGGUCCUCCGGUGGUGCUGCGGGUGAUCUUCCUUCCCCAUCGCGGGUGUGCGGUGGUGUUGCUCGGGCAACGGUGGUUCCGGCGGCGGCGCUGCGCCGGAUGGUGAGGAGGCGGCGGCACAACCACAUGGCUGUGGGCUGGCGCGGUGACAGGCGGCGGCGCCCUUCUGGCCAGAUCUGGGCCCUUUUGGGCCCCAUCUGGAUCUGGGCGGGCCUGGCCGGCGGCACCGACGGACGGAGGAGCGGCUCGUGCGGGGGGUUCCGGAGACGGAGGCACGCGCACUGCAGCGCGGCAAUGGGAGCUUCACGAGCCCUAUCUGGCUCGGCCGGGCCGUGGGCCAGGUGUGCUUUCCUUGUUGCGUCCGGCCGGUGACCGCCAUGGGCCGUGGAGGUCGUCCCCUCCCGUGUGGCUGCCGAUUUUGCCGCUCAUCGUUCCCGGUUGUCUCCUCUCGGCCUCAUCGGUUUCGCUUCGCCGCUUGGUCGUGUGUGACGGCUUCGACGGACGAAGGUGCGGCUCGUGCGGGGGGUUGUGAAGACGGUGGCGUGCUAACUGCAGCGUGGUGACGGGAGCUUCACGAGUCCUUUUUGGCUCGGCCGGGCCGUGGGCCUUGUGUGCUCCUAUUGCUGCGUCCGGCCGGUGACCGCCAAGGGUGGUGGAGGUUGUCCCCUCCCGCGUGGCUGCUGAUUUUUGCCGCUCCUUGUUCCCGGCUGUCCCCUCUCAGAUCCGUCGGUCUCGCUUCUCUUUCCAUGGUGAGACGGCGGUGGUGAUCUAAAGACCGUGGUGGCGCAUGUUGGUGGGCGGCAAGAUUGGUGGAGUGCGACGGAGCGGCCGGGGAUGUGGAUGUGUGGCGGAUGGGAGAAACCCUGUCGGCUUGGCCGGCACCGACGCGGUGACGCCCGCGGGCGCCACCGGUCCUUCCUGAAGGGCGCCGGGCUUACCUCUUCCACACGCCCCUCCAUGUACCGGGGGAAACCCUAGGACUAGUCCGGGCAACAGCGUCGGCAUCGUCGCGUUCCUUCCUGAAGGUGUUGCUUGGUAUGCGGCGGUCUGAAGUGCUAGGAGCGUGGUGGAAAUUCUCCGGCGGGCGCAGCGGUUGCGGGUCACCAUCGUUUUUGUCGACCCGACUCUGUUGUCAUUAGUUUCUUUUUUUUUCUCUGUUAUUUCUUUUGGGCUUGCUUGUGCUGUUUGCCCCAGCAUCGGACUAUUAGUUGUAUCGUGUGGUUGCUAUAUCUAUAUAGCGGGGCGAAAGCCUAUUUCGAGAGAGAAUGUGGCCAAACCCAUUUAGUCGCAGCUUCUUAAGGAUAGAUAUAUGCGGCACGUACUGACUCACCGUGAGAUCAUUCAUAUUCAUCUAUAGACACAAAGCUUACAGCCUAAGGAAAAAAGAAGCCGUGUUGCAGUGCUGUAAAGUGCUGCUACUUUAUUACUCCAGCUAGCAAGUAACUGAUCCAAAGCGAGCGAGGAGCGGCCGGCGCCGCGCCGCCGACGAGAUCUCAGCGCUACUUUAUCUGAUAUAGCCGCUCAUCUGCCAACGCUCCCGGGGGCAUCCGGAAACGGCAGAAACUGUAGUAGUAACCCAAGGCGAGGGUGGGCCGGCGCCGCGCGGGAUGGCAAGCCCGGCCGAGGAGCCGCGAGCAGGAGACCUUGUUUCGACCGAAACGGCGAUGGCUUCACUGUAGAUGGUACUUUACACCUUUACACCGCGGUUUGCCACGCCUUAGAACUCGUUGCGAUGAAGGACCCUUGCAUCGUGUGCUCGGUGUCAGGCGCGUUACUGGCGUGUGUACACCCGUUACCGGUAGGAUUUAAUCGCUUACGAACAUUGCAUUGUUCUCUCUUUGGUUCAUAUAGAAAGAGUAGGAAAAAAAUAGUGGCACUAUUCAUAUGUCUACUGUAAAACGAACUUAAGCAAAGGAGAUUUUAUUUUUGCUUUAGUAGUAAUAACAUUAUAAUGAAAUAAUUUAUGCAGCUUGAUUUUAUUUUCUUCGAUUUUAUGUGUCUUUCUGUUCAUUAGGAUCCGAGUGUUUGAUUGUCACUUUGCUACCAACUACCAACGCUCGAUAGCACCUUAAAAGUUGUAUUCUUUUAGAAGAGAAAAACAAGUGAGUCAAUAAGAGAAGUGUUACACAGAGCAUGGAUGCAUACGAACCCACUCUCAUAAUCUUAAAGGAAAACUAGCAUUGUAAUUUACGUCACUGCAGACACAGCGGUGCACACGCCAGCUGCACGGCCUUGAAGUAUCUGUCUUGCGACAAACGGUGCUCGCGUACGUCGCGUGUUCGAUCGACGCCCAACUAAUAUUGCUGAUGCGUUCUCGUCUUGUAAUGAAGAGAAAUUGAUAGAGCACCAUUAUGCGAGACCGGCCAAACCUUGUCAUCAUGCACAAGUUUGGAAGGAUGCUACAUUGCUAUCUCUACCAACAAGGUGUUCCAAUGUGGGAGCAUCCAAGAGCAAAAGCGAAUCACCAUUCUUGAUUAAAGCAUGAUUCACUAUAACCAAGUAGCAUUUGUGAUUGAAAUCUUCUUUUGAAGUAUAUCCAUAUAUGUAGUAAUGUUAUGAUCUUAUGUACUAGUAAAGUAUGUCCAUAUAUGUACUAAUGUUAUGAUCAUAUAUACUAGUGAGAUUGUUUACAUAUAAAGGAAAAUUCCUUUCGCUUCACUAAGCAUGAUGAUGCAUAUUUGGGGUAUUCCCUAUGCAUGGAUGAAAAGUUUUUUUGGGUACUGGCGUUCAUGCAAGAUUGGCUUUAUCAGCUACAACAGAAGGAUCACACUUUCUGUUAUGAAUAUGUCAAAUAAGUAUGGGAUGCUAUUACAAGUAAGUAUUAAUUUCGUGACAUGGCGGAUAAUUUAAUCCAAAGCACAACAGCCUCUCAAUCGAUUGAAUCCAUCCAAAUGGUUACCCGUUCUUCGUUUGUAAGCAAAGGAAAAAAUAACAUCCAAAUGGUUACCAACAAUUGAUUCCAUGAAAAGAAUAGCAUGCCUCUUGUUUUGUGAAACAAUAGUAUGCCGCUUUGCUAGCACAUUUUGAUCAUCAAAUCGUCAAAAGUGCGUGCGUGAUCUCGCCGCCCAAGCGGCACCCAUCCCUUGCUCGCCUUUGGUUGCUUGCGUGCCCGGAGCGUUGGCAGAUGAGCGGUGAACGUAGCAAGGUGCAUGCACGUCCAUGCGAAUGACGCCCUUGAUAUCCUCAGGCUGGGUUUAAGCGUCUGCUCGAGUCUAUAGAUGAUGAUCAAACGAUGAGUCACUGAAGUUGCAGACGAGUACACGCUCAACCACAUCUGCAGACGAGUACACAUUCAGUGACGCGGUGUGCAUGCCAAUAUGUGCGCAUCCUACUGUACAUAGGAAAGAAAAGAAAGUCCCGCUGGAAGCUUCAAGCACACGCACGGUUGCAGCUGUUGCAUGCGACGUUAGGAGUGCCCUGGCACACCGCCCGCCGCUUGCACUCGCUGCGAAUGUAUUUGUCAAACGUGUUUCGUGGCAACUUCAGUUAGAUAGGCGCUAGUGGCUCAUCGUGAGGCCAUCAUCAUCCAUAGACACGAGGAUAGAGAGGCCGACACACACAUGGACGGACGGGUGCCUAGGUGCGGCCGAGAACGCGCUCCAGUCACAGAGUUUCAGUUAUUCGUUGUUGUGCUGUAAAGUGCUGCAACUUCACUGCAGAAAAGAACAACGAGUUGCUCACGGAUCGCCGGAGCCCCGCCUCCUCCGGUGGCAGCUCCUCUGCGCAACGUGAGGAAACGGAAGCAACCAGUAACCGAAGGCGCGCGAGCGAGAGCGAGGACGGACAGGCGCCGCGUGGGCGGCCAGAUCGCGCACUUGGUAAUAUUAUUGACUCCUUUUGCCUUUGGCGCUGAUACUUUGUAAGCUGCCAGCAGGAAAAGAUUACUUGUUUCAGCAAGUUAGGCUCGGUUGUAGUUCUUUUUUGAUCUUAUAUUGUGUUUUGGUACGAUCGAUAUAUGCUAGAUAGACAUUUGGAUUCAAAUCAGAAUAGUGUGAACAUGACUCGUCGAACUAGCUAGUUCAGUAUAUUGAGUAUCUGAAGUCAAUUUUCUUCAAGAUUCAUUGCAUUCCUAAUUAUUUACCACAAGUUGUUAGCUCACCUGAUUCGAUUGGUAUAUGGGCUCUAGGUAAAGGGCCUGCACGAAAAGACUAAUGAGGUUAAAGUUAGCUAACUUAGGGCGGUGAGUUCUGCUGGUGGCCGACAUUCCCUAGUUAUCUCAUCUUUUGUAAGGAUUGUUUGACACACAUCCAAAUAUUGGGGUGAUGUAUGCUCAGUGCGUUGCUCUGUCCCUAGUUGUAAGAUUAGCGUGCUGGGAACUUAUCCAAACUAGUCUUUUCAAGAUUUAAGAUGUAUCUUGUUCAAUAUAUCCUUUAUAAAUUCUAGGAUUUCUGAUGUAUUAAACUGUUGCUGACUUGAUACAUGCACGGUGCUUUCAGAUACACGGCAGUGACGGUCUAGCGAGAUUGAUGACCCAUGAUGAUUCCGCAAGGCGCCGAGGAGGGAAGCACCUCCUAGAUCUCAGAUUUGCAAGCACCAAGAUGAAAUGGCAAGCCGAGCCGGCCGGCCAUGUUAGCCCGUGCGUUGUUCGUUGUUUAGUUGUUUUCGGGCGAAGUGCUGCUAAUUGCUGAUAUGGGUGUUGAUAUAGUGGUGCGCACGUGCUGUACAAUUGUUGUGCCCAAGUGUUGGGAGGCUGGUGGUAUUAAACUCAUCAUGAACCGCUAAGCUAGUGCUGGAACGAAAUUCUAGUAACCCCGUUUUAUGUAUGUGUUGUACCCAUCCGAGCUAUGAAAUGCAAUGAAUCUUUCGGCAAAAGGAUAGCUGUUGCUGCUGCAAAUUUCCAGUUACGUACACAUUUUGUACAUGAAUAUCUCAAAUGGGGAUUUGAAAUUCUGGGGUCUACCUGCAAGUCUUUGGGUGGUUCAAUCAGUAUGGGAUAUUUUGUGUCUGGCUCAUGAACGAGGCACGCACGUUUGAAAAUAUUGUGUGCGGCAAAGCUCAAUGGCUCUCCCCUCUCCCUCCUCUCCCCUCCCCCUUGCGGCGGCCUCGGUGGCUGGCGAAGCUCCGGCGGCGCCCCGGCCUCGUGCUCCCCCCUCCUCCCCAUCCCCUCCUCGCUGGUUCCGCUCCGGCUCAUGNNNNNNNNNNNNNNNNNNNNNNNNNNNNNNNNNNNNNNNNNNNNNNNNNNNNNNNNNNNNNNNNNNNNNNNNNNNNNNNNNNNNNNNNNNNNNNNNNNNNNNNNNNNNNNNNNNNNNNNNNNNNNNNNNNNNNNNNNNNNNNNNNNNNNNNNNNNNNNNNNNNNNNNNNNNNNNNNNNNNNNNNNNNNNNNNNNNNNNNNNNNNNNNNNNNNNNNNNNNNNNNNNNNNNNNNNNNNNNNNNNNNNNNNNNNNNNNNNNNNNNNNNNNNNCUGUCCUCUUCGGGCUAACAAGUUUUGGGCUCUUGAUUCCGACGGAUCCGGCUCGGAUUCUGAGGCGAACUCUCCCCCACCUCGCUUGUCCCCGGUGUGCUCUCCCCCUGUGGCUGCGGGUUGCUCGCCGACGCAAGUUCGCGCCCGGUGGGCAGGGGCGGCCAGUCCGGUCUGCCGUGGUGUCGGAUGGCUGGCGCCGCGUCUCGCGCGGACGGCGUCGUGCUUCGUGCUGGUCUCCGGGCCUAGUCUUGCCGCGAUCUGCGCUGGAGUCGGCCUCGCCCUCUCUGGUGGGUUCGCGUGCUGGCGCGCCCGCGAGCCCGUCCUCCGCCUCCAUGGCGGCGCCGGAGUCGGCCCCAACCCUAGAUCUGGGUGCGGGGGCGGCGUUGGUGCCCCCUUCUGUGGUGCGGGCCCCGGUGGGCUCUGCUGGGCCUGGUGGGCCGGCUUCGUCCUUGGCCCUGGCAUCUCUUUCUGACUUUCCCCCCUCCCUUCUGUGGAUCCUGGGCUGCGGACGGCCCAGGUCCAGCCCACCUCUUCUGUUAGGCCGUGCCCCAGUUCGGGCCUGGCUCGGUCGGGGUAUUUAUGGGUGCGGAGAGGUGCAGCUCCCCCAUGCCUAGGGUUUCUAGCCUCCUCAUCUGAUCUGCUCCGCCAUCGUUUCCCAAUCCGACGCUUCAUCAGAUCCGCCCCUCCUCCUCCCCUCUCCCUCCCCUUUGCUGUGGUGGCGGCGAUGGAUCGAUCCCGCGCGUCCUCAAGUGAGGCGGUCUCCGGCCAGAAGCGGGGCCAUGGUGGAUCUGGCGAUGCAGAUGCGGAUCUGGAAUAUGAGGCGGCUCUUCGCGCGAAGCUUCAGGCCUCGAUCGCUCCGGAGGCGGGGUCGACGGCGGCGUCCGUUGGCUUUCCCCGUGCUUCUGGGUCGGGCCUUUCGGCGCCUCCCCCCUGCUUCUGGUGCCCCCUCGGUGUCAGCUGAUCCCUGGGAGGUGGCAGCGACGGCCAGCCGGGAGGGUUCGUCGGGGACCGCCCUGGCGCCCUCUUCGCUGGGUGCUGCCCCCCGGGGCGGAGCCCCGGUGCGUGCUCAGGUUGGGGGCGGGGCGUCCCGUUUCUUCCCCAGAGGCACGUCGGGGGCUCCGGUUCGGCGUCCUUCUGGCCCCGUGAUGGGGCGGGGCUCCGGCUCUGGGCCUGCUGCGGGUGGGCAUGGCAUCCUCCCUCCUCCUCCUCGUGGUCGCAUCCCUCCCCAAUCUCAGGUCUCCAACCCCAUCCUCACAUGUUUUGCAUGCAUCGUCCUGGCCACUUCCAAUCUCGGUGUGAAAACCCUCCCUUAUGCCUCAUCUGCCGGGAAGAUGGCCACCUUACGGUGGACUGUCAGAAUCGUAUCAAGCCUCCUUCUUUUGUCCAUUUUGGCACUGGUCUUCCUGGAUGUACCUCUUUGCACUUGAUAGGGAGAUCCCUGAGGCCGCCCCCAUUCCUUCUCUGUCCAAUGUUGGUAUUAUCUCUGUUCAGGAUAAACGCAUCUCCCCUCAAAUUCUUCUUGAUGAGCUCAAGGUCUGGGAUGAGGGUGGAUGGGAUUGGCAGAUUCGCCAGCUCUCCGAGUUCGAGUUUGCAGCGACCUUCCCCUCUAAAGAGAGUCUCCGGAUGAUAUCUUCUUGCUCUAGCUUCACUCUCCCCUUGAAUCAACUCGUGGUCUCGGUUCAAGCUGCCUCUAAUGGAUCCAAGUCUAUAUCCGCCUUGUCUGAUGUUUGGGUGCUGGUAGAAGAUGUUCCUCCAUCCAUGUGCACCUCGGCUUUCCUGAUGGCUUUCAGAGUUCUUAUUGGCAAGCCCAUUGAGGUUGACCAAGAUUCUUUGGCGAUCUUGGGGCCGGCCCGGCUCCGGAUUUGGUGUGUCGACCCCGUGUGCAUUCACGGCUCCCUUGACGUCUUCCCUGCGGUGGGUGGUUCCAUCUCCGUGUGCGGGUGGAGGGGGCCUCAGGCCCGGUGUCGCCCCCUCCUCCUCCACCGCCUCCAGCCUCUGACAAUGGAGACAAGAGCAAGGAGGGGGAUGGUUGGCCCGAUGACUCCUUGCACGGGUCCGAUACCCGUUUCACCCAGUCGGAGUGGGAUGGCCUCUCACCCGAAGAUCGGGACAUGCUAAAGGAGAACGCGCCCGCUGGCAAGGGGGGCCAGGGCUCGGCGCAGGAUCUGAGUGGAGGAGAGGCGGCUGCUGGCGGGGACAAGGGCACGCCUUUCUCUGCGGUGUGCUCCAACCUCCCCGCUCGCCCCGCGUCUCCCUCCCUGUCAGGCAUUGAAGACCUCCCCCCGACGGGUUCUGCGGCGCUCAAAAAGAAGAAGAAAUCCUCUGUUAAGAAGUUCUCCGCCAAGAGCCGCGCCUCUGGUGACUUCAGGCAGUCUGCGGUCGGGCUGUGCCGCCGGCUAGAGGCUGACUUGGGUCUGGCCUCGGGUCCGUCUUCCGCUGCGGCCUCUCCCAGUCGCGCGCGCCCUGUUCCUAUGCGUUCAUCGGCGUCCACGGCUCGUAAGAGUGGCCGUGUCUCCAACAAUGGCGAGCGGGUGGUCGAUCGAGAUGCUCAUCGUGCGGCGGCUCGGGAUCUGCCUCCUACAGGUUCGUCCUCUCCUCCCUCCCCCUCCUCCCCCACCCCCGUGAUUUCCUCUCCUGCCCGUUUAUUUCUCCCCUCUCAAUCUGAUGCUCGUUUGCUUAAUAUUUUAAACGAUGUUGGUAUUUUUUUAGAUUCUAGUUUGGGUUCUCCUUCAUCCUUUCUUAGUAUCAUUAGGGCGAAUGAAAUCGCUCAGGCAGACAUUGCGAGAGCCAAGGAGGCUAGGGAGGGUUCGGGUGCCCCACUGGUGGUGGCUGGUGGGGACGGGGGGGGAGGGGGAGAUGAUAGGAGUCAUGCUCCCUCGAUGGUGUCUAAACGUGGGGCAGGGAAACAAUCAAAAUCCUGCGCCGCCCCGAGCAGGUCGAGUCUUCGUAUCAAAAACUUGUCGUAUAAAUGAAGGCGCUUUUCUGGAACAUUAGAGGUUUCUGUGCUAGGGGGCGCAGAGACCAACUUCAGGACCUAGUUCGAUCUGAGAAUGUGGAUUUUAUUGGCCUUGUCGAGACUUUCAAAUCUUCCUUUUCUGCUAGUGAAUUAUCGUCUAUUGCUGGGAUAGAUAGAUUUCAUUGGAAUUUUAUGGCCUCGGCUUGUCACUCGGGGGGGGGGGGUUUCUGCUUGGAUCCAAAAAAGAUACUUUUGAUUUCGUGGCUUUCGACCAUGGCAUUUUCUGGGCUAGCACAGUGGUCUCCAUUUGCUCUCUCAACUCCUUAGUAGAAAUAUUAGUGGUUUAUGGUCCGGCUGACCAUGAUAUGUCUUAUGCCUUUUUGGACGAGCUUACUAUUAAGAUUGAAUCUUGCCAGCUUCCGCUGUUGAUUGGGGAUGAUUUUAAUUUGCUUUGUUUCCCCUCCGACAAGAGCUCUCCUAACUUCUCGUGGCCCCUUGCUGAUGCGUUCAAUGGCUUCAUUAGGGAUAUGGCUAUUCGUGAGAUACCUAGGGUCGGAGCCCGGUACACGUGGUCUAAUCAUCAACCACCCCCCCCCCCCCAUUCGCUCAGUUCUUGACAUAGUUUUUGUUUGCCCGAGGUGGGACCCUCUUUUCCCUCAUGCUAGUCUUAAGGCCCAUGCUCCCGUUGGCUCGGAUCACACACCCCUAAUUCUUGAUGAUGGAUCGUGCUCUAUGGGUGUCUCGAGGUUUCAUUUUGAUGCUUCCUGGCUUCUUGUCGAGGGUUUCAACAGUUUGAUGGCUCAAAAAAUUUUGUCCUUCCUUUCCUCGAGCCGUCGUUCCUUUGGACCGAUGGAUGACUGGCACCAAUGCUCCUAUUUCCUUCGUAGAUUCCUUAGAGGUUGGGCCAGAAACCAUUUUGCAGAGUCAAGGCGUGACAAAGCAAGGUUGGCGGCUCAGAUAGGCGUCCUGGACGAACGUGCGGAUUCGGUUGGGCUGUCCUCGAAUGAAUGGCAAUCCCGUUAUGAGUUAGAAGAGGCGUUGUUGGCCAUUCAUAGGCAGGAGGAAAUUUAAUGGAAACAACGCGGUACUAUCAACUGGACCCUCAAGGGGGACUUGCCCACAACGUAUUUCUUUGCUAUUGCUAAUGGUAGACGGCGAAGGUGCUUUAUUGAUAGCCCUAUUAUUGAUGGUGUCAGGACUUCUGACCCACUGGUGAUAAUGCGGCAUGUGGUCUCCUUCUUCGCUAACCUUCUUGCGGCUAAACCCGUGCUUGGCUUCAAGCUGGCUGCGACCUUCUGGGCCCCGUGUGACCAACUCUCGAGCGCUCACAAUGAGAACCUUCUUAUUCCCCCUUCGGAGGAGGAAAUUUUCGAGACGAUUCGCUCUGCCAAUUAUAAUGCGGCACCAGGCCCGGACGGCUUUUCCAUUCCUUUUUUUCGACAAUUCUGGCCUCAAUUAAAAGGCCUAAUCUUGGCUAUCACUCAAGGCUUUUGGCUGGGGACUGUAGACAUCUCGAGACUUAAUUACGCAGUCCUUACCCUCAUUCCUAAAGUUAAAGGCGCGGACGUAAUCUCCCAAUUUAGACCUAUUGCUCUCAUUAACAACUUUGCUAAGAUUCCAGCUAAGGGUAUGGCUGUGAAGCUAUCCCCGAUCGCUCAUCAAGUCAUUAGCCCUUUCCAAUCUGCUUUCAUUAAGGGAAGAUACAUCCUAGACGGGGUGCUGUGCCUUCACGAGAUUAUCCAUGAUCUGCGCAGCAAGAACACCAAGGCUCUGGUGCUCAAGCUCGAUUUUGAAAAGGCGUAGGAUUCAGUUAGUUGGAGCUUCCUUCGCCAAGUGAUGUUGGCCAAGGGGUUCGCUGGCUCGGUGGUCCAUCGCCUGAUGCAACUGGUCUCGGGGGGCCACACGGCGGUGGCAGUUAACGGGCAGACCAGUAACUUCUUUGCGAAUGGUAGGGGCUUGAGACAAGGGGAUCCAGCGUCUCCCUUGCUUUUCAACUUUGUGGCUGAUGCUCUCUCCCGCAUUUUGGCUCGUGCAGCGGCUGCUGGCCAUAUUGCUCCUGUUAGUUCUCAUCUUCUUCCUAAUGGCAUCUCUCAUUUACAGUAUGCGGACGACACAAUCAUUUUGGUGGAGCUGAAUGAUCAUUCCAUCACUAAUCUGAAAUUUAUUCUUCUAUGCUUUGAAGCCCUGUCGGGUCAUAAAAUCAACUUCUCUAAGAGCGAGGCAAUUGUGUCUGGGGUCUCUGAUGAGGAGGCGCAACGGGUGGCCCACCUUCUGAAUUGCUCUCUCGAAGCCUUCCCUCUUAAAUACUUGGGCCUUCCGAUUUCCCCUCUUAAGUUGUUGGCUAAAGAUUUUGCCCCGGUUGUGACUAAAGUUGGCAAUAGAGUUUUGCCGUGGCGAGGUCGGUACAAUUCCAGGCGGGCAAGGUUGCCCUCACCAAUUCCUGCCUUUCCUCGCUCCCGAUGUUCCUUAUGGGAUUCUAUCUGCUGUCCGAAGGGACACACUCGGGCUUCGAUAAGCACAGGGGUGCUUUCUUUUGGAACUCCUCAGAUAAUAAACGUAAAUACAGGAUGGUUAAGUGGGAUCUCAUCUGUAGACCCAAGAGCAUGGGGGGUCUAGGCAUCAUCAACACCAGAAUCAUGAAUAAAUGCUUGUUACUAAAAUGGUGGUGGAAGAUUAUGACCCUUGAUGACCGUCCCGUGCGGCUUAAUAUCCUAAAAGCGAAAUAUUUCCCUUCUUCCAACCCUAUGCUCGCUACCGCUUAUGGUGGCUCUCAUUUCUGGCGCCAGCUGGUUAGCAUCAGACCGGCUUUUGAGUCCCUUGUGAAGUUUGUUGUUCGUAAUGGUAUGUCCACGCGUUUUUGGUUAGAUUGGUGGGUUGGUGACACCACGCUGGCGGUGGCCCACCUGACUCUGUUCUCGUUUUGUGCUGACCCUGAGAUCUCUAUUUUUGAGCUCUUGGCUCAGGGUUGGGUUCUUGACUUCUGACGCUCUCUUUCCCCAGUAGAGUUGGAAGAUUGGCAUCGUCUUAUUGCCUACUUCCCCCUGCUCUCGGAGGUAGAGGACUCCAUGGUUUGGCCCCAUGCCUCUUCGGAGCGUUUUUCGGUUAAGUCGGCUUAUUUGAAGCUUAUCGCUGGUUCCCGCACGGAAAAGUUUAAGUCCAUUUGGUCUGCCCGCAUACCUCCUAAGAUCAAGGUCUUCCUCUGGCAAGCCUACUGUCGCAAACUUCUAGCGGCUGACCAGAUUAAGAAGAGGAAUGGUCCGGGCUCGGACUCCUGUCAACUUUGCGGUGCCCUUGAGAACACUGAGCAUAUCUUUUUCCACUGUUCCUUGGCUAAAUUCAUAUGGAGUUGUAUUAGACUUUGGCUUGGGGUUAAUUGGUACCCAUCCUCCUUUGGUGAUUUGAGACAGUGCAUCAACUCCCUAGUAGGCCGGUCUAAGAGGGUUUUCAUGGUGGGCUGGGCUGCGAUUUGUUGGGCGCUCCGGACUACUAGGAACAAGUUCACUAUUGAGCAUAUUUUCCUUACUAACCCUGUCAACUGCUUAUUUAAAGCUACUAUCUUUUUGCAGCAGUGGAGAUCAUUGAUUAAGGAUGGGGAUCUACAGGCUUUCGAUGACAUGCUAUCCAGAAUGAAUUCUACGGCGUCUACCCUGCUGCGGCAUUCUAGGCGAAAUCCUCCUCAGUAGUCUUGGCUGGUGCUUGGGUGGCCUGCGUGCCAAUUAGGCUGGAUGCCUUGUAUCUGCACUUCCUUUGCGGCUUGUUUAAACUUCUGUGGUUUCGUGGUGGUUGUGACUCUGCCUAUCGCCUUUUUUCUAAAAAAAAUAUUGUGUGCGGUUUUGUGAGUGAGACGAAACUACUGUGUACACACGACGUCCCCGUGCUCGAUCCUCAUAUACGAUGCAACAUCUGUGGUGUGUUGCGUCUUGAUUCUACUCAAGGACGAUUUGAUCUUCUUUGUCAGGCAUCGGUCGUGCAGGAAGUAUCGUGCGUAUAGCAGGAUUUUUGGGGAAAUGGUAUAGCUCGGGCCUAGUUUUUGAGCCCGAAGGCCGGGCCGGGCCGGGCCCGGGCCCGUCAUUUUUGCCAUUUUCUGAAGGCCGGGCCGGGCCGUCCCGAAGCCCAACGGGCUUUUAUGUGCUCGGGCCGGGCUCGGGCCUAGAAACACAGGCCCGAUGGCCGGGCCGGGCCGGGCCCGGGCCUGAGUUUUUUGUGUCGGGCUUGGCUAGGUCGGCCCGAAGCCCGGCCCGGCCCGAGGUUUGGCCAGGUAUAAUUGAGGCAACGAAAAAUCUAUUAACUAAUUCUUACGUGCGCGUACGAGGCUUUUUCUAUAUAUUUUUUCUAUCGAGAAUAAUCGAGAUGAGGAGAUUCUGAGGAAAAAAUAGAAGAAAAAGGGAUUCUUCGUUUGGAUGGGUGGCGUGGUUUGGUUGGUUGGAUCGAAGAAGGAAAGAAAUCGUUGGUUGGUUGGCUUGUUGACCGCAUCAAAUCGAAUGGAUUUCGCCUUGUUGAAAUCGCACCGCGGAACAAGCAACCGAUCGAGGAGUUAAUACAAGGAGGAAGGAAUCAAUCAGGCUGAAAUAUUGCGAAACAAGUCAACCAGUCACUUGGUUUCAGUUACUCGUUGCUGUGCUGUAAAGUGCUGCUACUUUACAGCAGAAAAGAACAAUGAUUUGCUUGCGGAUCGACGAGGAAGGACCGGCGCCGCGCGAGCGGCGAGAUCGCACGCUGGUCUGACCGAAACGGCCAUGGCGCGCGUCACUGCGGCUGCACCGCCUCCAACUCUUCCUUCGCGACAACGCUUGCUGAUGCUACGUACCAACAUAUUCCAUCUAAAACAAGUGCACUCCUGUUUGUUGGUACACAAUAAAACAUUACGAUGCACUCUGAAACAUGGAGGAAAACAUCAUGUGGAUGUAUGGACGGUGAAUACAUGAAGGAUCUCAAAGCAACGAUGGAAUGUUGAUGUAUCAUGUAUCCACGGUAUAUCCCAUGCUUGGUGGAAAAGAUACUCUCGAAAACUCUACCUCAAAACGGAAAGACUUGAAACUAACCGAGACGGCGAGAUGUCACGGUAGCCCCUCUAGAAGUUAUAUUUUUAACUUCAACAAACUUAUUAGAAAACAAGUGCACUAUUAUUUGAAGGAAAACCAUCUGCAAUUUUCUAGGCAUUAAAUGCAUUUCUAUAUAUUUACUGGAUAUAUUUGAAAUUUGAACUACAUGUACCUUAAAAUGGUAUCUAAAUUAAAAGAAAAUCAUGUUCAGGUAGUUAUGUAACUCAUAGCCUUCUUUCAAAACAUAUAAUUUUUUUAAAUAUUUCUUUUGAAAAUUACAUACAAUUACAAGCAUCCUAUUUGUUUUAUUUUUCUAUAAAAUCUAAAUGCGGUUUGAAUACAAUGAGAUUUUGUAUGGGUUCAUCAUAUUACCUAAUGAGAUUGCAUUGAAAAAUCCAUAUAUUUUAGUAACGGUGUAAGCAUACAUUGAUUUAUAAUUCAAGCAUCUCCCUAUAAGUGAUUAGAAUUCAAAGGGGAAGUAGGAAGUCUGUAGUCCACAUCAUGGUUUGUUCAUCAUUUUCACUUUGUACUGCAACUAGAUAUUGUGGUGGUAAUGUACAGUAAUAUAGCUGCAUGUUCCAUCUUUUUAUGUAUGAUGUGUAUUUCUUAUUGUUUUGAACACAUCAAAUUAAGGUACCAUGUGGGGGUGCCUAUCAAAACUAUUUAUUUCAAAUGCCCAAACUUUUCUACUACAACAUUGUUUGUUCAUCGGUGGAUCUAUUUGGAUCUGUUCUUCGUUCGUUUUUGUUUAGAUGUUUACAGGUUUGGUUCUUCUGAUCUACGACUUUCUUCGUCGGUGAUGGUUGCUACUCCGGUGCGCUGGUCCUAUGGGGCCUUAGCACGACGACUUCCCGACUGUCUUCUACAACAAGGUUUGCCCGACUCUAGAAGGAAAUAUGCCCUAGAGGCAAUAAUAAAGUUAUUAUUUAUUUCCUUAUUUCAUGAUAAAUGUUUAUUAUUCAUGCUAGAAUUGUAUUAACCGGAAACUUAGUACAUGUGUGAAUACAUAGACAAAACAUAAUGUCCCUAAUAUGCCUCUACUUGACUAGCUCGUUAAUCAAAGAUGGUUAUGUUUCCUAACCAUAGACAUGUGUUGUCAUUAGAUGAACGGGAUCACAUCAUUAGGAGAACGAUGUGAUGGACAUGACCCAUCCAUUAGCUUAGCUUUAUAAUCGUUACAGUUUCAUUGCUACUAUUUUUUUCAUAACUUAUACAUGUUCCUUGGACUAUGAGAUUAUGCAACUCUCGAAUAUCAGAGGAACACUUUGUGUGCUAGCAAACGUCACAACGUAAAAGGAUGAUUAUAAAGGUGCUCUGCAGGUGUCUCCGAAGGUGUUUGUGUUGGGGAACGUAGCAGAAAUUCAAAAUUUUCUACGCAUCACCAAGAUCAAUCUAUGGAGUAACUAGCAACGAGAGAGAGGGGAGUGCAUCUUCAUACCCUUGAAGAUCGCGAUGCCGAAGCGUUGCAAGAACGCGGUCGGUGGAGUCGUUCACUAAGUGAUUCAGAUCGCGGCCGAAUCCGAUCUAAGCACCGAACAACGGUGCCUCCACGUUCAACACACGUACAGCCCGGGGACGUCUCCUCCUUCUUGAUCCAGCAAGGGGAGAGGAGAAGUUGAGGGAGAGCUCCGGCAGCACGACGGCGUGGUGGUGGAGCUUGCAGUUCUCCGGCAAAGCUUCGCCAAGCACUACUACUACGGAGGAGGUGUUGGGGAGGGAGAGGGCUGCGUCAGGGGAACAAUGAAGCUCCCAUGCGCCUCCCCACUAUAUAUAGGGGUGGAGGGGGCUGGUUUCUUGCCCUCCAAGUCCAUUGGGGCGUUGCCAAAGGCGGGAGGAAAGAAAUCCCAUCAUUUCCUUCCCCACCGAUUGUUAUCCCCCCUUUUUAGGGAUCUUGAUCUUAUCCCUUCGGGAUAUGAUCUUAUUCCUUCUAAGGGGGGAUCUUGGUGCGCCUUGACCAGGGGUGUGGGGUCUUGCCCCCACUACCCACGUUCAUGUGGGUCCCCCCAUGCAGGUGGGCCCCACUCCAGAACCUUCUAGAACCUUACCGGUACAAUACCGAAAAAUCCUGAACAUUUUCCGGUGGCCAAAAUAGGACUUCCCAUAUAUAAAUCUUUACCUCCGAACCAUUUCGGAACUCCUCGUGACAUCUGGGAUCUCAUCCUGGACUCCGAAUAACAUUCGUAACUGCACACUAAUUCCCAUAACAACUCUAGUGUCACCGAACCUUAAGUGUGUAGACCCUACGGGUUCGGGAAUCAUGCAGACAUGACCGAGACAGCUCUCUGGCCAAUAACCAACAGCGGGAUCUGGAUACCCAUGUUGGCUCCCACAUGUUCCAUGAUGAUAUCAUCGGAUGAACCACAAUGUCAAGGAUCCAAGCAAUCCCGUAUACAAUUCCCUUUGUCAAUCGGUACGUUACUUGCCCGAGAUUCGAUCGUCGGUAUCCCAAUACCUCGUUCAACCUCGUUACCGGCAAGUCACUUUACUCGUUCCGUAAUGCAUGAUCCCAUGACUAACUACUUAGUCACAUUGAGCUCAUUAUGAUGACGCAUUACCGAGUGGGCCCAGAGAUACCUCUCCGUCACACGGAGUGACAAAUCCCAGUCUCGAUUCGUGCCAACCCAACAGACACUUUCGGAGAUACCCGUAGUGCACCUUUAUAGCCACCCUGUUACGUUGUGACGUUUGGCACACCCAAAGCAUUCCUACGGUAUCCGGGAGUUGCACAAUCUCAUGGUCUAAGGAAAUGAUACUUGACAUUAGAAAAGCUUUUAGCAAACGAACUACACGAUCUUAUGCUAUGCUUAGGAUUGGGUCUUGUCCAUCACAUCAUUCUCCUAAUGAUGUGAUCCCGUUAUCAAUGACAUCCAAUGUCCAUGGUCAGGAAACCAUAACCAUCUAUUGAUCAACAAGCUAGUCAACUAGAGGCUCACUAGGGACAUGUUGUGGUCUAUGUAUUCACACAUGUAUUACGGUUUCCAAUUAAUACAAUUAUAGCAUGAACAAUAGACAAUUAUCAUGAACAAGGAAAUAUAAUAAUAACCAUUUUAUUAUUGCCUCUAGGGCAUAUUUCCAACAGUCUCCCACUUGCACUAGAGUCAAUAAUCUAGUUCACAUCACUAUGUGAUUGCAAUGAGUUCAACACCCAUUGGGUUUGAUCAUAUCUCGCUUGUGAGAGAGGUUAUUAGUCAACGGGUCUGAAUCUUUCAGAUCCGUGUGUGCUUAACAAAUCUCUAUGUCAUCUCCUAGAUGCAGCUACCACGCGCUAUUUGGAACUAUUCCAAAUAAUUGCUCUACUAUACGAAUCCGGUUUACUACUCAGAGUCAUCCGGAUUAGUGUCAAAGUUUGCAUCGACAUAACCCUUUACGAUGAACUGUUUUACCACCUCCAUAAUCAAGAAAAUUCCUUAGUCAACUAGUUACCAAGGAUAAGUUUGACCACUAUCAUGUGAUCCAUUCCUGGAUCACUCUUGUACCCCUUGAUUGAGUUCAUGGCAAGGCACACUUCGGGUGUGGUACACAGCACAACAUACUAUAGAGCCUACGUCUAAAGCAUAGGGGACGACCUUCGUCCUUUCUCUCUCUUCUGCCGUGGUCAGAUCUUGAGUCUUACUCAAUGCUCACACCUUAUAACACAGCCAAGAACUCCUUCUUUGCUGAUUUGUUUGAACUCCUUCAAAAUCUUGUCACGGUAUGUAUUCAUUUUAAAGUACUAUUAAGCGUUUUUGAUCUAUCCAUAUAGAUCUUGAUGCUCAAUGUUCAAGUAGCCUAAUCCAGGUUUUCCAUUGAAAAACACUUUUCAAAUAACCCUAUAUGCUUUCUAGAAAUUCUACAGCAUUUCUGAUCAACAAUAUGUUAACAACAUAUACUCAUCAGAAAUGAUAUAGUGCUCACACUCACUUCUUUGGAAAUACAAGUUUUUAAUAAAUUUUGUAUAAACCCAAAAUCUUUGAUCAUCUCAUCAAAGUGUAUAUUCCAACUCCGAGAUGCUUACUCCAGUCCUUAGAAGGAUUACUGGAGCUUUGCACACUUGUUAGCAUCUUUCAGGAUUGACAAAACCUUCUAGUUGUAUCACAUACAACCUUUCUUCAAAAAAAAAUCGUCGAGGAAACAAUGUUUUGACAUCCUAUCUGCAAGAUAUCAUAAAUAAUGCAGUAACUGCUAAUAUAAUUCCAACAGACUCUUAGCGAGUCUCAUCGUAGUCAACUCCUUGAACUUGUCAGAAAACAUCUUAACGACAAGUCGAUCUUUCUUAGUGGUGAUACUUAUCAUCAUUGUCCGUCUUCCUUUUAAAAUCCAUCUGUACCCAACAGCCUUACGACUAUCAAGUAGUUCUUCCAAAGUCUAUACUUUGUUUUCAUACAUGGAUCCUCUCUCGGAUUAUAUGGCCUCGAGCCAUUCGUCGGAAUCCGUGCCCACCAUCGCUUCUACAUAGCUCGUAGGUUCAUUGUUGUCUAGCAACAUGACCUCCAAGACAGGAUUAAGUACCACUCUGAAGUAGUAUGCAUCCUUGUCGACCUACGAGGUUUGGUAGUGACUUGAUCCGAAGUUUCAUGAUCACUAUCAUCAGCUUCCACUUCAAUUGGUGUAGGCGCCAUAGGAAUAACUUCUUGUGCCCUGCUACACACUAGUUGAAGUGAUGGUUCAAUAACCUCAUCAAGUCUCCACCAUCCUCCCACUCAAUUCUUUCAAAAGAAACUUUUCACCAAGAAAGGACCUGAUUCUAGAAACAAUCCCUUUUGCUUCCGGAUCUGAGAUAGGAGGUAUACCCAACUGUUUUUGGGUGUCCUAUGAAGAUGCAUUUAUCCGCUUUGGGUUCGAGCUUAUCAGCCUGAAACUUUUUCACAUUAGCGUCGCAGCCCCAAACUUUUAAGAAACGACAACUUAGGUUUCUCCAAACCAUAGUUCAUACGGUGUCGUUUCAAUGGAAUUGCGUGGUACCCUAUUUAAAGUGAAUGCAGUUGUCUCUAAUGCCUAACCUAUAAACGACAGUGGUAAUUCGAUAAGAGACAUCAUGGUAUGCACCAUAUACAAUACGGUGCAGGUAUGAUGUUCGGACACACCAUCACACUAUGGUGUUCCAGGCGGUAUUAAUUGUGAAACAAUUUCCACAAGGUCUUAAUUGUGUACCAAACUCAUAACUCAGAUAUUCAUCUCUAUGAUCAUAUCAUAGACAUUUUAUCCUCUUGUCACGACGAUCUUCAACUUCACUCUGAAAUUACUUGAACCUUUCAAUAAUUUAGACUUGUGUUUCAUCAAGUAAAUAUACUCAGCAUCUACUCAAAUCAUCUGUGAAGUAAGAACAUAACGAUAUUCACUGCGUGCCUCUUCACUCAUUGUAUUGCACACAUCAAAUGUAUUACUUCCAACAAAUUACUCUCUUGUUUCAUCUCACUGAAAAAUGAGGCCUUUCAGUCAUCUUGCCCAUGUGGUAUAAUUUGCAUGUCUCAAGUGAUUGAAAAUCAGGUGAGUCCAGACGAUCCAUCUGUAUGGAGUUUCUUCAUGCAUAUAUACCAAUAGACAUGGUUCACAUGUCUCAAUCUGUUCAAAAACGAGUGAGUCCAAAAAUCCAUCAACAUGGAGCUUCUUCAUGCGUUUUAUACCAAUAUGACUCAAAUGGCAGUGCCACAAGUAUGUGGUACUAUAAUUACUAUCUUAUAUCUUUUGGUAUGAACAUGUGUAUCACCACGAUCGAGAUUCAAUAAACCAUUCAUUUUAGGUGCAAGACCGUUGAAGGUAUUAUUCAAAUAUACAGAGUAACCAUUAUUCUCGUUAAAUGAAUAACCGUAUUGCGAUAAACAUAAUCCAAUCAUGUUUAUGCUCAACGCAAACAACAAAUAACAAUUAUUUUGGUUUAACACCAAUCUCGAUGGUAGAGGGAGCAGGCGAUGCUUGAUCACAUCAAUCUUGGAAACACUUCCAACACACAUCGUCAUCUCACCUUUAGCUAGUCUCCGUUUAUUCUGUAGCUCUUUUAUUUCGAGUUACUAACACUUAACAACCGAACCGGUAUCUUAAUACCCUGGUGCUACUAGGAGUACUAGUAAAGUACACACUUAAUACAAUGUAUAUCCAAUAUACUUCUAUCAACCUUGCCAGCCUUCUCAUCUACCAAGUAUCUAGGGUAGUUCUGCUUCAGUGACUGUUCUCCUCAUUAUAGAAGCACUUAGUCUCGGGUUUUGGGUUCAACCUUGGGUUUCUUCACUAGAGCAGCAACUGAUUUGCCGUUUCAUGAAGUAUCCCUUCUUGCCCUUGCCCUUCUUGAAACUAGUGGUUUUACUAACCAUCAACAAUUGAUGCUCCUACUUGAUUUCUACAUUCACGGUGUCAAACAUCGCGAAUUGCUCAAGGAUCAUCAUGUCUAUCCCUGAUAUGUUAUAGUUCAUCACGAAGCUCUAGUAGCUUGGUGGCAGUGACUUUGGAGAACCAUCACUAUCUCAUCUAGAAGAUAACUCCCACUCGAUUCAUGCAAUUGUAGUACUCAGACAAUCUGAGCACAUGCUCAACGAUUGAGCUUUUCUCCCUUAGUUUGCAGGCCUAAGAAACUUGUCGGAGGUCUCACACCUAUUGACGUGGACACGAGUCUGAAAUCCUAAUUUCAGCUCUUGGAACAUCUCAUAUGUUCCGCGACGUUUCAAAAAUGUCUACGGUGCCUCAAUUCUAAACUGUUUAAUAUUACGCACUGAACUAUCACGUAGUCAUCAAAAUGUGUAUGUCAGAUGUUCGCAACAUCCACAAACGAUGCUCGAGGUUCAGCACACCGAGCGGUGCAUUAAGGACAUAAGCCUUCUGUGCAGCAACAAGGACAAUCCUUAGUAUACGGACCCAGUCCGCAUAAUUGCUACUGUCAACUUUCAACUAAAUUUUCUCUAGGAACAUAUCUUAAACAGUAGAACUAAAGCAUAAGCUGCGACAUAAUUUACAAAGACCUUUUGACUAUGUUCAUGAUAAUUAAGUUCAUCUGAUUAUUUAAUGAACUCCCACUUAGAUAGACAUCCCUCUAGUCAUCUAAGUGAUACAUGAUCCGAGUCAACUAGGCCAUGUCCGAUCAUCACGUGAGACGGACUAGUCAACUAGGCCGUGUCCAGUUUGUUGGGUUGGUAUAGAUUGAGAUUAUGAUUUUUCACUUUGUGUUUUGGAGAGAUAUCUCUGGGCCCUCUCGGUAAUGCUCAUCACUAUAAGCCUUGCAAGCAAUGUGACUAAUGAGUUAGUUGCGGGAUGAAGUAUUACGAAACGAGUAAAGAGACUUGCCGGUAACGAGAUUGAACUAGGUAUGGUGAUACCGACGAUCAAAUCUCGGGCAAGUAACAUACCGAUGACAAAGGGAACAACAUAUGUUGUUAUGCGGUUUGACCGAUAAAGAUCUUCGUAGAAUAUGUAGGAGCCAAUAUGAGCAUCCAGGUUCCGCUAUUGGUUAUUGACCGCGGAUGUGUCUCGGUCAUGUCUACAUAGUUCUCGAACCCAUAGGGUCCGCACGCUUAACAUUCGAUAACGGUAUGUAUUAUGACUUAUGUGUUUUUGAUGACCGAAGUUUGUUCGGAUUCCCAGAUGAGAUCACGGACGUGACGAGGAGUAUCGAAAUCUUCGAAAGAUAAAGAUUGAUAUAUUGGACGGAUAUAUUCAGACACCGGAAAUGUUCCAAAAAGUUUCAAAUAAAACCCGGAGUGACGGAGGGGUUACCGGAACCCCCCCCCCUCGGGGAACUAAUGGGCCACAUUGGGCCUUAGUGGAGAGAGAGAGAGAGGGGCGGCCAGAGCAGGCCGCGCGCCCCCUCCCCCUUGGGUCCGAAUUGGACUUGGGAAGGGGGGCGUCGCCCCCCUUUCGUGCCCCCUCUCCCUCUCCUUCCUCCCCCCUCUCUCGGGAGGUGGACUCCUACUAGGACUUGGAGUCCUACUAGGACUCCUCUCUCCCAGGCGCGCCUACAGGGGCCAGCCGGCCUCCCCCUUGCCUCCUUUAUAUACGGAGGCAGGGGGCACCCUAGAAGACACAAGUUUAUCUCCCAACCAUGUGCGGUGCCCCCCUCCACAGUUACACACCUCGAUCAUACCAUCAUAGUGCUUAGGCGAAGCCCUGUGCCGGUAGCAUCAUCAUCACCGUCGCCACGCCAUCGUGCUGACGGAACUAACCCUCAUCCUCAACUGGAUCAAGAGCACGAGGGACGUCAUCAAGCUGAACGUGCACUGAAUUCGGAGUUGCCGCACGUUCGGUACUCGGAUCGGUUGGAUCGCGAAGAAGUUCGACUACAGCAAUCGCGUUAUUGAAACACUUCUGCUUUCGGUCUACGAGGGUACGUGGACACACUCUCCCCUCUCGUUGCUAUGCAUCACCUAGAUAGAUCUUGCGUGAUCGUAGGAUUUUUUUUGAAAUUACCGCAUUCCCCAACAGUGGCAUCCGAGCCAGGUCUAUGCAUAGAUGUUAUAUGCACGAGUAGAACACAAAGAGUUGUGGGCGAUAAUAGUCGUACUGCUUACCACCAACGUCUUACUUUGAUUCAGCGGUAUUGUUGGAUGAAGCGGCCUGGAUCGACAUUACUUGACCGCGUUCAUGAGACUGGUUCUACCGAUGUGCUUUUGCACAUAGGUGGCUGGCGGGUGUCUAUUUCUCCAACUUUAGUUGAAUCGAGUUUGACUACGGUCGGUCCUUGUUGAAGGUUAAAACAGCACACUUGACGAAAAAUCGUUGUGGUUUUGAUGCGUAGGUAAGAACGGCUCUUGCUAGAAGCCCGUAACAGCCACGUAAAACUUGCAACAACGAAGUAGAGGACGUCUAACUUGUUUUUGCAGGGCUGUGUAUGGUCAAGACAUGAUAACAAUCAUGAUGAUGCAUAUUUGGGGUAUUUCCUAUGCAUGGAUGAAAAGUUUUUUGGGUACUGGCGUUCAUGCAAGAUUGGCUUUAUCAGCUACAACAGAAGGAUCACACUUUCUGUUAUGAAUAUGUCAAACAAGUAUGGGAUGCUAUUACAAGUAAGGAUAAAUUUCGUGAUUUGGAUAAUUAAAUCCAAAGCACAACUACCUCUCAAUCGACUGAAUCUAUCCAAAUGGUUACCCGUUCUUCGUUUCUAAGCAAAGGAAAAACAACAACCAAGUAUUGCAAGCAAAACUAGCUAGCUCUAAGAGAUACUAACAAUUGAUUCCAUGAAAAGAAUGGCAUUCCUCUUGUUUUGCGAAAAAUAGUAUGCCGCUUUGCUAGCAGAUUUUGGUUGCUUGCGUGCCGGGAGAGUUGACAGAUGAGCGGUGAACGUACCAAGGUGCAUGCACGUCCAUGCGAGUGACGUCCUUGAUAUCCUCCGGCUGGGUUUAAGCGUCUGCUCGAGUCUAUAGAUGAUGAUCAAACGAUGAGCCACUGAAGUUGCAACGAAAUACGUUUGAUACACAUUCAGUGACUCGGUGUGCAUGCCAGUAUGUGACGUGAAGAAAAAAAAAGUCCCGCUGGAAGCUUCAAGCACACGCACGGUUGCAGCUGUUGCAUGCAUGCGACGUGAGGAGUGCACUGGCACACCGCCCGCCGCUUGUACUCACCAGCAAAUGUAUUUGUCAAACGUUUUUCGUGGCAACUUGAGUUAGAUAGGCGGCAGUGACUCAUCGUGAGGCCAUCAUCAUCCAGCCUGGAGAUAGAGAGGCCGACACUCACAUGGACGGACGGGCGCCUAGGUACAGCCGAGAACGCUCCAGUCACACAGAGCUUCAGUUACUCGUUGCUGUGCUGUGCUGCAACUUUACAGCAGAAAAGAACAACGAUUUGCUUGCGGAUCGACGCAGCCUCGCCUCCUCCGGUGGCCGCGCUCCUCUGCGCGUGCGACGUGAGGAAACGGAAGCAACUAAUAACUGAAGACGCGCGAGCGAGAGCGAGGAGGGACCGGCGCGGCGCGGGCGGCGAGAUCACGCGCUGGUCUGACCGAAACGGCCAACUCUUCCCUUGCGACAACGCUUGCUGAUGCUACGUACCAACAAAUUCGAUCUAAAACAAGUGCACUCUUGUUCGUCGGUACACAAUAAAACAUUACGAUGCACUCUGAAACAUGGAGGAAAACAUCAUGUUGAUGUAUGGACGGUGAAUACAUGAAGGAUCUCAACACUAGUAGAAAAACACCUAAUAGUUCCGGUUUGUGAGGGCCUUUAGUCCCGGUUCAUGAACCGGGACUAAUGGGCCGUUACUAAUACCUUCACCCAUUAGUCUCGGUUCAAAUUUGAACCGGGACAAAUGUGCCUUCACGUGGCUCUGUGCGCCGAGCCCAGUCAGGGGGCCUUUGGUACCGGUUGGUGGCUCCAACCGGGACCAAAAGUCCAUAUUUUUUUUUGGAAAUUGACUGCUUUAGGGGUUUUGGGGGUUAUUUUUAGGUUGUUAUAUUAGCUAGCUAAUAGAGAGAAGUGUCCUCUCUUAUAUCUUCGUCCUUGGUUUACCAACGUUGCUGCUAUAUAUGUUCAUUUUACCCGCUGAUAUAAUAACUCAUGCAUGCUCGCAUACAUCAGCAUAUAUAAUAACAAGUACUCGUCCUACUAAUCAUGCAUCAUCAUACAACUUCUACUCGUUAUUAAUAAUAAGUCAUACGAUCAUCAUCCUCACAGUCAUCGAACCCAACCCUACAUAAUUAUUCUUAACACAUGAUCAUUAGUAUCAGGUAGGACCUAAACACCCUUAAGGUAAAAUAGCAUAAAACAAUAUAGACCCUAACUCUCCAUUAUGAAGAAUGGCGAUCAUCCUGUCUACAAUUUUUGCCCUUCGCUGAAUGUUGCUUCCAAGAAGCUCCUUACGACUGUCCAUACAUUUUUUUUCAUUCUUUGAUUCUCAGGUCUCCACUUAUUUUAGAAACCCGGUAUGGACAGUUGAGAUUCGUAGGACGACCUGGUUGUAUGUUCAAAACAUGAAGACUACCGUGUGUAUACAUCAGAUGAGGCACACAAUCAUUGGGGAUUAUCUGUUGAAAAACAUUGUAAUAACUUCGUAGUUAGCAAUGAUAUGAUGUACUAGUUUUAGAUGUGUGCAAAAAGAUGCACGGAUGUUGUAAUAGUAUAAAAAUCUUACCAGGGUAUCUCCAUGGUAGUUACCGUAGCUUAACACGUGCACUAGUGGCACGUAUUGACCAUAAUGUUGAGGAGUUCAAUUGUAGGCAUUGUAAUUCUCAAGAUCAGUACAAAAUGCGACCAGAUGAUUUUUCUCCUGAUAAGUUAGUUCGGAGCCUUCGGUGUAGUACGUUCUGUCUACCAUCUUUCGCACAUUCUUUUAAGAAUGAAAAUAAGCUGUCAAUGGAGAAUAAGUUGUCAACUAUUCUGAAAUAAACAAUAUAAAUUACUUAAUAACUAUGUUAAGCUCACAUGGGGGAAGAAUUGGAGGUGUAUCCACAAGGACGAAAAUCGUAGGUCUCUCUUGCUCGAUUGUAGGAUCACCAAGAUCCAUGGUAACAAGCAUACCCUCAUCAAAACCAUACAUCUUGCAAAGUGCUUCCCAAUUUUUGCAACCAAAAUGGGUUACACUUUGAGCAUUGUACAACUUUACUUGAAAAUCCACACCAUGAUGGGUACUUAGGAUAAUUUUUUUGGUUUCGAAACUUUCAUGGUCUUCAAAACUCAUCUUCUCCAAGACAUAGCGUCUUGCAAAGCAUGGGAUAAGCUAGUCGAAUUGGAAAAGAUGAAAAAUAUUGUCAUGAUUAAAAUAGUUGAAGUCAUGAGUAAUUACGAAAAUAAACUUUUAUCGUCGGUUGCGUACCGUAUGAACAUCGAAGGUCUCCACGAGCUUAAUGCUGAAGCGACCAUCUUCGUCCAGCACAAUGAACCUAUCGCAGAUACCUCGGUCGUCGUGGCACCAGUCGCACUCCCCCGGGCGGUUUUCGUCGUUCGAUGAGUACGAUAUUUCCGGCCUACGUUCAUAAUUCAAAUAUUAAACUAGAUCAUUAUUAUUAAUCACGGGUUGACUAUCGAUGAUCGAUGUACGUAGCUCCUCCUUUCAUUCCCGAAUGCAUUAUUAUAUCAAAUUGUCUAGCACACGGGAAUGAAGGAGAACCUACCCAAUAUAAGCAUUCAAUAAGCAAAACCAAAUCAUAAAAUGAGCAAAACCAAAUCAUAAAAUAAAGUAUAAUAUUCAAAUUAGCAUGCAUUCAAUAAUUAUAAGCAAAAGUACAACAUCUCUUGGUGUCCGUACAUCGUCGAAUAUUAUCACUAAUACAACUAGAACCGUAACGCCCGACGGGUAUCGACGCGAGCGGUGGACACCCAAAGAUAAGGAACCAUCACAGGAUCAUAGCUCCAGUGAGAUCCCUGAAGAACCUGCCAGGUAUUGUCGAAUCUGCCCUCCAAUGCAACCAUGUAGCGACGGAUGUGCUCGUCCUCCUCGCUGACACGGUGACGUAUCACCUCCGCAGUGUCCGGAUGCCUCACCACCGUCACUGGCCCACGCGACCGCCACCAAAUAAGGAUCGGGUCAACAACGGGCUGCCUCCUCACCAAUCUACGUCCCCCGGAAGGUAGCACCUCCCAAUACCAGCCCGGCGGAGCCCAGUCCCGAACAUGGCCCUGAUCAAGCAGGCCUCCACCGCCUAGUCGACGACGACGAGAAUGCGGGAUAGGUAUCGCCGACGUCGAUGCGGCAACUACUUCUAUAUAUAGUUAAAUAAAAGUAGUUUUAUUAAUUAAAUCAACUAUCUAGUUCAACUACUAAGCACUUAAUAAAAACAAACUACUUCUAUAUAUAGUAAAAUAAAUUAGUUUAUUAAAUCAAUUAGCUAGUUCAACUAUAUAUAAACUACUUCUUAUUACAACACAUCUAAUCUAACAAAAAAAUCAUUAAUUGCUACACAUCUAAUCUAACAACUAUAUAUAAACUACUUCUUAUUACUACACAUCUAAACUAUAUACAAAAAAAUCAUUAAAACUCUAUGAACAAAAUUAAUUACUACACAUCUAAUCUAAUCUAACAAAAAAAUCCAAUCUAACAAAAAAAAUCUAUGAACUACUACAUAUCUAAAUUACUACACACAUCUAAUCUAACAAAAANNNNNNNNNNNNNNNNNNNNNNNNNNNNNNNNNNNNNNNNNNNNNNNNNNNNNNNNNNNNNNNNNNNNNNNNNNNNNNNNNNNNNNNNNNNNNNNNNNNNNNNNNNNNNNNNNNNNNNNNNNNNNNNNNNNNNNNNNNNNNNNNNNNNNNNNNNNNNNNNNNNNNNNNNNNNNNNNNNNNNNNNNNNNNNNNNNNNNNNNNNNNNNNNNNNNNNNNNNNNNNNNNNNNNNNNNNNNNNNNNNNNNNNNNNNNNNNNNNNNNNNNNNNNNNNNNNNNNNNNNNNNNNNNNNNNNNNNNNNNNNNNNNNNNNNNNNNNNNNNNNNNNNNNNNNNNNNNNNNNNNNNNNNNNNNNNNNNNNNNNNNNNNNNNNNNNNNNNNNNNNNNNNNNNNNNNNNNNNNNNNNNNNNNNNNNNNNNNNNNNNNNNNNNNNNNNNNNNNNNNNNNNNNNNNNNNNNNNNNNNNNNNNNNNNNNNNNNNNNNNNNNNNNNNNNNNNNNNNNNNNNNNNNNNNNNNNNNNNNNNNNNNNNNNNNNNNNNNNNNNNNNNNNNNNNNNNNNNNNNNNNNNNNNNNNNNNNNNNNNNNNNNNNNNNNNNNNNNNNNNNNNNNNNNNNNNNNNNNNNNNNNNNNNNNNNNNNNNNNNNNNNNNNNNNNNNNNNNNNNNNNNNNNNNNNNNNNNNNNNNNNNNNNNNNNNNNNNNNNNNNNNNNNNNNNNNNNNNNNNNNNNNNNNNNNNNNNNNNNNNNNNNNNNNNNNNNNNNNNNNNNNNNNNNNNNNNNNNNNNNNNNNNNNNNNNNNNNNNNNNNNNNNNNNNNNNNNNNNNNNNNNNNNNNNNNNNNNNNNNNNNNNNNNNNNNNNNNNNNNNNNNNNNNNNNNNNNNNNNNNNNNNNNNNNNNNNNNNNNNNNNNNNNNNNNNNNNNNNNNNNNNNNNNNNNNNNNNNNNNNNNNNNNNNNNNNNNNNNNNNNNNNNNNNNNNNNNNNNNNNNNNNNNNNNNNNNNNNNNNNNNNNNNNNNNNNNNNNNNNNNNNNNNNNNNNNNNNNNNNNNNNNGCGGGAAACGAAGACCUGUGGUCCCGGUUGGUGGCUCCAACCGGGACUAAAGGGGGGGCAUUGGUACCGGUUGGUGCCAUGAACCGGUACCAAUGCAACCCUUUAGUUUCGGUUGGUGCCACCAACCGGGACUAAAGGCCAUGUAUUGCCCGCGUGGCGGCACGAAAGUUUAGUCCCACCUUGCUAGCUGAGGGAGCUCGAGAGUGGUUUAUAAGCACCAGUCCCGCUGCCCUCUCGAGCUCCUCUCAAAUGCAGGCUUACGGGCCUAAACGCACUAUAUGUGCCUGUGGGCCUAUUGGGCCUAUUGUGGGCCUGAAUCCUGGCCCGUUGUUGGGUUUCUAGUCGUAUUCAGGCUGUGGUAGCCCUUAGGUGGCACUUUUUUUAUUUUAUUUAUUUUAUUUUGAUUCUUCAUGCAGCUGUUUUUUAGUCCCACCUAGCCAAGCGAGAGGUACUCGCAGCUGUUUAUAAGCUCUGAGUGCAGAGAUGAUGACAAAGAGGCUCAAUGCUCCUGCACGUUGGAUAGCUUCAAGCCUUGAGGAAUACGGUAGACUGCACAGAGCUAUGUGCAGUGCAGUUGAUACUAUUCUGAAAGGCUUGAAGCAAAUUAACAAGCAUUGCGCCUCUUUUUUAUUUUUAAUGACUUAUUACAACUGAGAAAUAAAAAGAAAAAAAUAACUGAAAAGAAAAAAAACUAUAUAGUAAACUACUCAUAAAUGAAUUGAACCAAAAAAUAGUUGUGAUUAACUGUACUAAAAAAGGAGCAUAGAUGCUUAUUGUUAAUGACUUAUUACAACUCAGAAAUAAAAAGAAAAAAAAAUAAAUAUAGUAGAAAAGAAAAAAAACUACAUAAAAAGAUACUCAGAAAUGAAUUGAAGCAAAAAAAUAGUUGUGAUUUACUGUACUAAAAAAGGAGCAUAGAUGCUUAUUUGUAAUGACUUAUUACAACUCAGAAAUAAAAAGAAAAGAAAGUAGUUGUGAUUAACUUUACUAAAAUAUGAGCGUAGAUGCUUAUUUUUUAAUGACUUAUUACAAUUCAAAAAUAAAUAGAAGAAAAAAUAGUUAUGAUUAAUUUUACUAAAAAAUGAGCAUAGAUGAUUAUUUUUAAUGACUUAUUACAACUCAGAAAUAAAAAUAAAAAAAUAAAUAUAGCAGAAAAGAAAAAAAAACUAUAUGAAAAACUACUCAGAAAUGAGCAUAGAUGCGCUUAUAGAGGAAAUUCAAAUUAAAUUCAUAACAAAUUUCAAGAGAAAUUUGUAUGAAUUUAGCCUAAAAUCCCUAUAUAAGGGCAUCCAUUUUCAUUUUCAGAGGAGCUCAAUAAGGCAGAGAGGGAGGGGCUUAUAAACCGGUCUGAUUUCCCUCCGGUUGGCGAGGUGGGACUAAACUUUGCCCGCAACGAGGACCAACCCUUUAGUCCCGGUUGGCGGAAUGGACCGGGACUAAUGGUCGUCCUUUGGUCCCGGUUCGGACCACCAACCGGGACCAAUGGUGAUGGGCCAGGAGCGAGGGCCAUUGGUCCCGGUUCGUGCCACCAACCGGGACCAAUAGGUCCAGCCGAACCGGGACCAAUGGCCCACGUGGCCCGGCCGGCCCCUGGGGCUCACGAACCGGGUCCAAUGCCCCCGUUGGUCCCGGUUCUGGAUUGAACCGGGACUAAUGGGCUGGACCGGCCUGGACCAUUGGCCCCCUUUUCUACUAGUGCAAAGCAACGACGGAAUGUUGAUGUAUCAUGUAUCCACGGUAUAUCCCAUGCUUGGUGGAAAAGACACUCUAGAAAACUCUACCUCGAAACGGGAAGACUUGAAACUAACCGAGAUGGCCAGAUGUCACGGUAGCCCCUCUAGAAGUUAUAAUUUCAACUUCAACUAACUUAUUAUAAAACAAGUGCACUGUUAUUUGAAGGAAAUUAGCAUUUGCCACCUCUAGUGGAAAUGAGAAAAUAGUAAAGCUACAACCUAAGGCACUAAUUUGCAGUGUGGUUUUCUCAUUUUUGUUUUUCUAAUAAGUUGGGGAUGGUCAUAAUUGCUUAUGACAAUUUAUACAUGGGUAUGUAUAUAUUCUAAUACUAUCUGCAUGAUGUUUUUUGUACUUUUAAUAGAAGUACAAUUUUUACCAAAUUUGAAAAAAAGGUCUUAUGUAAUAGGUUCUGAAAAAUCUCCUCUAACCCAUGUUUACUUCAUAUAUUUUUUCCAAUCAAGGAGUAUGGGUUAUCGGUUCCAUAAAAAAUGGGACAAAAGUGUCGAGUAAUACAAAAAGCGGGCAUGGCGCCACAACCACAUUAUCCGCUAUCCACUAAAGCAACACAAAUGAGAUAAAUAACUUUACCUGGACAUCUAUAAGUUUCCCUUAUCUACUCUGUAAUCUCACAACUCUAGAAAGCUUACAAUCCUUAUCGCUUGUGUUUGUGCACGCAUCUCAAGACGGCAGCGGAGGUGAUCCGUGCGCCACGUCCCUGGCUCAAGACGGCAGAGGACGGAACGAUUGGGAGGGCGCCAGGGAUUCUCCGGUGGCAAUGACGAGCUUGGUGUUUUGGCCAAGCCAAGCGUCGUAGCCGGCGUUAGCCGGGCGGGAGCGGAGCAGCUCUCGUGCCAUGAUCAGCACGGCCUGCGCGUUCCGCGGCCCGUGGCAGCCGAGGGAAGAAGAGGCCAUGGCAGUGCGAUCAUCGGGCUGCACAGAGGGGUGCAUGGAGGGGUUCUGCUGCUCGUGGGCAACGGGGUCGGUGGCAGCAGCGGCCACGACAUUGGCAGAGUGUUGGCGGGUCAUCGUGGCCCACAGGCUCUAUACGGGAGACGCGAGCUGCCCGGCGCUCGGCACGCACUUGACGAGCAUUAGCCGUGGUAUUGGUCAAGCGGGAGCUGAAACUGAGCAGAAGAACAGCAACAAACCCCUACCUGGGGCGCCAAAUGUCAGAAUCAGGACUCCAGGGAACCAAGAGGUUCGAACUCUAGGGUGCGCUAGUUCCUACCGCCCUACUCUGCCCUCACAACUUCACGGCGACACUGCGAUAAGCUCGAGCAAAGAUAGAGGAACAAUGAACACGACAGGUACCCAGGUCCGGGCCACCUCGCAGUGUAAAACCUUACUCCUACUUGUCUGGGAUUGCUUUUUGUAGUUGCUAAACGAGUCGACGCCCUCUAUGGCGGCACCUCGCCCUCUUAUUAUACUGCCCCUGGUCCUCUUCCCCUAAAAACACAAGGCAGGAAGGGUUGCCACAACGGCCAAUUUGAACGUGGACAAGGUCACAACUUAUCAUGACUAAAGGUGUUCUUCGCCUACAAAAGACUCCUACCAUGACGUGCUGGUGGGCUCGGGAAUGACAACCGCCCUGGCACGCCCGUUGUCUUAUUCAUCUUGCACCGAUCAGGCAACCUUUGGAGAUUGCUUUGGGAGUUGGCCUCGCUCCCUUAGCACGAAAGAGGAAAGCCUCCUUAUCUGCUUCCGCUGGUGCGACGUCUGGGAUCGCUUGUCGCCUCGCGUGUCACCCACGUGAAGACUCUGGACCGCAUGACCGGGCCUGGCCGCUCUGAUAUGUUUGACUCCACAAGGGCCUUGGGAGGAGACCUCGGGAGACUGCCUCAUGAGAGGGCCUCCUGAGGUUCCUGGCGACGCCUCUGAUCUGCCUGGGGCGCUGCUGAUGUAUGCCUCGCGGGGCGAGGGCCUAUCGAGAAUCUUGCUCACGAACCUUAGUUGUGGUCCGCGCACCGGGCCGAAGGAAUACAGGCCUGGGUACCCCCAGUCCCACGGGCCCAACCCAUGGCAUGGCAUGUUUUUUUAAAGGAGGAUGACCCAGGCCUCUGCAUCUGGGAGAUGCAUACGACCAUUUUAUUGAUUAUUCUCGAGGACCUUACAAAGUAUAACAACAAUAUGCCUGAAUCCACCAUCUUGGCAGCAUCUGCCGCUACUCCUAUCCAAAUGAUGAAGCUGUGCAAGGUGGGCCACAUACCCAUACCUCUCACCUGAGCCUAACAUCUAAAGCCGGAUGCCCCGACCGAGCCAUCUGCUAGGUCCGGGGCUCAAACCGGUCUGACGCACUCACAUGUCUCAGCGCCGUCAUCUUCCACUGGUCCAUCUUCAGAGAAGAUUGAGGUGACAACCUUGGCAGGUCCUCCACCAUCGAUGCCACCACGAUACCAAACAACGACCUCCACCAUGAUGCCAGCCGGCGACCUCCAGCUAUGCAAGUCCAUCUGCAAGCAACAUACGUAAAUCCAUGCUAGGGCAGGGCCGCACCACCGCCGUCGCCCACCACCCACAAGCGCCACCCAAUCCCAAGGUUCCCAGAGCGGCGCCUUCAAGAAGGGAACGGCGCCAUGAGCGCUGCCGCUGCCCAACAGAGUUAGGGCUUUCGCCCGGGAGACCUAGUGGAAGGUGAAGUGAGGAGAUCAGUCCAUACCGACGCCUCCAAGGAGGGAAACGGUGCCCUCAGGUGUCGCUGUCGGCGCGGCCAGUCAUGGCCGGCCAGGGAUUUCGCCUGAACUAGAUCUCCGCCACCAGCAGCACCUCCUAUACAGAACGGGGACCAAGAGGAUAUGUGGCCCGACCAGGCUGGUCCGCACGCCGACCACGGGAGGAAGGGAGGCGCCAGAUCAUGCACACCGACUGCCGGAGAAGCUGCCGCCGGCCGCCAACGACCACCGGAUCCCGCCGCCCUCACGGCCGGGACACUGGAUCCACCACCAGCACGGCAGUUAGCCGGUCAUGCCUUGCCAAUGGAGCCGCGGCUCCAGAUCUGGUGUUCCCCACACAGGAACAGGGCAACCGAGGCCCCGCCGCCAUGUGAUUAAGAAAAUGUUUAUUCAGUCUAAUACAUAAACUGGCCCAUGGCCCAACAUAUGAUUAACUAGAAAUUAGAAGGGGAUUUCAUGCAUCUUCUUUAUUUUUUAUGUGUAGUCACAUUAACCAUUAACCCUUGAGCCGUCACCAGGUAGUGGUUAGGUGUGCAUCCUCAUCUACAAUGUCUUAUCCUAGUGGUGUGUUCGGAUCCCAAGUAAUUGGCAGUGUCACAUUUAUCCCACAAUAAUACAUAUCAAUCUAAGACUAAUAUAUACCAAGUUACGAUUGCAUGUUAUGAUUAAAAAUAAGUAAUUUUAUAUGCAUUAUACCCAUAUCCAUUCAAACUUAUAUAGAAGUGAAACUGUGGAAGGCACUCCCAUUUUCAUAUGUGAAGAAUGAUAGUAGCAUAAAAGGCUUACCCGGUAUGAACCUCAAAAUAUGCUCAAUGGUUGGUUUUUUGGUUGGAAAGAAAUGUGUGUUUGUUUCUUUUUUAGAGGAAUAUGUGUUUCUUUCUCUUCGCGGCGAGUCAUAGAGUAGUGAAUAGAUCAGUAACCAUGGGUUCUUGAACAAACGGCUGAGAUGGGGAAGGUCAGAUGCGAGUGUUUAUCCUCCCAUUUCCAUGUCAUGCCUUGAUGAGUCACGUGAGCAUACGGGUGGUCGCGCCUAAGACCGCACAGGGAUAAUGGUGCGUGCUGCGGCCUCCUCCUCCUCCUGCAGUCUGCCAAAAUAAUCCCAUUGAAUUCGAAGGUAUUCCCUUAGUCGCAGUUGCGCCACACCCUCAAUGUCACCUCGUGCUGCGGCCUCCUCCUCCAUUCCUCGACUCGGCCAAGGCGACGGGACCAAGAUCUGGGGCAGCACGCCGCUAUGAUAGACUGCAGGAAGCCUCUCUGGUGGGCCCCUUUAUGCACCAUUAUUGAUGGGGUUCGCCGGCCAGGUGAGGAUGUGAAUUUCCCUCUUCCAACUCUCAUUCACCGGUGUGGCCACCAUUGGCCAGAUCUUCACUACCUUGGGUGCACUCUUUCCUAGCCGCCCUUAGAUCUCUCUACUUCUCCCUGUUUCUUGUUCCAUCGACCGGCGACCUAAUCGUUGGUGCGUCCGAUCAUGGAGAUGCCCAACAAGCAUAGCCUCCAAGGCACUGCACACACACAUCUCAGAAGGCACACCAUCACCUAAUUACCUUAUUGGGCUAAAUUUACUACCCACGGGUAUGUGUAUGGGCCAAAUGUAGUCCACACAGGGGGUCGUGGGGAUGGGUACAAUCGAGCGCUCCCUGUAGCUGAUUCCCAUGGGCCCAUCAAUUAGGCCCGAUAUGUGCGCUCUAUCAUUUCUCCCAUAUAAAUAUACCACACCCAACCUUCUCACACCAGAACCCUAAAUCAAACCGCAUAAUAGUCCUCUUUUCUCCGCUAGCCGCCGCCAACCCUCUCUUCUCCCAACCCUUCCCUCUUCCUAGAUCGAGCCUCACACCAUCGUGACGGGCCGACGGGAAGCCUCUCCGGAGGAGCCAUCUAUGCAUCAAUAUCGAUGGGGUUCAUCGACCAAAUGAGGGUGUGGAUCCCCCUUCUCAUGCUAUCAAUCGUCGGCACGGCCACCAUCAACCAGAUCUUCACUACCUCUGGUAUGCAUUCUCUCCCUCUCCUUCUUUCUCCUGGUCGCCCUUGGAUCCCUCUCUUACUCCGUCGUUUCUUGUUACACUGAUAGGUGACCUCAUCGCCGGUGCUUUCGACUAUGGACAUGCCCAUCAAGCAUAGCCUCCAUGGCACCGCACACGCAUGUCCUAGGAGGCACGCCAUCAGCUAAUUACCUUUUUGUGCUCAAUUUGCAACCCACAGGCAUGCGUAUGGGCCAAAUGUUGUCCCACCAGGUAUCGUGAGGGUGGGUACGUUCCACUACUCAUGUACCUGAUAUCCAUGAGUGCCGUCAGUUAGGCCCGGCAUGUGGGCCCUAGCAUUUCUCCUGUAUAAAAAUACUAUAUCCAUCCAUCCCACGAUGGAACCCUAAAUCAAUCCACAUUCGACUCCUCUGUCCUCUCCUAGCUGCCACCAACCCUUCUCCCUUCUCCCAGCCUCUCCCUCUUCCCCAAAUCGAUCCUCCUACCAUCAUUCACCACCCGUCCACGAAGAUGGUGCCGCAUAGCCUCGACCAUGUAGAUCUAUUAUCCGCUCGUCCCUAUCACCCUCACCCAUCAUCGCCGCAUCUCGCCUCGUCGCUCUUGCUGCCGAAUCAACUAUGGGGACUAUGAUGGUUUGCCGCUUAGAGGCCAAGCCCUACUGGUCAGCUACUCGCGUGCCGCGACGGCCUCCUCCAGAUCCACCCCUCUGCACGACCACGAUUGACUCUGGUGAUGUCCGACAUCACUUUUGCCUCUCAAAUCCCAAGCUAAUCAUAGGGCAUGCCAUGGCCAAAAUCUCCCUCUCACCGCCGCGAUUUCUCUCCCGGCGUUCUUCCCGUACCAUGUUCUGGGUUGUUCGUUCCUUCCUGCCGAGAGAUCGAUUCCGAGUUAUUGUUGUUUUGUUUGCGGUGGUCAUCUCUUUUGGUGUGCGUCUGUUUUUGUUUUGCCUGGAGCAGAGUUUAUCUAAUCUUCAGGUCGCCGGUGCUCCGUCUGGUUUUUGCUUGCUUUACUGUCUCAUCUCACUGUUGGAUUCAUUUUACCAAUCUUUCCCGGUUUGGUUGCCGGCCGCAAAUUCUUUCCUUUUUCCCCACUCGGUGGCUGUUGUGACUGAUUUCGGAGUUUCCUUUCAAUUUUGUUCUCUUUUAGUAGGAUUUCUGUUUGGUCUGACUUCGCAGCGGCAACAUGAUCAUGGCGGAAGAUUCAUGCUUUUGCCCGAUUGUUUCUGUACGGAUUUCUGUCGAACAGAUCUUCGAAUGUUCGGGGUUCGCAAUUCAAUUUCUCAGUUCGUAGACAUUGUUGCUUUUUGGAACUGAUUUUGGUUUAGAUAGAAUUCUCGUGAUGAGGGGAAGAACUUCUUUGCUAUUUGUUUCAAUAUGUAUCCCAAGUGUUUGAAGUGGUUCUCAUACUCGCUAACGCUGUCUGUGGAUUGUCUGAUUUUCAUUUUCCAUGCAGGUACCAUAGGAUCAACCCGGAAUCCGUCCGAGUCCCCAAUGGCGGCGGCAACGGCAUCGGAGCCACCAGGAAGCUAGCGGAACCCGCUGUCACCCACACCAAGCAUGGACAAGCGUGACGGUGCCCCAGCCGUGGAUGCCGACAGGUCGAGCCUCACGUCCUACCUCGCCCGCACCUCUCUCAAGCAGCACGAGCCAGAAGGGCGUCCGUCGUCCUCAUCUGCUGCCAUCAUGAGGGACCACCAGCUAUAUAACGACGCCGCCCUCUCCUCCCAGGGACUCAACCUGGGGGACGGGCUCUACAACUUGGCCACCCAAGCCUCCGAGCCAUCCAACAGACUCGGCGGAGCGGUCUACACCUUCGCCGCACAAACUUCCCAGGCAUACAACAGCCUAGGCAGCGGGCUCUACAACCUCGCCGCCCAGGGCACCCAGGGAGGCGACCUCGGCGGCGGGCUCUACAAACUCGCCGCCCAGGCCACCCAUGUAGCCGACCUCGGCGGCGGGCUCUACAACCUUGCCGCCCAGGCCACCCGGAGAGGCGACCUCGGCAGCGGCAGCGGCGGCGAUGUCGAUACCGCCGUCGUCGAGGUCGCCUCCCUAAGUGACCUGGGCGGAAAGUUUUUGUAGAGCCCGCUGUCGAGGUUGGCUCCCUGGGUGGCCUGGUCUGCGAGGUUGUAGAGACCGCCGCUGAGGUCGCCUCCCUGGGUGGCUUGGGCGGUGAGGUUGUAGAGCCCGCUGCCGAGGCUAUUGUAUGCCUGGGAGGCUUGUGCAACGAAGGUGUAGACUACGCCGUUGAGGCUGUUGGAUGGCUCGGAGGCUUGGGUGGCCAAGUUGUAGAGCCCACCGCCGAGGUUGAGUUCCUGGGAGGAGUGCGCGGCAGUGUUGUACAACUGGUGGUCCCUCAUGACGGCAGCAGAUGAGUACGACGGACGCCAUCGUGGUUGGUGCUACUCGAGCGAGACACGGGCGAGGUAGGACGUGAGGCUCGACCUGUCAACAUCCACGGCCGGCGCGCCGUCGCGCUCGUGAGUGACGGCGCGGGUUCUGCUGGCAUGUCGCCGGGCCAUCCUAAGGAUCAAGAAACACCCGACGACGCAAGGCCAGGCCUAGUCCUGCGCGAAGGCGAAGAACCUGAUGCGCCGCCGAGCGCCAGCGGCCCGGUCAUCCCCGACACCACGCAACAGACUCCUCAUGAUGCCACCCUCUCGCCACUGCCACCUCGUGCUGCCACUCUCUCACAGCGCAGGUACGUACACCACACACCAUUCUCUGUCGAAGCCAGGUAAGGUAGCCACCAUGGGACCUGCCCGUCGUCCACGGUGGCAGCGUCCCCACUCCGUCCAUGUUGAGUUGCCUUGCGCCAUCAUGGUCGGGUCAAUCCGGCCCUACUUGCUGCCCGUGUGCUCGAGCCAGGGCCGGGCCUGGUCUAGUUUGCGUGGCGUUGCGCCCCCCACCAUUUUUAGAAAUAGUGGCGCGUUUCUUUACUCAAUUACACCUUUUGUAUUCUUUCCCUUUAUACGCUAGCAGUACAAGUAAGUAACACCACACACAUUAAUCGGCACCUCAUUAUCUCCGGGAUAGACAUUGAUAAUCUGGGCGAUCUCCAGCAUCGUCUGUGUUGUGUUGUGAUCACUCUACACGCUAACAGCAGUGUCUUUUUUUUGCGGGGUGCAAACAGCAAUGUCUGUGCUGGCACUAAUGCUAUUAAUAGUUUCCUUCUAUUGUUUGUAUAUGUACGCGGUGCAGGCAAGAGGAACUGCUGAUAUCACCGCUGAAUUCGUAUUAGGCUGGUCAUAGUAAUAGUAUUAUGAUUAGUAUCAUGCAUGCCAACUAGAUAAUUUUGGUAAAGCGUCAUAAAAUUAAAUGAAGAAAAAAACAUUGAGUAUUAUAAUAUGAUACCGCAUUAUAAUAAAUGCUAUGCUAGCAAUAAAUAAGAUACUACAUAAAACUGAUACUAAUAUAUGAUAUUAUGGGAGGCAGUAUCGUACACUGGUAUCAUAUGCAUUCUAGUAUAUGAUCCUCCCAGUAGUAGAGAUUUGACCGCAUUAGUGGCAUUAAUUAGUCUGCUUGCUUGUGCAUAUCCAACCAUCCAUCUAUCCAUCUGUAGAGUUGAGGUCUCCUUUUAUAUAUAUGCGGUGUACUUGUACUAGCUGCGCAGGCUACUGUCAAACAUGAUGUUGUUGCGUAUGCAUGGCGUGUACAAGGAGUUUACCACCGGCGAGAAGUAGUUAGUUAGAUGAGUAUUUUGUAAUCUUUAUCUCUUCUUAUCUCUAGCUUUUCUUCUUCUCCAAGAUGUAAAUCUCUUAACCAACUUGUACGCGUGUUUGGGCUCGCAACCCCUCAAUAUAACACGCAACACGUCUGCCAGGAUCGGUAAGACGUUUACCGCAUUCGCACAUGGUAUCAGAGCCUUCUUCUUCCACCAGAAACCCUAGCUCAUCCAUCUCCAUCAAGUGCGCAACCAUGUCUUCCUCCUCCGCCUCCUGCCAGUCGACCCUUUGCGGUGGAGCUCUGGAGAAGCUAACCCGCGGCAACUAUGUUCUGUGGCGGACGCAGAUGACGCCACAGCUGCGCGGCGCCGGCCUCUUCCACUAUGUAGAUGGCACGGCAACCGAGCCGGCCGAAGUCCUCAUCACCAAGGACGCCGCCGGCAAGGAGACCACCGGGACGAAUCCCCUUCAUCCUCUCUGGGUGAGAGAGGAUCAGCAGGUCCUCGGCUAUCUCCUCCAACACCCCUCCAAGUAAGUGCUCAUCACGGUGACCACGAUCACCACGGCGCGCGCUCUCUGGGUGGCACUGGCGGACAUGUUUUCGUCACAAUCACUCAGCCGCGUCAACAACAUCCGGACAACGCUGAUCAAUGCGCAGAAGGGCAAUCAAUCGGUGGCCACCUUCUUCGCCGCCAUGAGGGGUCUCGCCGAUGAACUUGCCGCGGCGAGAAAACCCAUCAAGGACGACGAGUUGAUCUCCUACAUCAUCCGUGGGCUGGACCAAGACUACCAGCCCCUUGUCUCUACACUAGAUGCCCGUGUCACUCCGGUAACUCUCGAUGAACUUUUUGCCAUGCUCAGUAACUUUGAUCAAUACAUGGCACAGUAUCAUGGUCCCGGCGGUGGCUUCAAGUCGUCGGCAAACUCUGCAUCCAGAGGCCGCGGUGGUGGCUCUUGAUCGCGUUCAUCUUCCCGUGGCAAGGGGAGGUUCGGCUCCAGCGGCAGCGGCUACUCCAACAACUCACGCGGCGGCGGGUGCUCCGGCACUCCAAAGGGCAUCGUGGUGGUGGCAGUGGUGGUUCCAACCGGUCCCGCCCGGACUUGCCUCGCUGCCAAAUUUGCGACAAGCCUGGCCAUACGGCAAAGGACUGUUGGUACCGCUACGAAGAAGAUGACGGCGACUCCUCACAAGAUGAAGAGAAAGUUGUUGCGGCGGCUGAUGGCUCCUAUGGAAUUGACACAAACUGGUAUGUUGACAGUGGAGCCACCAACCACAUCACCAAUGAACUCGAGAAGGUCACCAUGAAGGAGAAAUAUCGUGGCAAAGAUCAAAUUCAUACAGCCAGUGGUGAAGGUAUGGGUAUAUGUCACAUUGGCCACUCAAUUUUUAAUACCCCUAGUCGUAAAAUUCACCUCAAAAGAAUCCUGCAUGUUCCUAGUGCUCAUAAGAAUCUUCUCUCCGUUCACACAAUUGCUAUUGAUAAUCAUGUUUUUCUUGAAUUUCAUCCUUUCUUCUUUUUGAUCAAGGAUCAGGCCACGAGGAAAGUUCUCUAUCGAGGUAGAUGUGUUCGAGGGCUCUACCCGUUGAUUCCAGAGUUUAGAAGAUUCAAUAAACAAGCUUGUGGUGCCAUCAAGCUUUCGCCCACACGAUGGCAUGAUCGUUUAGGACAUGCCUCUUUUUCUUCGGUUGAAAAAUUGCUUAGGAAAAAUAAGACCCCGUUUGUUGGUGAGCGCAAUAUUGAAACUAUUUGUGAUUCAUGUCAGUGUGCUAAAAGUCAUCAAUUACCAUAUCCCAUAUCCACUAGUGUCUCCACUAAACCCUUGCAAUUGAUCUUUUCUGAUGUGUGGGGACCUGCCCCCUCCUCUGUUGGUAGACACAUGUACUAUGUUAGUUUCACCGAUGACUAUAGCAAGUUUUCAUGGAUCUAUCUCCUCAAAAAAAGAUCUGAUGUGUUUCAAGUUUUUCACAACUUUCAAGCACUUGUUGAAAGAAAGUUUGACAGUAAGAUCAUUGCUGUCCAAUCCGAUUGGGAAGGGGAAUACGAGAAACUCAAUUCCUUCUUCCAAAACAUAGGCAUAUCUCACCAAGUAUCAUGUCCACACGCUCACCAACAAAACGGGUCAGCCGAACGCAAACAUAGGCACAUUGUAGAGGUUGGCCUGGUCCUCCUCGCAGGAGCCUCCAUGCCUCUCAAGUUUUGGGAUGAGGCUUUUCUUACAGCCGUUCACAUCAUCAAUAUGCUUCCUAGCCGUGUCAUAAAUAAUGAAACACCUAUGGAACGUCUCCUCCACACAAAACCUGAUUACACCUCUCUCCGUGUUUUUGGGUGUGCGUGUUGGCCAAAUCUUCGGCCUUACAAUAAACGCAAGCUCAUGUUCCGUUCAAAAUGGUGUGCUUUUCUUGGCUAUAGAACCCAACACAAAGGAGUCAAGUGCCUUGACAUCUCUACUGGUAGGGUGUAUAUCUCACAUUACGUUGUUUUCGAUGAGACAAAAUUUCCUUUUGCGGAUCUUCAUCCCAACGCCGGUGCCCUACUUCGCAAGGAAAUCUUGCUCUUACCCUCUCAUCUCUCCAGCUAUGAUCAAGGGGGUAUUACAAAUUGUGAUGAUCAUAUGUUGACUAACCCUACUAAUGGCCUCCAUGAGCUUUGUGAUGAUGCAGGAAAUGGUGCAAAAAUCACAGAAAAUAAUGAAGAAAACGGCGCCGCAGGCCCUUAUUUCAUGUGUCCUGAGCUGGGGAGCAAAUCUCCCUCGGGAUCUGCCCAGGAGCUGACGCGCAGCGAAUCCACCUCGGGAUCGGUGCCUUGCAGCGAAUCGCCGACAGCCGCAGGCGCGCGUGCGACCGUGACAGCUGUAGGUGGGCGCGCCGAACCACCCGCGUCAGCCACGCGACAGAACCUGGAUGGCCGCGGCGACUCCCCUCAUGCGCGCCAAUCGCCGUCCAACAAAUGGCAGGCCGGCGCUGGCCUGGGCCGCGCGCGGCUUGAGGCCCAACCGAUCGUCUACAAGCGGCGGGCAGCGACUCGCCUGCCUGAGGCGGGGGCAGACCCUGACGAGGCAGGGCCCAGGCGAUCACGAGGCAAUGAUGAUGCAGCUCAGCCCAGAUCUUCUGUGGCUGGUUUGCCGCUUGUGCCGCAACGGACGACCGCAGAAGAUCCCGACCAACCUGACGCUGCCGACACCACCGGUUCCGAAGCUGCGUCCGGAUCCUCCUUGGGAUCGAGGGAGGAUCAGUCUGAUCCAGGCGUGGGAUCCUCUGCGCCGGGGCUCUCUGGAGCGGCUCCUGCUACUACUCCACGUCGCACACGGCUACAACAAGGCAAAAUUAAACCUAUUGAUUAUAGACAUAUUACAAAAUAUGGGAUGAUUUGUUCAACAGGUGAACCAGGCGAACCCAACACUCUUGAAGAGGCGCUUGGUGAUGCUAAUUGGAGAAAGGCAAUGCAUGAUGAAAUUGUGGCACUAAGGAAAAAUAAAACAUGGCACUUGGUCCCCUCAAGAAAAGGUAAAAAUCUUAUUGACUGUAAGUGGGUCUUUAGGAUAAAAAGAAAAGCUGACGGAACUAUUGAUCGUUACAAAGCUAGACUCGUUGCAAAGGGGUUCAAACAAAGGUAUGGUAUUGACUAUGAGGACACAUUUAGUCCAGUUGUUAAAGCUACUACCAUACGCCUUGUCUUGUCCAUUGUUGUGUCUAGGGGAUGGAGUCUACGACAGCUAGAUGUUCAGAACGCGUUCCUCCAUGGUGUUAUGGAAGAAGAGGUUUACAUGAAACAACCUCCUGGGUUUGUCAAUGCACAGGCACCACUUCAUGUGUGCAAACUUGACAAGGCCUUGUAUGGACUGAAACAGGCCCCGAGAGCAUGGUAUUCUCGUCUCAGUAAAAAGAUGCAAACACUUGGUUUUGUUCCUUCAAAGUCUGACACUUUGUUAUUUAUCUAUAACAAGUCAAGAAUAUCCAUAUUUGUUCUCAUUUAUGUUGAUGAUAUAAUUGUAAGAAGUUCAUCUGAUGAAGCAAUAACAGCACUGUUGAAGGAUUUAAGUGCAGAAUUUGCUCUAAAGGAUCUAGGAGAUCUACACUACUUUCUUGGUAUUGAGGUCAAGCAACACAAGGAUGGUCUUCACCUCUCUCAAGAAUAGUAUGGAACAGACUUGGUAAAAAAGGCUGGUUUGCAAAGUUGUAAGUCUGCACCUACUCCUUUGUCUAGCACAGAAAAAUCGUCUCUUGCUGAAGGAGAGCCUCUGAAUUUAAAAAAUAGUACAAAAUACAGGAGCCUGGUAGGUGCACUUUAAUACUUAACAUUGACUAGACCAAACAUUUCUUUUGCUCUCAAUAAAGUAUGUCAGUUUCUUCAUGCACCUACCACUGUUCACAUGACUGCUGCAAAACGUAUAGUAAGAUAUGUGAAAAGCACUUUGAGCAUUGGCCUAAACUUCAGCAAGUCAUCCUCUGCACUUGUCAGUGCCUUUUCUGACUCAGACUGGGCUGGGUGUCUAGAUGAUAGACGCUCAACUGGUGGUUUUGCAGUAUUCUUUGGACCAAAUUUGAUAUCUUGGAGUGCCAAAAAGCAAGCUACUAUUUCAAGAUCCAGUACAGAGGCAGAGUACAAAGCAUUGGCUAAUGCAACAGCAGAGACCAUAUGGGUACAGUCAAUUUUAAAGGAACUAGGUAUAAGAAGCACUAGAGCCCCAUGUUUGUGGUGUGAUAAUCUAGGUGCUACCUAUCUGUUAGCAAAUCCAGUCUUUCAUGCUAGGACCAAGCACAUUGAAAUUGAUUUUCACUUUGUUUGAGAAAGAGUUGCAAAUAAGCUUUUGGAUAUUCGGUUUAUUCAUUCUCAAGACCAAGUUGCUGAUGGCUUUACCAAAGCAUUGCCUACAAGAAGUUUUGAAGACUUCAAGCAUAAUCUCAACCUAAUGAAGUUGUGAUUAAGGGAGAGUGUCAAACAUGAUGUUGUUGCGUAUGCAUGGCGUGUACAAGAAGGAGUUUACCACCGGCGAGAAGUAGUUAGUUAGAUGAGUAUUCUGUAAUCUUUAUCUCUUCUUAUCUCUAGCUUUUCUUCUUCUCCAAGAUGUAAAUCUCUUAACCAACUUGUACGCGUGUUUGGGCUCGCAACCCCUCAAUAUAACAUGCAACACGUCUGCCAGGAUCGGUAAGACGUUUACCGCAUUCGCACAGCUAUAUCCCAUAGACAUUGUUCAGUUCCGGUCGUGUAUGUCCUCCUUGCUUGCUGAUGAUGCCGAACAUGACGGCGACCAGAUCAUCUCCGGAGGACCCUCAUGUCGCUGCCGGCGAGCAGCAGCAGCCGCAGCAGCAAGCGGCGGACAAGGCGCCUCGCACCACCGAGGAGGAGCCGGCGGAUUUUAUCAAUCUUUCCCGGUAUGGUUGCCUGUCUCGUCUCACUGCUGGAUUUUACCAAUCUUUCUCGUCUCGCUGCCUCAAAUUCUUUUCUUUCCCCACUCGACGACUGUUGUGACUGGUUGCAGAGUUUUCACGUCGAUUUUGUUUUGUAUUAGGAUUUCUGUUUGGUCUGUCAUGGCAGAAGAUUCAUGCUUUCGGCCGAUUGUUUCCAUGUCAUCGCUGCAGGCAGUUUCGUGUGUGCUUUUUUGUGUGGAUUUCCGUCGAGCAGAUCUUCGAGUGCUCGGGUUUUGCACUUCAGUUCUGCAGUUUGUAGACAUGGUUGCAUUUUCGAACUAAUUUUGGUUUUGGCUCCUUUGGUUUGUAGAAAUUUUAUAGGAAUUCUAUAGGAUAGGAUUUGCAAAGUUAAAAUUCCUUUGAAGCCCUUUGGUUUGUAGGAAUAGAUUCCUAUUCCUAUAUAGUUUAGGAAUCCUUCACAUUUUGGGAAAAAAAAUUUAGCUUAGACUCAAUGAAAAUUUUUCUUAUUCUAUGCAUCAAAUGACAUCUCUUUCUUUAUAGAAAUUGAGAUGCAUGUCAUCUCACUUUCUAUGACUUUCCUAUUCCUAUAACAUUCUUAUCCUAUGAACCAAUGGAGGCCUUACAGUUCUCGCGAUGAGGGGAAGAAGUUUUUGCUGUUGGUUUCAUUUGUAUCCCAAGUGCUUGACUUGGUUCUUGCGCGAUCCAAAUCUCUGGCUAACAUCGUAUCUGGAUUGUCUGAUCUCGUUUUCCAUGCAGGAUCAACCCGGAAUACGCUCCAGUCCCCAAUGGCAUCGGCAACAGUAGUGGCAGCGCCGCCACCAGGAAGCAAGCAGAACCCGCGCCGUCACCCACACCAAGCAUGGACGACCGCGAUGACGCCCCGGCCGUGGACGCCGACAGCUCGAGCCUCGCGUCCUACAUCGCCCGCGCCUCGCUCGAGCAGCGCCAGCCAGGAGGGCGUCCGACGUCCUCAUCCGCUGCUAUCGUGAGCGACCACUAGCUGCAGAAUGCCGCCGCGCACUCCUCGCAGGGACUCAACCUAGGCGGCGGGAUCUACAACUUGGCCACACAAGCCUCUGAGGCAUCCAACAGCCACGAUGGCAGGCUCUACAACCUCGCCGCCCAGGCUAGCCAGGGAGCCGACCUCGGCGGCGGCGGCCUCUACAACCUCGCCGCCCAGGCCACCCAGGGAACCGACCUCGGUGGCGGCAGCAGUAGUAGCAACCGCAUCACCAUCGCCGCGCCAGAAGAACCCGCGCUGCUCAAGUGGGGCCGCAAGAAGCGCUCGCGCGCCCGCCGCGAGCCGCACGCACCCACGUCCGCUCCCGCUCCUGCCCCCGCACCGGUGUCUACUCCCGCGCCAGCACCGGUGCCCACUUGCACCCCCGCGCCUGAGCCCGAGUUGAUCCCCUCUCAGGUGCAUUGUCGGGCCAUCUUAAGGCUGAAGAAACCCUGGCGGCGCAAGGCCAGGCCCAGCCACGCGCGCAGGCGGAGAAGCUGAUGCCGCCGCCGAGCGCCCGCGGCCCCAUCAUCCUCGACACCUCGCCACACACUCCUCGUGCCGCCACCAUCUCGCCAUGGCCACCUCGCGCCGCCACCCUCUCGCCACUGCCACCUCGCGCCGCCACCCUCUUGCAGCACAGGUACACACGCCACGCCCCAUUCUAUGUCGACGCCAGGUAAGAUAGCCACCAUGGGACCCGCUCGUCGUCCACGGCGGCAGUGUCCCCACUCUGUAUGUGUUGUGCCGUCUCGGUAGGGCCGGGCCGGUCAGGUCUGAGCAGCAGCUGCCCGUGGGCUCGGGUCAGGGCCGGGCCGGGUCUUGCUUGCAUGGCAUAGUGGGGCCCCUUCAUUUUUCAGAAAUAGUGGCGCCAUUUCUUUACUCAAUUACACCAUUUGUAUUCUUGCCCUUUAUACGCCAGCAGUACAGCAAAGUAAGUAAGGCCACACGCAUUAAUCGGCACCUCAUUAUCUCCUGGAUAGAUACUGAUAAUCUGGGCGAUCACUCUACAUGCAAACAGCAGCGUGUCUAUCCUGGCACUAAUGCUAUUAAUAGUUUCCUUCUAUUGUAUGUAUACGGGGUGCUGGCCAGAGGAACUGCUGAUAUCACCGCUAAAUCGGCACUAGUAGUAGAGAUUUGAUGCAUGCAUUGGUGGCAUUAGUGUGCUUGCUUGUGCAUAUCCAACCAUCUAUAAAUCCAUCUGUAGAGUAGAGGUCUCCUUUUAUAUGCGGUGUACUGCGUGUACUUGUAGUCACUGGGCAGGCUAGAUCGCAUAGGCAUUGCUCAGUUUCGGUCGUGUAUAUAUGUCGUGCUUGCUUACCGAUGAUGCCAAAAAUGACGGUGACCAGAUCAUCCGCGGAGGACCCUCAUGCCGCUGCCGGCGAGUAGCAGCAAGCGGCGGACAAGGCGCCUCGGACCACCGAGCAGGAGCCGGCGACCAAGGUGCAUGAGCCUAAGCCGCCGCAACAGCAGCCGAGGCGGCUGCCGUACCGUCAGGCGGCGAACAAGGCGGCUCAUGCCAGCAACGGCGAGAAGGAGCCGCCGCCCAAGGCGGAGCCUACGCAGCCGACGCCAAAGAGGCAGCAGCCACCACGCCGGGCGUCGAUGAAGGAGAAAGGCAAGGCGCCGAUGGUGCAAGAGCCCCCGCGGUGGCGCCGCACGUCGCGCAGAGGGCGGCAGCGGCCCGGCUGCCCGUGCUGUUCAUCGCGACCCAGCUCACCCGCAAGGAGGAGGAGGACUGGUUCGCGAUGACCGGCGGCAGGCUGCCCUACCGCCCCCAGCAGCGCCGCCCCAAGGCCGUCGAGGACAAGCUCCAGGUAUGCCACGCACCGCCAUUCUUUUUUUGUCCGUAUUCCAUGCAUGCAUUCGUCUCGGUGUUACUACGAGCGGUAAGAGCCUCUCCAACAGCCGCGCUAAGCGCCGCGCAAAAAACUUGUUUGCCGCGCGCGCUUCGGCAUGUUUAGCGCGGCCGCCAGCGCUGGCUCCAGCAGCCGCGCUAUAAUGCACAGCGCGCGCCGCUCCAGCAACGCGCCAAAAUAGAACGUGCGCGACUCGCCGGGCAUAUAAAAUAUAUGAUAUUUUGGACACAAAAUGAGUUUGAAACAUUCAUCAAAAUGAAAUGAACAUGUGAAAUUUGACACAAACAAGUUGAUGAAUAAAAGUUCAUGCCCACAAGUUCAAAAUCAUGCCCACAAGUUCAUCCAACCAAGUUCAAAUGCAAACUUAAGUUCAAGACAUAUGAAAGACACAUCAAUCAUCUUCCUCGUCUUCGUCCUCAUCUUCGGAAGACGAUUCUUCCGCCUCCGAAGAUGAAUCUUCCUCCCUCUCCUCAUCACGCACCGCAUCACGUGAAGCUCCGACGAUGUUGGCAAGAUCUUCAACGACAUCUUCAUGCGAAUGUGUGUGAGAAGACACAUUGAAAGACAUUCCACCCAUGGCAGCCGGUGGUGCACCCAUGCCUCCCAUGAGAGAAGCAAAACUCAUCCCUCCCAUGGCGGCCAUAGCGUCGGAGGGUGCUCCAAAGCCACCCAUGCCUCCCAUGGCGGCCGGAGGUGCACCCAUGCCUCCCAUGGCUCCGAAGCCACCCAUGCCUCCCAUGCCGCCGAAGCCACCGCCACCCAUGACGCCGAGGCCACCGCCACUCAUGCGGAUCAUGGCUCUUUUUUGGAUCAACACUUCUUCAUGGCCGCGGCCACCGAACGCCCUGCAAGCUUCUUUCCCCUCGCCUUCGUGCUGCCGGAGCCGUCCGCCGCCUUGUUUUUCUUCGCGGAUGUUUUGCCCUUCUUCAGCCGCGCCGCAUUGGGGACCUUCGACGGUGCGGCGACGGCACGGGACGGCGCCGGCGGGAUGCCACCCGGCGUCGUGGUCAUCCGCGACGGCAAGAAGAGGCUGCGCGCGAGGCCGACGCUCGGCGGAGCUCUGGCGAUGGCGACGCCAACGCUUCCCACGCUAGGGUUUCCGGCGGCGGCGGCGGCGGCGGGGGGGUGGGGGGGUCGCGGCUGUACAACGGGGUGAGCGGGGUGCCGGUGUGCGCGUCCAUGGGUGGGUGGCAGGGCGUCGGCGCCGGUGCGCGCGGGGCAUAGGAGGAGGAGAGGAGAGGGUGCGGCGCGAGCGUUCGAGUGUGCCGCACGCUGUAGCGGGCGCCCGAAAUACACCGCGCGGGACAUUCUUUUUGACCGCGCGCCCAACUCGUUAUAGCGCGCGCCGUUUUUGCGCGUCCGCUGGAGCGAGCCGCCGCGUUACGCACGCGCUAAAAUAGACUAAUUUGCGGCACGGCGCUAGUUUAGCACGGCUGUUGGAGAUGCUCUAGGGCUGACACGAUCGAUAUGUUAGCGCAGAAACAGUUCCCGGGGCAGACGCUGCCUGAGGUGACCAGCGCCAGGUACAUGUGCGCCAGAAGAAGCAAAAGAAGGUACACCGCUCCAUCUCCACUGCACAUUUUUUUGUUCUCUCUUUCAGCAGCCAAUCUUUGUGUUGUUUUGCAGCGGGCUGGCCUGCGAGCAAUGGCGGAGGAGGACGACCUGAGCUCCGAGAGGUGCGAUUCCGACGACGACACGGGAGGAGAAAAAAUCAUUUUGGCGUCAUCGAUGCGGAGGAGCGUGGUAGCUGGAGGAAGAGGGGUUGAAGGCAGCAGUAGAUUCAUGGGCAUUCCAUGAGCGUCAAUCAAAAAAAACAAAAAACAAAAAAGAACUCUAGCCAGCGUUCGGCUCUUUUCCUUUUCUUAAGACUUUCGUUCGGUUGUGUUGUCGAUGACAGAUGGUUCAUUGGUUUACAAAUGGUCGGUCGAAGCCCGCCGCCGCUGUUCUCGCGCCUCUGUGGUCGGGGGCGGGGUGGCGGCGGGCUGGUUGGUCGAAGCCUGCUGCCGCUGUUUCUUCUCCUCCGUCGUGGGGGCCGGGGUGGCGGCGGGCUGUGCAGAGUACCAGACUUGCCGAGCCUGGGGAAGAGCUUGGAACAGGAGACAAACCUUUUCGCUCAGUUUAUUCUCGUUGUUGUUGUUCUGUUUGCAUCGUUUUGCUUCUUCGUGGUUGAUCUUUGCACUGCUGGUUUUACGCUUUGGGGGGAAUUGCUCCUGCCUAUAGCUGCCAUGGAUUUUUGUUUUGCAGGAACUGUUUGCUUCGCUUGGCGCAAGCAAGAUUCUCAGGUGGAUGGAUGAGAUGGUGAAGGGAUACGGGCGCUGCUGGAGGUAAAAUUGUUGCUAACUUGGCGACGAGCUUUGCCACACCUGCAGCCACAUGAUUGACUCUGGACCGCGUGACCGGGCCUGGCGGCUCAUGACUCGUUCGCCUCCGCGAGGGCCUUGGGAGGCGACCUCGGGAGACUGCCGCGUGAGGGAUCUUGCUCACGAACCUUGUGAUGGGCCGCGCACUGGGCCGCAGGCCGACGCACCUGGGUACCCCAGUCCCACGGGCCUGACACAUGGCGUGCCAUGUGAUUAAGAAAAUGUUCAUUCAGUCUAAUACAUAAACUGACCCAUGGCACAACAUAAGAUUAACUAGAAAUUAGAAGGGGAUUUAAUGCAUCUUCUUUAUUUUCUAUGUGCGGUCACAUUAACCAUUAACCCUUGAGGCGUCACCGGGUAGUGGUUAGGUGUGCAUCCUCAUCUACAAUGUUUUAUCCUAGUGGUGUGUUCCGGUUCCCAAGUAAUUGAUAGUGUCACAUUUAUCCCAUAAUAAUACAUAUCAAGCUAAGACUAAUAUAUACCAAGUCAUGAUUAAAAAUACGUAAUUUUAUAUGCAUUAUAUCCAUAUGCAUUCAAACUUAUAUAGAAGUGAAACUAUGUAAGGCACUCCCAUUUUCAUAUGUGGAAAAUGAUAGUAGAAUAAAAGUCUUACCGUUAUGAACCUUAAAAGAUGUUCAAUGUUUGGUUUUUUGGUUGGAAAGAAAUGUGUGUUUAUUUAUUUUUAGAGGAAUAUGUGUUUCUUUCUCUUCGCGGCGAGUCAUAGAGUGGUGAAUAGAUCAGUAACCGUGGGUUCUUGAUCCAACGACUGGGAUGGGGAAGGUGAGAUGCGAGUGCUUAUCCUCCCAUUGCCAUGUCAUGCCUCGAUGGGUCACGUGAACGUAGGGGUGGUCGCACCUAAGACCGCACAGGGAUAAUGGUGGAUGCCUAUUCUGCCGAAAAAAUCCCAUUGAAUUCGGAGGUAUUGCCUUAGUCAUGAUUGCGCCAAACCCUCAAUGUCGCCUCGUGCUGCGGCCUCCUCCUCUAUCCCUUGACUCAGCCAAGGCGACGGGGACCAAGAUCUUGGGCAACACGCUACUACGACACACGACAGGAAGCCUCUCCGGUAGGCCCCUCUAUGCACCAUCCCCGUACCUGAUUCCCGUGGGCCCACCAAUUAGGCCAGAUAUGUGUGCCCUAUCAUUUCUUCCAUGUAAAAAUACCACACCCAGCCUUCUCACAUCAGAACCCUAAAUCGAACCGCACAAUAGUCCUCUUUCCUCCCCUAGCCGCCGCCAACCCUUUCUGCUCCCAACCCUUUCCUCUUCCCAGAUUGAGCCUCACGCCACCGUGACGGUCCGACGGGAAGCCUCUCUGGAGGUGCCUUCUAUGCAUCAACAUCAAUGGGGUUCGCCGACUAAGCGAGGGCAUGGAUCCCCCUUCUCAUGUUCUCAGUCGUUGGCACGGCCACCAUCAACCAGAUCUUUCAUUGUGCGUCUGUUUUUUGUUUUGCCUGGAGCAGAGUUUAUCGAAUCUUAAGGUCACUGAUGCUUCGUAUGGUUCAUGAUCUGGUUCUGUUGCUUGCUUUCCUGCCUCAUCUCACUGCUGGAUUCAUUUUACCAAUCUUUCCCGGUUUGGUUGUCGGCCGCAUAUUCUUUCCUUUUCCCCUACUCGACGAGUGUUGUGACUGGUUCCAGAGUUUCCCGUCGAUUUUGUUCUGUUUUUGUAGGAUUUCUGUUUGGUCUGUCUUCGCAGCGGCAACAUGAUCAUGGCGGAAGAUUUGUGCUUUCGCCCCGAUUGUUUUUGUACGGAUUUCUGUCGAACAGAUCUUUGAAUGUCCGGGGCUCGCAAUCCAAUUUCACGGUUCGUAGACGUGGUUCCUUUUUGGAACUAAUUUUGGUUUAAAUCGAAUUCUCGCGAUGAGGGAAGAAUUUCUUUGUUGUUUGUUUCAAUCUGUAUCCCAAGUGUUCGACGUGGUUCUCGUGCUCGCCAACGCCAUCUUUGGAUUGUCUGAUUUCAUUUUCCAUGCAGGUAGAGGGGUCAUCCGGCGCGGCGAUGUCGAUGCCGCCGCCGCCGCCGCCGCCGCCGAGGUCGCCUCCCUGGGUGACCUGGGUGGCAAGGUUGUAGAGCCUGUCAGCGAGGUCGGCUCCCUGGGUGGCCGGGGCAGCGAGGUUGUAGAGCCCACCGCCGAGGUCGCCUCCUUGGGUGGCCUGGGCGGCAAGGUUGUAGAGCCCACUGCCGAGUCUGUUGUAUGCCUGGGAGGCUUGCGCGGCGAAGGUGUAGACCAUGCCGCCAAGGCUGUUGGAUGGCUCAAAGGCUUAGGUGGCCAAGUUGUAGAGCCCGCCGCCGAGGUUGAGUCCCUGGGAGGAGUGUGCGGCGGUGUUGUACAGCUGGUGGUCCUUCAUUAUGGCAGUGGAUGAGGACAACAUACGCCCUCGUGGCUGGCGCUGCUCGAGCGAGGCGCGGGCGAGGUAGGACAUGAGGCUCGACCUGUCGGCAUCCACGGCUAGAGCGCCGUCGCGCUCGUCCAUGCUUGGUAUGGACCAGCGCGACGGCACCGUGGCCGUGGACGCCGAUAGCUCGAGCCUAGCAUCCUAUCUCGCUCGCGCCUCCCUCGAGCAGCGCCGGCCACGAGGGCGUCCAACGUUCUCAUCUGCUGCCAUCGUGAGCGACCACCAGCUGUACAACAUCGCCGCGCACUCCUCCCAGGGACUCAACCUCGACGGCGGGCUCUACAACUUGGUCGCCCAAGCCUCCGAGGCAUCCAACAGCCUCGGCGGGGCAGUAUACACCUUCGUCGCCCAAGCCUCCCAGGCAUACAAUAGCCUCGACGGUGGGCUCUACAACCUCGCCGCCCAGGCCACCCAGGGAACCGACCACAGCGGCGGCAGCGGCAGCAGCGGCAUCGCCAUCGCUGCGCCGGAAGACCCCGCCCCGCACAAGUGUGUCCGCAAGAAGUGCUCGUGCGCCUGCCGCGAGCCGCACACGCCCGCACCCGCUCCCGCUCCUGAACCCGUAUAGGUGCCUACUCCCACACCAGCACUGGUGCCCACUCCCACCCACGUGCCUGAGCCCGAGCUGACCCCCACUCAUACGCAUUGUUGGGCCGUCUUAAAGAUCACGAAACGCCCGAGGGUGCAAGGCCAGGCCCAGCGGCAUGUGGAGGCGGAGAAGCUGAUGCCGCCGCCGAGCGCAUGAGGCCCCGUCAUCCUCGACACCUCGCCACUGGCUCCUCGCGCCACCACCUUCUCGCUACUACCACCUCGCACGGCCACCAUCUCAUCACUGCAACCUCGCACCGCCACCCUCUCGCUGCACAGGUACGCACGGCACGCCCCAUUCUGUGUCGACGCCAGGUAAGGUAGCAUAGCCACCAUGGUACUUGCCCCUCGUCCACGGUGGCAGCGUCCCCACUCCGUCUAUGUUGAGUUGUGUUGAGCCGUCUCAGUCGGUCCGGUCCGGUCGGGCCCAAGCCGCUGCCCGUGGGCUUGGGUCAGGGCCGGGCCCGGUCUUGCUUGCGUGGCGUUGUGGGUCCCCCUCCAUUUUGAGAAACAGUGGCUCGUUUCUUUACUCAAUUACACCAUUUAUAUUCUUGCCCUUUAUACGCAAGCAGUACAUCAAAGUAAGUAACGCCACACGCAUAAUCGGCACCUCAUUAUCUCUGGGAUAGAUACUGAUAAUCUGUGCGAUCUCCAGCACCGUCUGUGUUGUCUUGUGAUCAUUCUACAUGCAAACAACAGUGUCUAUCCUGGCACUAAUGCCAUUAAUAGUUUCCUUCUAUUGUUUGUAUAUAGGCGGAGCAGGCCAGAGGAACUGGUGAUAUCAUCGCUAAAUCGGCAUUAGUAGUAGGGAUUUGAUGCAUGCAUUAGUGGCAUUAGUGUGCUUGCUUGUGCAUAUCCAACCAUCUAUCCAUCCAUCUAUAGAGUAGAGGGCAGGCUAGACCGCAUACACAUUGCUCAGUUUCUACUUUGUAGAUCACACACAUCUUAAUUCUCGUUUGGGUCGUGUCUGUCGUUACUACCCUACCACCCCCUGCAGCGCCGCCCCAAGGCCGUCGAGGACGAGCUCCAGGUACGCCACGCACCACCAUUCUUUUUUUGUCUCCCUUCCAUGCAUGCAUGCAUGCAUUCGUCUCGGUGUUACUAUGAGCGGUAAGGCUGACACGAUGGACGAUGUGUCGGCGCAGAAACUGUUCCCAGGGCAGACGCUGCCUGAGGUGACCAGGGCCAGGUAUAUGGUGCGCCAGAAGAAGCAAAAGAAGGUACCGCUCCAUCUCCACUGCACACUUUUUUUUUACCAGCCAGCUUUUAUUUAUUUAUUUAUUUAUUACAAUGUACUUUCAUUUGCUCAUUACGAUGAUGGCAUUAUUCUAGAUGAUUACUAGGUUUCAGUUUUUUUAUGGGUAUCAGAUAUUUGAUGGAGUAAUAGUGUAGAUGAUUGGAUACUUCGGAUCCGCCCGCGUUCGUUAGAUUUCUAUAUGGAGUUUUUUUAGAAUUAGAUUUGUAUGGAGCUGAGAGGGUUUGGGAGAGAAGGGAAAGAUGUCGCCCGCUUUCUAUUUAUCGUCCCAGCCGAUGUCACAUGGGCCGGACCAUUGUUGACUGUGCAUGCGAGCUUGGGCUGGCCUGUCUAUGUGGCUGACUGCCGACGUGCAGGUGAGUACAGAGAUUUUGUCAUGUCUACACGUGGCCAGCCGUCGUGAANNNNNNNNNNNNNNNNNNNNNNNNNNNNNNNNNNNNNNNNNNNNNNNNNNNNNNNNNNNNNNNNNNNNNNNNNNNNNNNNNNNNNNNNNNNNNNNNNNNNNNNNNNNNNNNNNNNNNNNNNNNNNNNNNNNNNNNNNNNNNNNNNNNNNNNNNNNNNNNNNNNNNNNNNNNNNNNNNNNNNNNNNNNNNNNNNNNNNNNNNNNNNNNNNNNNNNNNNNNNNNNNNNNNNNNNNNNNNNNNNNNNNNNNNNNNNNNNNNNNNNNNNNNNNNNNNNNNNNNNNNNGCGCCGGCCAGCAAGCAAUGGCAGAGGAGGAUGACCUGAGCUCCAAGAGGCACGACGACGAUGACGACGAUGCGGCGGGAGAAAAAGACCAUUUGGGCGUCGCCGUUGCGGAGGAGCGCGGCAGCCAGAGGAAGAGAGGUUGAAGGCAGCAGUGGACUCAUGUGCAUUCCAUGAGCGUCAGUCGAAACAAAAAUAACUUUAGCCGGCGUUCGUCUUUUCCCUUUUCUUGGAUUUACGUUCGUUCGUGUCGUCGAUGAGACGGUUCAUUGGUUUACAAUGGUCGGUCAUCGCCUGCCGUCCCUGUUGCCGCGCCUCCGUGGUGGGGGCCGGGGUGGCGGCGGGCUGGUUGGUUGAAACCCGCCCUCGCUGUUUCCGCACCUCCGUGGUGGAGGGCGGGGUGGCGGCGGGCUGGUUGGUCAAAGCUCGCCAUCGUUGUUUCCGCGCCUCCAUGGUGGGGGGCGGGGUGGUGGCGGGCUGUGCAGAGUAUCAGACUUGCAGAGCCUGGGGAAGAGCUUGGAAGAGGAAACAAACCUUUUCGCUUUGUUUCGUCGUUGUUGUUCCGUUUGCAUCGUCUUGCUGCUUCGUGGUUGAUUUUUGCACUGCCGGUUUUAUGCUUUGGGGGGCAUUGCUAGCUCCUGCGGUCCUGCCUAUAGCCGCCAUGGAUUUCUAUUUUGCAGGGACUAUUUGCUUCGCUUUGGUGCAAGCAGGAUUCUCACAUGGAUGGAUGAGAUGGUGAUGGUGAAAAAAAAAUGAUGAUGGGAUAUGGGCGCUGCUGGAAGUAAAAUUGCUGCUAACUUGGCGAAGAGCUUUGCCACACCUACAGCUACUACAUGUCAGGGGGAGAAAGCUUAGUGCGUACUCCAGGAUUUACUGCUAGUGCUUAUUAGCCGAUCGGCAUCCGUUUCCAUGAGUUUGACCCGGAGCGAGCCUCUCAUUCCUUUUCCGUGCAUGCGAUAGCGGUGCAAGUCGGAGAGACGGGCCCUUCUCUCUCAAAAAUAUGCUUCGAUUCUCAGGGCGUUCUAUUAGGGUCUGUUUGGCACUAUGGUUAGAGAACAAGUAGAGUGCAAUGGUUUUGGUGUGUUGGUAUUUAAUGCCUGAAAUUGAUUUGGGCGCCACUCGAUUCCUGCGAAGAAGAGAAAGGUGAGGCACCUAGGCGCCGAUGACCCCAGUGAGGCCAUGCCAAGUACAGUGCCAGAGACAAGGGACAACAGGGCUGUCCGUGGAAGCAAGGCAUAACGUUGAAAGGUGUUAGUGGGAUGGGGGAGGGGGGUUCAUACAUUGUGGGCUGGCGAGGCGAUAGGGCAGCGUGACACCAGCCACGAAUGGUGGGGGGACUACAAUGGCGAGGGGCUCUGCCAAGGAGAGAGAGAGAGAGAGAGAGAGAGAGAGAGAGAGAGAGAGAGGGUGGCGGCAUAAAAUCAAUUUCCAUUGCCUUUUUAGGCAACUUACAAAUAGGAUUAGAAGAACCCACCGAAGUUAAAUGGAACCAACUUGUCCUGAUAACAUGAUCUCACGCGCCACGCACAUAUCGCACCUCCCAUGGACCUCAACGGAACCGCGAGCAGACCCAGGCGAGCGUCGAGGUGGCUACACCGAGCAACGACUAGGCAGCUGCCUCACUAGGGCGGUGGCAAAUACGACAUCGACAACAAAGGAGCAGCGAGUGAGAAAUCAGGAUGCUCAGUAGCGACUAUAGUGACUAGAAGCGAGGAGUACAUGUGUACAGAUUGAAUCUGGUUGCAUUCCUUUCGCAAAACAAGAGAUAUAUCCAUACCCAAAAUUUCAGUAAUCCAAAGAAUUGGUUUAUCUGCUUGCUAUAUAUGUCGAUAUUGGUGACAAAUUUUCGCAAUAAGUUGUGUACUUGUUAGUUCCUACUAAUGCUCACUGUGCAUUUUUAACCAUUUUUGGGUGUCCAUUCUUUAAAUUGCUUUGAAUGGUAGUUGAUACUUAGACAAGAAACAUUGUAAUAAUUGUAGUUGGUGCAUACAAAAGCUGCUGAAAUUACCGGUCAUUGUUGAAAUUAAACAUGCAUGGGACAGACUAUCAUACCUUUGUUCGCUGCGUGGUGGCUCAUUCAAAUCAAUUGCUUUAUACCUUCGUCUAGUCAUUUUUGACUCCUAUAAACAAAACAAAACAAAAUGUAACAUACGAGUAACAUUUCUUGCAAAGCGUGAGACGCACAUACUCCCAAAGUAAAUCAGGUCUAUUACACGGAACCGGUGUUGUAUUCUUAAGUUGAACAAGAACAAUAGCGUGAAACAAAAAUUAUAGGUAGGCAAGACAUGUACGUAAAAAUAUGAACACUCUGACGAAAAUUCACAAGAGCAAAUGGAGGAACCAUUUAACAAACCCAACAUAUGCGACAAAAUGAUAUUCUAACCUCAAAGUUACCCACAAACGAGAUCCCAAUGUGAGAACAAAUACUAAGGUAAUCAGACAUUAUCCUUAUUCAUUAUGAACCAACCUAACCAGUGAUAUGGUUGUGGCUGACGAGAGGUCGCUGAGGAGGCAACCGAGAUCCUCCCUGCCGGUAGAUCUGGUCGUCGUUGUCCACUAGGCCAAGAUCUGAAGUGGCCAUCCCACGCACGGCCACAAAAGAGAUCCCAAUGCGAGAACAAAUACUAGGUGGUAGUGAGCAUCAUCUAUUGCACAAAAGGUAAUAAAACAUUAUCCUUAUUUAUUAUGAACCAACCUCCCAAAUGAUAUUGUUGUGGACGACGAGAGGUCGUCGAGGAGGCAACCGAGAUCCCCCCUGCCAGUAGAUCUGGUCAUUGUUGUCCUCUAGGCUAAGAUCCAAAGUGGCCAUCCCGUGCACGGCUACAAAAGAGAUCCCAAUGCGAGAACAAUUAUUAGGUGGUAGUGAGCAUUAUCUAUUGCACAGAAGGUAAUUCGACAUUAUCCUUAUUCAUUACGAACCAACCUCCCAAAUGAUAUGGUUGUGGCCGACGAGAGGUCGCCGAGGAGGCAACCGAGACCCUCCCUGCCGGUAGAUCUGGUCGCCGUUGUCCACUAGGCCAAGAUCCGAAGUCGCCAUCCCACGCACGGCCGUUGGGGUCGUCCGGUGUGCGACCACCAUGGAUGCCGAGCACGUGGAAGUCCUGGCCAUCCCGCCUAGUGGAGGCGUCGCCAGAUCUGUAGGGAGGUUGCGGUGGAGUGGGUGUGGGGGAAGGAGAGGUAGAGGUAGAGGUGGGGGAUCGCCGUCGGCUGUGGAGACUGGGAGAGGGGUGGAUUUAAGGUUGAGAGUUAGGUUUAGGGGUCAAAUUUAUAUGGUAGGGGAUGCGAUGGGCUGUUCUGGGCCAACACAAUAUUAGCCUCGCGGGCCAGUGAUAGGCAGGCCAAGAGAGAAUGCCAUUGGUAAAAUGGGUUUAGGUUAAUUAUCUUUGCUCAAAUAAAAAUUAUGGUAUGGUGUGGGUAUGGGAAUAAGGCUUCAUGUCUGGGACUAGACUAAAUGUCAAAUUUAGGCAUCUUUCUAAAACCAUCUGCAAUUUUGUAGGCAUUAAAUGCAUUUCUAUCUAUUUACUGGAUAUAUUUGAAAUAUGAACUACAUGUACCUUAAAAUGGUCUCCAAAUUAAAAUAAAAUCAUGUUCAAGCACUUAUGUAACUCAUAGCCUCCUUUCAAAAAAUAUGAUAAUUUUUUUUUAAAAUUGAAAAUUCCAUACAAUUACAAGCAUCCUAUUUGCUUUAUUUUUCUAUAAAAUCUCAACGCGGUUUAAAUACAAUGAAAUUUUGUAUGGGUUCAUCAUAUUACCUAAUGAGAUUGCGUUAAAAAUCCAUACAUUUUAGUCCACAUCAUGGUUUGUUCAUCAUUUUCACUUGAUUUUGUACUGCAACUAGAUAUUGUGGUAAUGUACACUAAUAUACCUGCAUGUUCCAUCUUUUUAUGUACUGAUUUGUAUUUCUUAUUGUUUUGAACACACCAAAUGAAGGUACCAUGUGGAGUGCCUAUCAAAACUAUUGAUUUCAAAUGCCCCAAACUUUUCUACAUGCAACAUACUUAUUUGUUUGUUCAUGUCAAAUUUAGAUUUUUUUUUCUUAAGUCAUUUCUAUUUUGAGGUAUUAAAAGCAUUUCUACGUAAUUAGUGGAAAUAUUUGAAAUUUGAUUUGCAUGUACCAUAAAAAUGGAUUCUAAAUGGAAACAAAAAUCUAUGUUCAAGCACUUAUGCAACUCAAUGUCUUCAUUCAAAACAUCUAUGAAAAUUUUGAACAAUUCCUUUGANNNNNNNNNNNNNNNNNNNNNNNNNNNNNNNNNNNNNNNNNNNNNNNNNNNNNNNNNNNNNNNNNNNNNNNNNNNNNNNNNNNNNNNNNNNNNNNNNNNNNNNNNNNNNNNNNNNNNNNNNNNNNNNNNNNNNNNNNNNNNNNNNNNNNNNNNNNNNNNNNNNNNNNNNNNNNNNNNNNNNNNNNNNNNNNNNNNNNNNNNNNNNNNNNNNNNNNNNNNNNNNNNNNNNNNNNNNNNNNNNNNNNNNNNNNNNNNNNNNNNNNNNNNNNNNNNNGCCAAUGGCCCAUGCCAACAUUGAUAAACCUUUAGGGCAACGCAGUAGAAAACAAAAUAAUUCUGACCUACGCACCAACCCAGGACCACUAUGAAGAUGCAUAUAGGGUCUGAUCUGAUCAUUACCGGCUCGUAGAGCAGCGGAAGGAGAGUCAGUGGAGAUCAUUGGUGGAGAUCCCCGCAACUCAGAUUUUACAACCUCCCAACCACGAGGAUGUACUCCCCUAGGAAUCUCCUCAGGUGGUCCCUCGAACAACCCUUCGGGAGACCCUUGGACAGAAACUUGAUCAGUCCCUCGGACAGCCCUUCGGGAGGCACAUGGUCAGAUCAUCGGAUAGAACCUCAAUCUAUCUCUCAAACUAAGAUAAAAACUACAACCUCUGUACCGGGUUGCACACAUACAAUGUCAACUAUCCAGCAGGGCUUUGUCGUCCAGAACUAGGCCCCACCGAAGACUAGACAGCCUUUCGGGGUACAAAACUAUUUUGUGGAGAGGGAUAUAGAAAGCCAAAUCAUUGCAUGGCAUGUGUUUGAAAGAGAUUGAGUGAAAUGGAGAGCUCUCUCCACCUUUAUUUAUAGUGGGAGGUAAGAGGUAGAGGGCACUUGAAAAAUAACAAAAAGCCCUUGGAAAUUUUCCACCAAAAAGCCACCAAAAGUGGGAGUAAGCCCCUUGGGUGCCCCCCCGUACCAAGGACGUUUUGGGCUGCCACAAAGGGCCCCCCACCUCCUCAAGUUAUGCUCCACAACUUUAUGGACAAAGCCCUAAAAGGUGGCUUUUUGGAAAGCCACCAAAAGGGAUUGUACCCUAAUAGUGUUACACUAUUCACUGUACUAUUAAUGACAACUUUUCUAGAAAUGUUACUAGUGUCGAAAAAUCCAGAAAAAUUCUGAAUGGUGCAGAACAUUUCUCGCACCCACUAAAAAAAUAUAGAAUCCGGUAUGUAGUUUGUCUCCAAAACAUUUCCCAUUUUACUCUCUGAAACAUUUCUGUCGUCUCUGAAACUUUUCCGAAAACAAUCUCCCGGACUCCCUUUAUAUUACUUAGCAGAUAGAUGACCCUUAAGUGUGUGACCCUAUAGGUUCGGUGAAGUAUAAACAUGACUGGAACUCUGCUCGAUCAAUAAUAAAUAGCGAAACCUUGGACAUCCAUAUUGAUCCUAUACACACGCGAAUGAAUAUUCGAGUGAACAUGUAGUUGUCAUGUGUUAUUCCUAUUGCUUCACGAUAUGUUACAAACACCCAAGGUGAGAUUUAUCGGCAUCCUCGUGGAUCAACAACUUUGUCCACUAUGUCAGUUUCCUCGUUAUCGGUUUUGUUCUCCUUUCUCGUUUCUGCAUUCCGGCGUCCUUGUGAUGAAAUCACAUGGUGUCUGGCCAGACGAUGAUGGAACCAUAAAACCGAGAGGGCCCAAAGAAUAUCUCUCCAUCGUCGGAGAAGCAAAUCCCAAUCUUGAGCUAUCUAGUUCCUUGUCAUACUUUUCAAUGAACUCGUAAGCCGCCGUAGCCACCUAUUUACGGAUGACGUUUAACAAACCCCAAAGUUCAUGAAGAAGCAUGAAGGAACUUGAUACUCUCAUGGUCUAAGGAAUUAUGCAAACAUUAACUUUCUCUAUGUUAUUUACCAUUAUUUCGUGACGAACAUAUCUCAUAGCAUAACAUCAAUCGGGUCGAUUCAACACAAGUGUUCUUCUAAUAUUGUAUCCCCAAAGUUGGUGGCAUAGCCAUGCCCAUGAUCAGCAAAAUGUGAUCAUCAUGCAAAACUUGAGCCAGUCUUAGAGGCUUGACUUUUACCAUUUAUUAUUCUACACGUGCAUAUAGGUUUUCCUUAGAGCCUUUAUGGAUAUACGGGCUCGGGAACCAUAGUUGUUAUAGCACAGAAUAAUUACGAAUAUGGAGAUAAAUAAUAACAUUUGUUAUUGCCUCUAGGGCAUAUCUCCUACAAAACAAACAUUCUCAGAGCUACUAGUAUGAUUUUUUGGGAACAAAAAAUGUAUUUUCGUGGUUCCUACCUGUCGUGGUUAUCUCGCUGGCGGGUUUGCGACACGACGGAUGCCACGGGGUCGCUUGAGGUGAGGGCUAGGCUGCAGUGGAGAUCAAGGGACGGGAUUGGGCAAACAGCACGCAGUGAUUUACCCAAAUUCGGGGUUCUCUAGAGAGAUAACACCCGACUCCUACAUGUCUGAUGAUAUACGCAGUGUAUAUGUAACAGUACAGAGUUGUUUCUGAAGCUGUAUCCGGAUGAAAGCUAUGUGCUACUAGCUUCAUGUGUGUGCAUAUGUGUGGCGUGAGUGCCUUGUGGGCAUGAGAGCCCGAGUGCUCUUGGUCUAGUGGCCGUAUGAGCCUGGCCAAGUGUGACUGUGGAUGGAUGGAUGUGUGUGAGCACAAGUGUGUGGCUAAGUGAGGCUGUGGGCGUGACGCCUUCUCUGGGUCACUUUAUAUACUAGUGCACAGGGACAAGGGAUGGCCCACACACCCACUACACCAUUGGGAUGUCAUAUGAUGUGAUACAUGAUGCAGUCUAUAGUGCAUCACUAUUGAAGCACAGCGAAGUGACACAUGAUGCAGGCUAUAGUGUUUGCUUUAUUAGCAGUAGUGUCCAUGGUAUGACUGUCUUGUCGGUGUCGGGUCGAAGCUGCUGUUGAUUUCAUGUAGUAGGCCGACUGGAGCAGUCGGAGAGGGAGCCGGCCGGGCAGCCGGGAUGGCGAGCCAGCCGGGAUGGCCGGACAGGCGGACCGGGGCGCUGGUCGCCCCGAUGUUUUUGAAGCGUCGUUCGCCGUCUUGGGCCUACCUGGGGAUCAUCCUCCCGAAAGUACACUACUAGGGAAAACCCUAGCAGUAGCGCGUGUUUGAAGGCUAUUAGUAGCACAGGGUACAACGCUACUAGUAAGGCGCUACAACUAAAGGUUAGCAGUAGCGUGGGCUGAACCGUGCUACUGCUACAUCGACUUAGUAGCAGCGCUUUCUAAAAUGAGUGCUACUGGUAAUUAGUAGUAGUGCUUCUACUAGCACGCGCUACUACUAUUAUUCUGUAUUUCUUUUUUAUUUUAUGGUGUAUUCAUACACCUUUAUACAAGUUUUCAUACCGUAGCAAUCUAGAGAAUGAUUUUACAUUAUAAUGUGUUAUUACAUCAGUGGGAGGAAGAACCGUGGACUAGUUUCAAGUGGAUGGACAUCCACUUGAAACUAAUCCACGGUUCUUUCACCCAAUGAUCUAAUAAAUAUCAUCAUCAUCAUCAUAUCAUUAACAACUUAUCAUCAUAAUACAUCAUUGUCAUAUAACACCUCCUCAUGAUAAUCGUUUUCAUCAAUGAGACCUCACAUAUAAGUUGGUCAUUAGACAUAAUCACAACUACUCAUCAUCAUCAACUCUCAUAAACAUAUCGUACCUCAUAACCUACUAUAUUCUCUUAGGACCUACUAUAUUUUCUUGGGUAAAAUAGCAUAAAACAAGAUAGCCCCUGACUCUCCAUUAUGGAGAAUGGAGAUUAUCAUGUCUCCAAUCCUUGCCUUUCGCGCAAUGUUGCUUCCAAGAACCUCCUUACGAAUGUCCAUACAUUUCUUCCAUUCUUUGAUUAUCAUGUGUUCACCAUUUUUAGAAACCCGGUAUGCACAGGUGUGGUUCGUAGGACGACCUGGCUGUAUGUUCAAAACAUUCAGGCGACCGUUCUGAUACAUCAAAUGAGGCACACAAUCCAUCGGGAUUUUCUAUUGAAAAACAUAGUAAUAACUUCGUGGUUAGCAAUGUAGUCCAGUUUUAGUAAAUAUGCAAAAGAUGCAUGGAUGUCGUAAUAGUAAAAACUCUUACCAAGAAAUCUCCAUGGUAGUUAUCGUUGUUCAACACGUGCACUAGUGGCAUGUAUUCACCAUAAUUAAAAGGCAUUGUAAUUCUCAAUGUCAGUAUAAUAUGCGACCAGAUGAUUUUUGUUUUGAUAAGUUAACUCAGAGCCAUCGGUGUAGUUGGUUCUGUCUACCAUCUUCCCCACACUCUUUGCAGCAUGAAAAUAAGCUACCAAUGGAAAUAAGCUGCCAACUAUUUUGAAAUAAACAAUAUAAAUUACUUAAUAACUAUGUUUGAGGAACUCACAUAGCGGAAGAAUUGGAAGUGUAUCAACAAGAACCCAAAUGUCCAAAUUAUCUUGGUCGAUGUCAGGAUCACCAAGAUCCAUGGUGAUAAACAUACCCUCUUGAAAAUCAUACAUCUUGCCAAUUGCUUCCGAAACCAGGCCACCAAAAUGGGAAAUGCUCUCAGAAUUGUACAGAUUUACCUCAAAAUCCAUACCGUGAUGGGUCCUUAGGUUAAUUUUCUUUGUUUCAUUCCUUCGUGAUCUUUAAAACCCAUCCUCUCCAAGACAUAGCAUCUUGCAUGGCAUGGGAUAAGCUAGUCGAACUGUAAAAGACAAAAUUACAUGUUGAAGUAGUAGAAGUCGAGCUUAAUUACGAAAAAACACUUAGCAUCGUAGCGUAUCGUUUCACAAUCGAAGGCCUCCUUGAGCUUAAUGCUGAAGUGCUGAUCGUCGUCCAGGUGAGGCAUGUCGCAGAAACCCCGGUUGUCGCCGCACCAGGAGCACUCCCCUGGACCUUCUUCGUCCGACGACAUUUCCUAUGUUCAUAAUUCAAAGAUUAAAAUUGUACAAUUAAAUAUAUGUACUACAAAAACUAAAUUAGAUCAUUAUUAUUCAUCACGGAUUAACUAUGGGUCUAUCGAGUCUUUUCUUGAAAACUCUCAGCUCAUGUGGUGUAUAUAUUUGACUGUCGGUGAUGGUAGCUCCUCCUUUCAUUCCCGAGUGCAUUACACCAAAUUGUCUAGCACAUGGGAACGAAGGAGAAGCUACCCCCACAACAACAGUCGGCACAUGGUGGAUACUCUCCCUCACUGAUUCCUCUCUGACAUUUGCGACCGUCGGUGAUGGUCGUUACUCCUUAUUUCCCCUAGUGCAUAACAAAGGUCUAGCACCCGCAGAAGAAGGAGAAACGACCCCCACAACAACAGUCGGUAUUCUUCAUCGACAGUCUUAAAGUCAACCUGAAAUAUCAUUUAAUUAUCUUUCUAGAAAAUCAAGGCCACUCAAUAUUUCCUACAUAUUCUAGCACAAGUCAUGCCAAAAUUCACGAAAAAUUCUGGCAUGACCUUUGCUAAAACAGGACAUAUCGAGCACCUAUAAUUUGCCGGAACGGAAAUUAAUCAACACUCCAGCAAAACAUAGGCCACUCGAAUAUACAUGUUUUUAUCUACAUAGGCCUAUUUGAGCAACACAAGAUAUACAUGUUUUUAUCUACAUCAUAUCUUACAGGACUAAUAUUGACAUGAAGAUUUGGCUGGUCUCACCUCGAGGUCAGAGGGGGUCAGUGACGGGGACGACGGCGGGGAUGAUGGAGGGCCUCCUUGAUUUCUGCAAAAACAAAAACCCUAUAAGUUAUCACUAAUACAUCCCGAAUAGUAUCAUACAUAUAAUAUCACUAAUUGCUUAAACUAAAAAAAUAACAACAAAUAUGACAUGUUCAACUAGUUCUUACUAAAAAUAAACUUACUAUAAAUAGAAAUAAACUAGUUCUUUCUAAAAAUAAACUAGUUCAACUAGUUAUAUUAUUUUUCUUACUAAAAAUACAUUAGUUCUAUUAAUUCAACUAGUGCUUACUAAAAGCAAACUAGUUCAACUAGUUUAUUAAUUUACUUACUAACUAUUUUAAACACUUACUAAAAAUAGUAAAAAAACUACAUUAUACAAUAGUAAAAAACAGAAAAAAAAAGAUGGAGGGAGGAGGAAGAAGGAGAGAGGAGGGGGAGGNNNNNNNNNNNNNNNNNNNNNNNNNNNNNNNNNNNNNNNNNNNNNNNNNNNNNNNNNNNNNNNNNNNNNNNNNNNNNNNNNNNNNNNNNNNNNNNNNNNNNNNNNNNNNNNNNNNNNNNNNNNNNNNNNNNNNNNNNNNNNNNNNNNNNNNNNNNNNNNNNNNNNNNNNNNNNNNNNNNNNNNNNNNNNNNNNNNNNNNNNNNNNNNNNNNNNNNNNNNNNNNNNNNNNNNNNNNNNNNNNNNNGGCGAAGGGUGGAGGGGGAGGGGGCGACCAGAGGAGGAGGAGGGAGGGACGGGGGUGGAGGGGGAGGGGGCGGCCGGGGAAGGAGGAUGGAGGGGGCGGCCGAAGUAGGAGAAGGGAGGGCGGUGGGAGGAGGGCGGUCGGAGGAGGAGGUGGGAGGAGGGAGUACCUCGGCGAGGAGCAGAGCGGCGGCGGACGACGGGUUCGGCGCGGCUGGGCGAGAGCGAGUGAGAGGGAGAGAGUGAGUGACAGGGAACUGCACCGCGCGCUCUAGGAUAAGGUAAGUUAGUAGUAGCGCGUUUCAGAGAAAAGCGCUACUGCUAAGAGAUGUAGCAGUAGCGCUAGCGAGGCUUACGCGCUACUGCUAAGUGUGUCUAGCCAACUGCCCCUAGUCCAAGUAUAGCAGCAGCGUUCUUUGGAGAACGCGCUACUGCUAAAGUAGUAGCAGUAGCGCGGUUUAUUUAAAAUCGCUACUACUAAGUAGCAGUAGCGCCCUGUUUUGUCCAGCGCUACUGCUAAGAUGUUGUGUAUAAGGUUUUCCCUAGUAGUGGUAGCCUCCAAGCAUUCGGGCAACAUGGAAAAGUUGCAUGAAGGGUUUUAGCAGGCGUCGAUGAAGCAGAAGAUGUUGAUGACGGUCGGCUGCGGACCGUAGCCGGCGCGGCUUGCUUCCGGUUGGGGUUCGCGAGCGCACCCACUGGGUGUAGCCUCUGAGCCUCCGGGUAAUUUGGAAAAGUUGGGCGGAGGGUCUUCGCGGUUGUUGGUGCAGACGAUGGCGUCGAGCAUGUCGGUUGCUGCCGGCAUCGGGCGUGCAACAGGCACGGCGUGUUCCGAGUGGGGCCGUGCAAGCGCACCCACUGGGUGUAGCCUCCGAGCCUCCGGGCAACUUGGAAAAGUUGGGCGAAGUGUCUUCCUAUUGAUGAUGAAGCCGACGGCGACGUCGAGGGUGUCGGGUGCAGACACGGAGUCCGCCGGCUGGUGAGCGCGUGCCCUGCCGGGUGCCGCUUGCUUCCAGUGAGUGUGCGCGAGUAUAGGCUUGCUUCUGGUGGGGGCGCGCGAGCGCACCCACUGGGUGUAGCCUCGGAGCCUCCGGGCAACUUGGAAAAGUUGGGCGGAGAGUCUUGUUGUUGAUGAAGCAGACAGUGGCGUUGGAAACAUCGGUUGCAGCCGGCAUCGGGACUGCAACCAGCGUGUAGCCUCCGAACCUUCAGGCGAGGAGGGGGUUCCCCACAGCGAUGACCGUGCAAACACAAGGUUAGUUCGCGCAAAUAUAUCAAGUGUUUGUUUUUGGUAUUGCCAGUUUUAUGCAGAGGGUGCUGACUCGGUUUCGUCCGAGCCCCCUUCAGUCUUUUCAUGUCCCCUUCGUUGUUUGGCUUUGCCUCUUGUUAGCUAGACAGCCGGGAGCCGGUCUGUAGCUGUUACGAAGAGUGGCCGUGUAGUGGAGCGUACAGUAUUCGGACUACAGGAGCAGAUUCGAUCGAGUAGAUACUCAUAAAGGAAAUGCCUGGGUUGCCCAAGCCGUCUUCUCUCAGACGUUUUUCGCGUGGGGUGACUUCCAGCUUUUGCUCUCGCUUGCCGAACAGCUGCAUGGCGGUCUGUGGCUGAGAGUGGGCCUUCUGUACCGUAUGCACUACUAAGUCGUCGAACAACCGUUUACCUUGCUGGAAAUUAAAGAGGUUUGUUUUGGGAUGAAAAGAAAUAAAAUUCCAAGCCUUGAUGGCUUUCCAGCCGAUUUUUGCCAUGAUUUCUGGGAUUUGGUGAAGUAGGAUUUGAAGAAACUUGUUGAUGAGUUUGACAUGGGAAGAUUAGGUAUCUCUAGAUUGAAUUAUGGGAUCAUUACUAUGGUCCCAAAAAAUGCUAAUGCUAAAUAGAUACAACAUUUCAGACCAAUUUGUUUGCUUAAUGCCAGUUUCAAAAUAAUUAUUAAAGUGCUUAUGAACAGGUUAGGGUUAUGUGUCUCCCCAGUUAUCGCUCCUACUCAGACUGCUUUUAUUAAGGGGAGGUGCAUUAUGGAAGGAAUAGUGAUCUUGCAUGAGGCCUUGAACACUAUACACACUAAAAAAUAGAGUGCUUUGAUUUUUAAAGUGGAUUUUGGAAAAGCCUAUGAUAAAAUCAAAUGGCCCUUUGUGCUUAAGAUGUUGAAACUUAAAGGGUUUCCAGACAAAUGGUGUGAUUGGGUGAUGAUGACUAUGAGAGGAGGGCAAGUUGGGGUUAGGGUUAAUGACAAGAUUGGUCCUUAUUUCAAAACAUUUAAGGGGUUGAGGCUAGGAGAUGUUAUGUCUCCCUCAUUGUUUGUUCUGGCAGCUGAGUUGCUCUAGCUGUUAUACUAAAUAAUGCUAAGAAUAAUGACAUAGUAAAUGGUGUGCGGAGAAGUGAUAAUAAUAAAGGUAUUAACAUGAUACAAUAUGCUAAUGACACAAUAUUUUUGUUGCAAGAUGAUAUUGAAAAUGCAAAAAAUCUGAAAUUCAUAUUUGUGCUUUUGAGUAGAUGCUAGGUUUGAAAAUUAUUUUCACAAAAGUGAGCUCCUCCUCUUUGGGGAAGCUGCUUGUGAACAAACCUCCCAAAUGAUAUGGUUGUGGCCGACCAGCUCGAGUGCCUCCAUGGUCGCCGAGGAGGCAACCUGGGAUCCUCCCAGCUGGUAGAUCUGGUCGUCGUUGUCCAGUAGGCCAAGAUCCGGAGUAGCCAUCCCGCGCGCGGCCGUUAGGGUCAUCCGGUGUGCUGCCACCAUGGAUGCCAAGCACGUGGACGUCGUGGCCAUCCCACCUAGCGAAGGCGUCGCCAGGUGUGUACGGAGGCUGUGGCGAAGUAGGUGUGGGGGAGGGAGUGUUGGAAAUAUGCCCUAGAGGCAAUAAUAAAUAAGUUAUUAUUAUAUUUCUUUGUUCAUGAUAAUAGUCUUUUAUUCAUGCUAUAACUGUAUUAUCCGGAAAUCGUAAUACACGUGUGAAUACAUAGACCACAAUAUGUCCCUAGUGAGCCUCUAGUUGACUAGCUCGUUGUGAUCAACAGAUAGUCAUGGUUUCCUGGCUAUGGACAUUGGAUGUCGUUGAUAACGGGAUCACAUCAUUAGGAGAAUGAUGUGAUGGACAAGACCCAAUCCUAAGCAUAGCACAAAGAUCGUGUAGUUCAUUUGCUAGAGCUUUGCCAAUGUCAAGUAUCUCUUCCUUUGACCAUGAGAUCGUGUAACUCCUGGAUACCGUAGGAGUGCCUUGGGUGUAUCAAACGUCACAACGUAACUGGGUGACUAUAAAGGUACACUACAGGUAUCUCCGAAAGUAUCUAUUGUUUUAUGCGGAUCGAGACUGGGAUUUGUCACUCCGUGUAAACGGAGAGGUAUCUCUGGGCCCACUCGGUAGGACAUCAUCAUAUGCGCAAUGUGACCAAGGAGUUGAUCACGGGAUGAUGUGUUACGGAACGAGUAAAGUGACUUGCCGGUAACGAGAUUGAACAAGGUAUCGAUAUACCGACGAUCGAAUCUCGGGCAAGUAAAAUACCGCUAGACAAAGGGAAUUGUAUACGGGAUCGAUUGAGUCCUUGACAUCAUGGUUCAUCCGAUGAGAUCAUCGUGGAACAUGUGGGAGCCAACAUGGGUAUCAGAUCCCGCUGUUGGUUAUUGACCGGAGAACGUCUCGGUCAUGUCUGCAUGUCUCCCGAACCCGUAGGGUCUACACACUUAAGGUUCGAUGAUGCUAGGGUUAUAAAGGAAGCUUGUAUGUGGUUACCGAAUGUUGUUCGGAGUCCCGGAUGAGAUCCCGGACGUCACGAGGAGUUCCGGAAUGGUCCGUAGGUAAAGAUUUAUAUAUAGGAAGUCCUGUUUCGGCCAUCGGGACAAGUUUCGGGGUCAUCGGUAUUGUACCGGGACCACCGGAAGGGUCCCGGGGGCCCACCGGGUGGGGCCACCUGCCCCGGGGGGCCACAUGGGCUGUAGGGGGUGCGCCUUGGCCUACAUGGGCCAAGGGCACCAGCCCCAAGAGGCCCAUGCGCCUAGGGAACCCUAGAGGGAAGAGUCCUCAAGGGGGAAGGCACCUCCGAGGUGCCUUGGGGAGGAUGGACUCCUCCCCCCUCUUGGCCGCCGCACCAGAUGCCAUCUGGAGGCUGGCCGCCGCCCCUUGGGGUGGGAAACCCUAAAGGGGGCGCAGCCCUCCCCUUCCCCUAUAUAUAUGAGGCCUAGGGGCUGCCCAUAACACGCGAUUUGAUCUCUCGUUGGUGCAGCCCUGCCUCUCUCCCUCCUCCUCUUCUCCCAUGGUGCUUGGCGAAGCCCUGCGGGAUUGCCACGCCCCUCCACCACCACCACGCCGUUGUGCUGCUGUUGGAUGGAGUCUUCCUCAACCUCUCCCUCUCUCCUUGCUGGAUCAAGGCGUGGGAGACGUCACCGGGCUGUACGUGUGUUGAACGCGGAGGUGCCGUCCGUUCGGCACUUGAUCAUCGGUGAUCUGAAUCACGACGAGUACGACUCCAUCAACCCCGUUCACUUGAACGCUUCCGCUUAGCGAUCUACAAGGGUAUGUAGAUGCACUCUCCUUUCUACUCGUUGCUGGUCUCUCCAUAGAUAGAUCUUGGUGUUACGUAGGAAAAUUUUGAAUUUCUGCUACGUUCCCCAACAGUGGCAUCAGAGCUAGGUCUAUUGCGUAGAUUCUUUGCACGAGUAGAACACAAAGUAGUUGUGGGCGUUGAUGUUGUUCAAUAUGCUUACCGUUACUAGUCCAAUCUUGUUUCGACGGUAUUGUGGGAUGAAGCGGCCCGGACCGACCUUACACGUACUCUUACGUGAGACAGGUUCCACCGAUUGACAUGCACUUGGUGCAUAAGGUGGCUAGCGGGUGCCAGUCUCUCCCACUUUAGUCGAAACGGAUUCGAUGAAAAGGGUCCUUAUGAAGGGUAAAUAGCAAUUGGCAUAUCACGUUGUGGUCUUGCGUAGGUAAGAAACGUUCUUGCUAGAAACCCAUAGCAGCCACGUAAAACAUGCAAACAACAAUUAGAGGACGUCUAACUUGUUUUUGUAGGGUAUGCUAUGUGAUGUGAUAUGGCCAAGAAGAAUGUGAUGAAUGAUAUGUGAUGUAUGAGAUUGAUCAUGUUCUUGUAAUAGGAUUCACGACUUGCAUGUCGAUGAGUAUGACAACCGGCAGGAGCCAUAGGAGUUGUCUUUAUUUUUUGUAUGACCUGCGUGUCAUUAAAGAAUGCCAUGUAACUUACUUUACUUUAUUGCUAAACGUUAGUCAUAGAAGUAGAAGUAGUCGUUGGCGUGACAACUUCAUGAAGACACGAUGAUGGAGAUCAUGAUGAUGGAGAUCAUGGUGUCAUGCCGGUGACAUGAUGAUCAUGGAGCCCCGAAGAUGAAGAUCAAAAGGAGCAAAAUGAUAUUGGCCAUAUCAUGUCACUAUUUGAUUGCAUGUGAUGUUUAUCAUGAUUAUGCAUCUUGUUUACUUAGGACGACGGUAGUAAAUAAGAUGAUCCCUUACAAAAUUUCAAGAAGUGUUCUCCCCUAACUGUGCACCGUUGCUACAGUUCGUCGCUUCUAAGCACCACGUGAUGAUCGGGUGUGAUGGAUUCUUACGUUCACAUACAACGGGUGUAAGACACUUUUACACAGCGAAAACACUUAGGGUUAACUUGACGAGCCUAGCAUGUGCAGACAUGGCCUCGGAACACGGAGACCGAAAGGUCGAGCAUGAGUCGUAUAGUAGAUACGAUCAACAUGAAGAUGUUCACCGACGUUAACUAGUCCGCCUCACGUGAUGAUCGGACACGGGCUAGUUGACUCGGAUCAUGUAAUCACUUAGAUGACUAGAGGGAUGUCUAUCUGAGUGGGAGUUCAUAAGAUGAACUUAAUUAUCCUGAACAUAGUCAAAAGACCUUUUGCAAAUUAUGUCGUAGCUCGCGCUAUAGUUCUACUGUUUUAGAUAUAUUCCUAGAGAAAUUAUAGUUGAAAGUUGAUAGUAGCGAUUAUGCGAUCAGUAGAAAGCUUAUGUCCUUAAUGCACCGCUUAGUGUGCUGAACCCCAAACGUCGUUUGUCGAUGUUGCGAACAUCGGACAUACACGUUUUGAUAACUACGUGAUAGUUCAGUUAAAUGGUUUAAGUAGAGGCACCAAAGACGUUUUCGAAACGUCGCGGAACAUAUGAGAUGUUUCGAGGGCUGAAAUUGGGAUUUCAGGCUCGUGCCCACGUCAAGAGGUAUGAGACCUCCGGCGAUUUUCUUAGCCUGCAAACUAAGGGAGAAAAGCUCAAUCGUUGAGCUUGUGCUCAGAUUGUCUGAGUGCAACAAUCACUUGAAUCAAGUGGGAGUUAAUCUUCCAGAUGAGAUAGUGAUGUUUCCCCAAAGUCAUUGCCACCGAGCUGCUAGAGCUUCGUGAUGAACUAUAACAUAUCAGGGAUAAAUAAGAUGAUCCUUGAGGUAUUCACGAUGUUUGACACCGCGAAAGUAGAAAUCAAGAAGGAGCAUCAAUUGUUGAUGGUUGGUGAAACCACUAGUUUCAAGAAGGGCAAGGGCAAGAAGGGAUACUUCAUGAAACGGCAAAUCAGCUGCUGCUCCAGUGAAGAAACCCAAGGUUGAACCCAAACCCGAGAAUAAGUGCUUCUGUAAUAAGGGGAACAGUCACUAGAGCAGAAUUACCCUAGAUACUUGGUAGAUGAGAAGGAUGGCAAGGUCGAUAGAAGUAUAUUGGAUAUACAUUAUGUUAAUGUGUACUUUACUAGUACUCCUAGUAGCACCAGGGUAUAAGAUACCGGUUCGGUUGCUAAGUGUUAGUAACUCGAAAUAAAAGGCUACGGAAAAAACGGAGACUAGCUAAAGGUGAGCUGACGAUAUGUGUUGGAAGUGUUUCCAAUGUUGAUAUGAUCAAGCAUCGCAUGCUCCCUCUACCAUCGAGAUUUGGUGUUUGCGUUGAGCAUAGACAUGAUUGGAUUAUGUCUAUCGCAACACGGUUAUUCAUUUAAAGAGAAUAAUGGUUACUCUAUUUAUUUUAAUACCUUCAAUGGUCUUGCACCUAAAAUGAAUGGCUCAUUGAAAUCUCGAUCGUAGUGAUACACAUGUUCAUGCCAAAAGAUAGUAAUGAUAGUACCACCUAUUUGUGGCACUGCCACAUAAGUCAUAUCGGUAUAAAAUGCAUGAAGAAGCUCCAUGUUGAUGGAUCUUUGGACUCACUCAUUUUUGAAAAGUUUGAGACAUGCGAACCAUGUCUAUUGGUGUAUAUGCAUGAAGAAACUCCAUGCAAAUGGACCGUUCGGACUUACUUGAUUUUGAAUCACUUGAGAUAUGCAAAUCAUACCACAUAGGCAAGAUGACUGAAAAGCCUCGGUUUCAAUAAGAUGGAACAAGAUAGCAACUUGUUGGAAGUAACACAUUUUGAUGUGUGCAGUCCAAUAAGUGCUGAGGCAUGCAGUGAAUAUCGUUAUGUUCUUACUUCACAGAUGAUUCGAGUAGAUGUUGAAAAUAUUUACUUGAUGAAACACAAGUCUGAAUUAUUGAAUGGUUCAAGUAAUUUCAGAGUGAAGUAAAAGAUCAUUGUGACAAGAGGAUAAAAUGUCUAUGAUACGAUCAUAGAGAUGAAUAUCUGAGUUACGAGUUUUGGCACACAAUUAAGACAUUGUGGAAAGUGUUUCACAAUUAAUACCGCCUGGAACACCAUAGUGUGAUGGUGUGUCCGAACAUCAUAGUUGCACCCUAUUGGAUAUGGUGUGUACCAUGAUGUCUCUUAUCGAAUUACCACUAUCGUUCAUGGGUUAGGCAUUAGAGACAACCACAUUCACUUUAAAUAGGGCACCGCGUAAUUCCGUUGAGAUGACACCGUAUGAAUUAUGGUUUAGAGAAACCUAAGUUGUCGUUUCUUAAAAGUUUGGGGCUGCGACGCUUAUAUGAAAAAGUUUCAGGUUGAUAAGCUCGAACCCAAAGCGGAUAAAAUGCAUCUUCAUAGGAAACCCAAAACAGUUGGGUAUACCUCCUAAUUCAGAUCCGAAAGCAAUAUGAAUUGUUUCUAGAAUCGGGUCCUUUCUCGAGGAAAGGUUUCUCUCGAAAGUGUUGAGUGGGAGGAUGGUGGAGACUUGACGAGGUUAUUGAACCGUCUCUUCAACUAGUGUGUGGCAGGGCAUAGGAAGUUGUUCCUGUGGCACCUACACCAAUUGAAGUGGAAGCUUAUGAUAGUGAUCAUGAAGCUUCGGAUCAAGUCACUACCGAACCUCGUAGGACGACAAGGACACGUACUACUUCGGAGUGGUAAGGUGAUCCUGUCUUGAAGGUCAUGUUGCUAGACAACAAUGAAACUACGAGCUAUGGAGAAGCGAUGGUGGGCCCGGAUUCCGAUAAAUGGCUCGAGGCCAGAAAAUCCGAGAACGGAUCCAUGGACUUUGGUGGACUUGCCCGAUGAUCGGCAAGCCAUUAAGAUAAAUGGAUCUUCAAAAGGAAGACGGACAAUGAUGGUAAAUGUCACCAUUAAGAAAGCUCGACUUGUCGUUAAGAUGUUUUCCGACAAGUUCAAGGAGUUGACUACGAUGAGAUUUUCUCACUCGUAGCGAUGCUAAGAGUCUGUUGGAAUUAUAUUAGCGAUUACUGCAUUAUUUAUGAAAUCUUGGAGAUAGGAUGUCAAAACAUUGUUUCCUCGACGAUUUUCUUGAGGAAAGGUUGUAUGUGAUACAACCGGAAGGUUUUGUCAAUCCCGAAAGAUGCUAAUAAGUAUGCAAAGCUCCAGCAAUCCUUCUAAGGACUGGAGUGAGCAUCUCGGAGUUGGAAUGUAUGCUUUGAUGAUCAAAGAUUUUGGGUUUGUACAAAGUUUAUGAGAAACUUGUAUUUCCAAAGAAGUGAGUGGGAGCACUAUAGAAUUUCUGAUGAGUAUAUGUUGUUGACAUAUUGAUGAUCAGAAAUGAUGUAGAAUUUCUGGAAAGCAUAUAGGGUUAUUUGAAAUGUGUUUUUCAAUAGAAAACCUGGAUUAAACUACUUGAGCAUUGAGCAUCAAGAUCUAUAAGGAUAGAUCAAAAUGCUUAAUGGUACUUUCAAAUGAGCACAUACCUUGACAUGAUCUUGAAGGACCAGUCAAAGAAGGAGUUCUUGCCUGAGUUGUAAGGUACGAAGUUAAGACUUAAAGCUCGACCACGGCAGAAUAGAGAGAAAGGACGAAGGUCGUCCCCUAUGCUUAAGACGUAGGCUCUUCAGUAUGCUAUGCUGUGUACCGCACCUGAAGUGUGCCUUGCCAUGAGUCAGUCAAGGGGUACAAGAGUGAUCCAAGAAUGGCUCACAGGACAGCGGUCAAAGUUAUCCUUAUUAACUAGUGGACUAAGGAAUUUUUCUCAAUUAUGGAGGUGGUAAAAGAGUUCGUCGUAAAGGGUUAUGACGAUGCAAGCUUGACACCUAUCCGGAUAGCUCUGAGUAGAGAUACCGGAUACAUAUAAUGGAGCAACAAUUUAGAAUAGCUCCAAGUAGAACAGUUAUUUGGAUUAGCUCCAAAUAGAGCGUGGUAGCUGCAUCUAUGAGAUGACAUAGAGAUUUGUAAAACACACACGGAUCUGAAAGGUUCAGACCCAUUGACUAAAACCUCUCUCACAAGCAACAUGAUCAAACAUAAAACUCAUUGAGUGUUAAUCACAUAGUGAUGUGAACUAGACUACUGACUCUAGUAAACUCUUGGGUAUUAGUCACAUGGCGAUGUGACCUGUGAGUGUUAAUCACAUGGCGAUGUGAACUAGAUUAUUGACUCUAGUGCAAGUGGGAGAUUGUUGGAAAUAUGCCCUAGAGGCAAUAAUAAAUAAGUUAUUAUUAUAUUUCUUUGUUCAUGAUAAUAGUCUUUUAUUCAUGCUAUAACUGUAUUAUCCGGAAAUCGUAAUACACGUGUGAAUACAUAGACCACAAUAUGUCCCUAGUGAGCCUCUAGUUGACUAGCUCGUUGUGAUCAACAGAUAGUCAUGGUUUCCUGGCUAUGGACAUUGGAUGUCGUUGAUAACAGGAUCACAUCAUUAGGAGAAUGAUGUGAUGGACAAGACCCAAUCCUAAGCAUAGCACAAAGAUCGUGUAGUUCAUUUGCUAGAGCUUUGCCAAUGUCAAGUAUCUCUUCCUUUGACCAUGAGAUCGUGUAACUCCUGGAUACCGUAGGAGUGCCUUGGGUGUAUCAAACGUCACAACGUAACUGGGUGACUAUAAAGGUACACUACAGGUAUCUCCGAAAGUAUCUAUUGUUUUAUGCGGAUCGAGACUGGGAUUUGUCACUCCGUGUAAACGGAGAGGUAUCUCUGGGCCCACUCGGUAGGACAUCAUCAUAUGCGCAAUGUGACCAAGGAGUUGAUCACAGGAUGAUGUGUUACGGAACGAGUAAAGUGACUUGCCGGUAACGAGAUUGAACAAGGUAUCGGUAUACCGACGAUCGAAUCUCGGGCAAGUAAAAUACCGCUAGACAAAGGGAAUUGUAUACGGGAUCGAUUGAGUCCUUGACAUCGUGGUUCAUCCGAUGAGAUCAUCGUGGAACAUGUGGGAGCCAACAUGGGUAUCCAGAUCCCGCUGUUGGUUAUUGACCGGAGAACGUCUCGGUCAUGUCUGCAUGUCUCCCGAACCCGUAGGGUCUACACACUUAAGGUUCGAUGAUGCUAGGGUUAUAAAGGAAGCUUGUAUGUGGUUACCGAAUGUUGUUCGGAGUCCCGGAUGAGAUCCCGGACGUCACGAGGAGUUCCGGAAUGGUCCGGAGGUAAAGAUUUAUAUAUAGGAAGUCCUGUUUCGGCCAUCGGGACAAGUUUCGGGGUCAUCGGUAUUGUACCGGGACCACCGGAAGGGUCCCGGGGGCCCACCGGGUGGGGCCACCUGCCCCGGGGGGCCACAUGGGCUGUAGGGGGUGCGCCUUGGCCUACAUGGGCCAAGGGCACCAGCCCCAAGAGGCCCAUGCGCCUAGGGAACCCUAGAGGGAAGAGUCCUCAAGGGGGAAGGCACCUCCGAGGUGCCUUGGGGAGGAUGGACUCCUCCCCCCUCUUGGCCGCCGCACCAGAUGCCAUCUGGAGGCUGGCCGCCGCCCCUUGGGGUAGGAAACCCUAAAGGGGGCGCAGCCCUCCCCUUCCCCUAUAUAUAUGAGGCCUAGGGGCUGCCCAUAACACGCGAUUUGAUCUCUCGUUGAUGCAGCCCUGCCUCUCUCCCUCCUCCUCUUCUCCCAUGGUGCUUGGCGAAGCCCUGCGGGAUUGCCACGCCCCUCCACCACCACCACGCCGUUGUGCUGCUGUUGGAUGGAGUCUUCCUCAACCUCUCCCUCUCUCCUUGGUGGAUCAAGGCGUGGGAGACGUCACCGGGCUGUACGUGUGUUGAACGCGGAGGUGCCGUCCGUUCGGCACUUGAUCAUCGGUGAUCUGAAUCACGACGAGUACGACUCCAUCAACCCCGUUCACUUGAACGCUUCCGCUUAGCGAUCUACAAGGGUAUGUAGAUGCACUCUCCUUUCUACUCGUUGCUGGUCUCUCCAUAGAUAGAUCUUGGUGUUACGUAGGAAAAUUUUGAAUUUCUGCUACGUUCCCCAACAGGGAGAGCCAGAGGGGGGGAUCACCAUCGGCUGUGAUGAUUGGGAGAGGGGUGGAUUUAAGAUUGAGAGUUAGGGUUAGGGGUUAAAUUUAUAGGGUACGGCACAACAAUGGGCCAUUCUGGGCCAAUACAUUAUUAGCCUCGCGGACCAGCAAUAUGCAGGCCAAGAGAUCAUGUCAUUGGAAAAAUGGGUUUAGGUUAAUUAUCUUUGCUCAAAUAAAUAUUAUGGUAUGGUAUGGUAUGGGUAUAGGAAUAAGGCUUCAUGUUUGGGUUAGGGACUAUACUAAAUGUCAAAAUUAGGCAUCUUUUUAAAACCAUCUGCAAUUUUUUAGGAAUUAAAUGCAUUUCUAUCAAUUUACUGAAUAUAUUUCAAAUUUGAAUUACAUGUACUUUAAAAUGGUCUCUAAAUGAAAAAAAAAAUCAUGUUCAAGCACUUACGUAACUCAUAGCAUCCUUUCAAAAAAGAUGAAAAUUUUAAAAUUUUCUUUUGAAAAUACUAUACAAUUAGAAGCAUCCUAUUUGUUUUAAUUUUUCUAUAAAAUAUAUAUGCGGUUUUAAAUAUGAUGAAAUUUUGUUUGGGUUCAUCAUAUUACCUAAUGAGGCUCCAUUAAAAAAUCCAUAAAUUUUCAUAACAGUGUAAGCAUACAUUGAUUGAUUUAUAAUUCAAACAUCUACCUAUAAGUGAUUUAGCAGUCCAAGGGGAAGUAGGAAGUCUGUAGUCCACAUCAAGGUUUGCUCAUCAUUUUCACUUGAUUUUGUACUACAAAUAGAUAUUGUGGUAAUGUACACUAAUAUACCUCCAUGUUCCAUCUUUUUAUGUAAUGAUUUGUAUUUCUUAUUGUCUUCGACACACCAAAUUAAGUUACCAUGUGGGGUGCCUACCAAAACCAUUGAUUUCAAAUGCACCAAACUUUUCUACAUGCGACAUACCUUAUUUGUUUGUUCAUGUCAAAUAAGCCGAGGACGCUCCAGUCAGUGAGUUUCGUUGCAGUGAUGUAAAGUGCUCAUACUUUAUUAGUACUACUCAAGAAAAUAACAACAAUUCCCGGUCGCCGGUGUUGACGUAUAAUGUGCUGACUAUUCUCUCCUAUUAGAUCGGUCUUUUGAUUGCAUUGGCUAGAGCAUGCACUUCUACAUGGUAUUGGAGCCAAGAGGUUUUUAGAUCAAGACCCGGCUGGCGCAAUUAAAUUGCAGCCCACUUUCGGUCCACGUUUAGGUCUGAAGGGGCCAAACUUGAGAAAGCCGGCUAGACGGCGAGAUCCCGCGCUGCUUUCAUCAGAGACGGCCGCUCAUCCGCCAACGCUCCCCGCGGCGUCUGGAAACGGCAGCAACUAGUAAAUGAAGGUGAGCGCAAGGUUGUAGAUGGUACUCUACACACGCCGACGUUACCGGCAGUGUUUAAUCGCUUGUGAACAUUGCAUUGUUCUCUCUUCGGUUCGUAUAGAAAGAGUAGAAAAGAAAAUAGUGGCACUAUUCAUAUGUCUAGUGUAAAAAGAGCUGAAGAAAAGGAGAUUUGGGUGCGGCGUUUCUGCUCCCNNNNNNNNNNUCUUUUGAUUGCAUUGGCUAGAGCAUGCACUUCUACAUGGUAUUGGAGCCAAGAGGUUUUGAGAUCAAGACCCGGCUGGCGCAAUUAAAUUGCAGCUCACUUUCGGUCCACGUUUAGGUCUGAAGGGGCCACACUUGACGACGCCGACUAGACGGCGAGAUCCCGUGCUGCUUUCAUCAGAGACGGCCGCUCAUCCGCCAACACUCCCCGCGGCGUCUGGAAACGGCAGCAACUAGUAAAUGAAGGUGAGCGCAAGGUUGUAGAUGGUACUCUACACACGCACACGUUACCGGCAGUGUUUAAUCGCUUGUGAACAUUGCAUUGUUCUCUCUUCGGUUCGUAUAGAAAGAGUAGAAAAGAAAAUAGUGGCACUAUUCAUAUGUCUAGUGUAAAAAGAGCUGAAGAAAAGGAGAUUUGGGUGCGGCGUUUCUGCUCCCGANNNNNNNNNNNNNNNNNNNNNNNNNNNNNNNNNNNNNNNNNNNNNNNNNNNNNNNNNNNNNNNNNNGGAAAAUCGAAACAAAAAAAAUCAGAAAAUUCUAAUUUUUUUGUGUGAUAGACAAUUGUAUGCGUGAAGAAAUUUGGAUUUUUUUAGUAUUUGUUUUGAUUUUUUUUGACCGGGUGCAGAUGAGCCUGGGCACCGAAUUGGAUUUUCGAUUUUGUUUUUGCUUUAGUAGCGUAAUAAACAUUGUAAUGAAAUAAUUUACUUUUUGUGAUUUUUUUUCCUUUUUUUUGUUUCAAUUUGUCCGUGUUAAUGGAUUCCAGUGUUUCGGAUUCACUCUCUACCAACUACCAACGCUCGAUAGCACCUUAAAAGUUGUAUUCUUUUAGAAUAGAAAAACAAGUGAGUUCAUAAGAGAAGUGUUAUACAAAGCAUGGAUGCAUAUGAACCCAUUUUUAUAAUCUUAAAGGAAAGUUACAAUUGUACUUUGCGUCAAUGUAGACACAGCGGUGCGCGUGCCAGCUGCACGGCCUUGAACCAUCUCUCUCGCGACAAACGGUGCUCGCAUACGUAGCGUGCUCGCCGGGGCACAACUAAUAUUGCCGAUGCGUUCUCGUCUUGUAAUGAAGAGAAAUUGAUAGAGCACCAUUAUGCGAGAUCGGCCAAACCUUGCCAUCAUGCAGACAAUUGGAAGGAUGCUACAUUGCUAUAUCUACCAACAAGUGUUCCAAUGUGGAUGUAUCCAAGAGCAAAAGUGAAUCAUCAUUCUUGAUUAACACAUGAUUCACUAUAACCAAGUAGUAUUUAUGAUUGAAAUCUUCUUUUGAAGUACAUCCAUAUAUGUACUAAUGUUAUGAUCUUAUAUAGAGUACUAGUGACAUUGUUUACAUAUAAAAGGAAAAUUGCCUUUCACUUCACUAAGCGUGAUGAUGUAUAUUUGGGGUAUUUCAUAUGGACAAACGAAAAGUGUUUUUGGCACUGGCAUUCAUGCAAGAUUGGCUUUAUCAGCUACUGUACAACAGAAGGAUCACACUUUCUGUUAUGAAUAUGUCAAACAAGUAUGGGAUGCUAUUACAAGUAAGGAUAAAUUUCGUGACUUGGAUAAUUAAAUCCAAAGCACAACAACCUCUCAAUCGACUGAAUCUAUCCAAAUGGUUACCCGUUCUUCGUUUGUAAGCAAAGGAAAAACAACAACCAAGUAUUGCAAGCAAAACUAGCUAGCUCUAAGAGAUACUAACAAUUGAUUCCAUGAAAAGAAUGGCAUUCCUCUUGUUUUGCGAAAAUUAGUAUGCCGCUUUGCUAGCAGAUUUUGGUUGCUUGCGUGCGGGGAGUGUUGGCAGAUGAGCGUUGAACGUACCAAGGUGCAUGCACGUCCAUGCGAGUGACGCCCUUGAUAUCCUCAGGCUGUGUUUAAGCGUAUAGAUCAUAAUCAAACGACGAGUCACUCAAGUUGCAGACGAGUACACGAUUUGACCACAUUUGCAGACGAGUACACGUUCAGACGAGUAUGUGCGCGUCCUACUGUACAUACAGAAGAAAAAAAAGUCCAGCUGGAGCCUGGAAGCUUCAAGCACACGGACGGUUGCAGCUGUUGCAUGCAUGUGACGUGAGGAGUGCACUGGCCCGCCGCCCGCCGCUUGUACUCGCCUGCAAAUGUAUUUGUCAAACGUAUUUCGUGGCAACUUCAGUUAGAUGGGCGCCAGUGACUCAUCGUGAGGCCAUCAUCAUCCAUAGACACGAGGAUAGAGAGGCCGACACACACAUGGACGGACGGGCGCCUAGGUGCGGCCGAGAACGCGCUCCAGUCACAGAGUUUCAGUUACCCGUUGCUGUGCUGUAAAGUGCUGCAACUUCACUGCAGAAAAGAACAACGAGUUGCUCGCGGAUCGCCGGAGUCCCACCUCCUCCGGUGGCCGCUCCUCUGUGCGACGUGAGGAAACGGAAGCAACCAGUAACCGAGCGAGCGAGGAGCGGGCGGCGAGAUCGCGGGCUGGUCUGACCGAAACGGACGUGGCGCGCGUCACUGCGGCUGCACCGCCUCCAACACUCCCGUCGCGACAACGCUUGCUGAUGCUACGUACAGCCCGGGGAUGGAAGUGAACUGGCACCAGGGUGACCACGCCCAGUCACCAGUGUUUCGGAUGCUUCAUCGGUCUUUUUUUUUCGUUUCAAAAUGUAUCAAUUUAUUUCGUUGUCUACAAUGGCGAAGACAGGAAUAAUUUUCAGGUGUGACGGAGUUUGUAAAAAAGAAAACCAUGUAUAAUAUGAUUAUAAAGGCUCGCUAGAAUAUUAGAUGUAUAUUUACUCUGCCUCAAAUUACUAGUCGUAGGUAUGCCUAAGAUAUAGAUGUAUUUAGACAUGUUUUAGUAUUAGAUACAUCCAUAUCUAGAAAAAGUUAAGACAAGUAAUUUAAGACAGAGGUACUACUUUAUAUUUAGCAAAUAUACAAGACAAAUCCAAAAAAUGAGUACUCACACUCAAAAUACAUCACUAGAUUUAAAUUAUAUGGAUGAAUGUUCACCAAUUUAAUAAAGGAAAUUAAUCCAUUAGUAUUUCAACAAAGGGAAGGCACUAGAUAAACUAAAAUCGGAGAACGUAAUUACGUAUAUUUGAUCUGAUAUAGUCCAAUUUCAGUUAACAUAUUCGCAAACAAAAAACAAUUUCAGUUAACGUGGCGCCAUCUGCUCACCCUCGGGGCCUCGCCGAGUAGGCGUUGCCAUAUACUGGUCAGAGCCUCGCCUCGCCGGUGAACAGCCGCCACCUGCCACUGGCGCCACCGCCCCGGCGUACUGCCCUGCCUGUUGUGCCUCCGUCACGCAGAUCACGGUCUAGAACAAGUACACGCACAGUCGAAACUCGGAAGGUUUCAGCCAUAAUCCAUGCCAUAAUCCAUGUGCAGACGUGACGUGUAGUCAAGCCACGGACUCGACCCAUCAGCAGCUAAGCCCAGCUUAAAACUUAAAUAUUGUAUCAAACUAAUACUGUACGUACGUACUUGGGUCGAAGUUUAGGUAUGGCAUGCACCAAACCUCGCCAGAUACCUGGCUUCGCCACUGGUUGUCUACCAACAAAUUUGAUUUAAAACAAGCGCACUCUUGAUUGUCCGUACACAAUAAAACACUACGAUGCACUCUGAAACAUGGAGAAAAACAUCCUGUGGAUGUAUGGACGGUGAAUACAUGGAACGAAUCUCAAAGCAACGACGGAAUGUUUUGAUGUAUCAUGUAUCCACGGUAUAUUCCAUGCUUGGUGGAAAAGACACUCUCGAAAACUCUACCUCAAAACGAAAAGACAUAAAACUAACCGAGACGGCGAGAUGUCACGGUAGCCCCUCUAGAAUUUAUAAUGUUAACUUCAACAAACUUAUUAGAAAACAAGUGCACUAUUAUUUGAUUGAAAUUAGCACUUGCCACCCCUAGUGGGAAUGAUAAAAUAAUAAAGCUACAACCUAAGGCACUAAUUUGCAGUGUGGUUUUCUCAUUGUUGUUUUUCUAAUAAGUUGGGGAUGGUCAUAAUUGCUUAUGACACUUUACAUGGGUAUGUAUAUAUAUUCUAAUACUAUGUGCAUGAUGUUUUUUGUACUUUUAAUAGAAGUACAAAUUUUACCAAAUUUUAGAAAAAGGUCUUGUGUAAUAGGUUCUGAAAACUCUCUAACCCAUGUUUACUUCAUAUAUUUUUUCCAAUUAAGGAGUAUGGGCUAUCGGUUCCAUAAAAAAUGGGACAAAAGUGUCGAGUAAUAAAAAAAGCGGGGAUGGCGCCACAACCACAUUAUCCGCUAUCCACUAAAGCAACACAAAUAAGAUAAAUAACUUUACCUGGACAUCUAUAAGUUUCUCAUAUCUACUCUGUAAUCUCGCAACUCUAGAAAGCUUACAAUCCUUAUCGCUUUUGUUUGUGCACGCAGCUCAAGACGGCGGCCGAGGUGCUCCGUGCGCCAAGUCCCCGGCUCGAUACGGCGGAGGACGGAACGAGUGGGAGGGCGCCAGGGCUUCUCCGGUGGCAACGAUGAGCUCGGUGAUGUGGCCAAGCCAAGCGUCGUAGCCGGCGUUGGCCGAGCGGGAGCGGGAGCGGAGCAACUCUCGUGCCAUGACCAGCACGGCCUGCGCGUUCCGCGGCCCGCGGCGGUCGAGGGAAGAAGAGGCCAUGGCGGUGCGAACAUCGGGCUGCACAGAGACGUGGGCAGCGGGGUCGGUGGCAGCGGCGGCCGCGGCAUUGGCAGACUGCUGGCGGUGAAGGAAAUAUGCCCUAGAGGCAAUUAUAAAGUUAUUAUUUAUUUCCUCAUAUCAUGAUAAAUAUUUGUUAUUCAUGCUAGAAUUGUAUUAACCGGAAACAUAAUACAUGUGUGAAUACAUAGACAAACAUAGUAUCACUAGUAUGCCUCUACCUGACUAGCUCGUUGAUCAAAGAUGGUUGUGUUUCCUAGCCAUAGACAUGAGUUGUCAUUUGAUUAACAGGAUCACAUCAUUAGGAGAAUGAUGUGAUUGACUUGACACAUUCCGUUAGUUUAGCACUUGAUCGUUUAGUAUGUUGCUAUUGCUUUCUUCAUGACUUAUACAUGUUCCUAUGAUUAUGAGAUUGUUCAACUCCCAUUUACCGGAGGAACACUUUGUGUGCUACCAAACGUCACAACGUAUUAUAAAGGAGCUCUACAGGUGUCUCCGAAGGUACAUGUUGAGUUGGCGUAUUUCAAGAUUAGGAUUUGUCACUCCGAUUGGCGGAGAGGUAUCUCUGGGCCCUCUCGGUAAUGCACAUCACUAUAAGCCUUGCAAGAAAUGUGACUAAUGAGUUAGUUGCGGGAUGAUGUAUUAUGGAACGAGUAAAGAGACCUGCCGGUAACGAAAUUGAGCUAGGUAUUGAGCUACCGACGAUCGAAUCUCGGGUAACUAACAUACCGAUGACAAUGGGAACAAUGUAUGUUGUUAUGCGGUUUGACCAAUAAAGAUCUUCGUAGAAUAUGUAGGAGCCAAUAUGAGCAUCCAGGUUUCGCUAUUGGUUAUUGACCGGAGACGUGUCUCGGUCAUGUCGACAUAGUUCUCGAACCCGUAGGGUCCGCAAGCUUAAAAUUUGGUGACGAUCGGUAUUAUGAGUUUUUAUUUUUUGAUGUACCGAAGGUAGUUCGGAGUCCCGGAUAUGAUCACGGACAUAACGAGGAGUCUCGAAAUGGUCGAGACGUAAAGAUCGAUAUAUUGGAUGACUAUGUUCAGACACCGGAAGUGUUUCGGGAGGUUUCGGACAUAUACCGGAGUACCGGGGGGUUACCAGAACCCCUCGGGGGGUUUAUUGGGCCUCAUGGGCCUUAGUGGAGAAGAGGAGGGGCGGCCAGGGCAGGCCACGCGCCCCCUCCCCCUCUAGUCCGAAUUGGACAAGGAGGGGGGCGGCGCCCCCCUUUCCUUCCUCUCCUCUCUCUCUUCCUUUCCCCCUCCUACUCCAACUAGGAAAAGAGGGAGUCCUACUCCCGGUGGGAGUAGGACUCCCCCCUGGCGCCCCCUCCUCCUGGCCGGCCACCCCGUCCCCCUUGAUCCUUUAUAUACGGGGGCAGGGGGGCACCUCUAGACACAACAAUUGAUCUCUUGAUCUCUUAGCCGUGUGCGGUGCCCCGCUCCACCAUAUUCCACCACGGUAAUAUCGUAGCGGUGCUUAGGCGAAGCCCUGCGUCGGUAGCAUCAUCAACACCAUCAUCACGCCGUCGUGCUGACGGAACUCUCCCCCAAAGCUCUGCUAGAUCGCAGUUCGUGGGACGUCAUCGAGCUGAACUUGUGCUGAACUCGGAGGUGUCGUACGUUCGGUACUUGAUCGGUCGGAUCGUGAAGACGUACGACUACAUCAACUGCGUUGUGCUAACGCUUCCACUUUCGGUCUACGAGGGUACGUGGACAACACUCUCCCCUCUCGUUGCUAUGCAUCACCAUGAUCUUGCAUGCGCAUAGGAAUUUUUUUGAAAUUACUACGUUUCCCAAUAGUGGUAUUAGAGCCUGGUUUUAUGCGUAGAUGUUAUAUGCACGAGUAGAAUACAAGUGAGUUGUGGGCGAUACAAGUCAUACUGCUUCCCAACAUGGCAUACUUUGGUUCGUCGGUAUUGUUGGAUGAAGCAGCCCGGACCAACAUUACGCGUACGUUUACGAGAGACUGGUUCUAUCGACGUGCUUUGCACAUAGGUGGCUGGCGGGUGUCAGUUUCUCCAACUUUCGUUGAACCGAGCGUGGCUAUGCCCAGUCCUUGAGAAGGUUAAAAUAGAACUAACUUGACGAUCUAUCAUUGUGGUUUUGAUGCGUAGGUAAGAAAGGUUCUUGCUCAGCCCGUAGCAGUCACGUAAAAAUUGCAACAACAAAGUAGAGGAUAUCUAACUUGUUUUUGUAGGGCAUGUUGUGAUGUGAUAUGUGUUGGGUUUCGUAGUAAUUUCAAAAAAUUUCCUACGCACACGCAAGAUCAUGGUGAUGUAUAGCAACGAGAGGGGAGAGUGUUGUCUACAUACCCUUGUAGACCGUAAGCGGAAGCGUUAGCACAACGCAGUUGAUGUAGUCGUACGUCUUCACGGCCCGACCGAUCAAGCACCGAAACUACGGCACCUCUGAGUUCUAGCACACGUUCAGCUCGAUGACGUCCCUCGAACUCCGAUCCAGCCGAGUGUCGAGGGAGAGUUCCGUCAGCACGACGGCGUGGUGACGAUCUUGAUGUUCUACCGUCGCAGGGCUUCGCCUAAGCACCGCUACGAUAUUAUCGAGGUGGACUAUGGUGGAGGGGGGCACCGCACACGGCUAAGAGAUCCAAGGGAUCAUUUGUUGUGUCUUUGGUGCUAGCCCUGCCCCUCUAUUUAUAUGUUGAGCCCCGGGGUCGAAACUUGGAGCAAAAGCCUCCUCAAAGUCGGUUUUUCCCGAAAGGCAAGAGUCCCACUCGGACUCCAGGACCAAACGCCACAAUCCUUGGCGUCUGGCCCAGACGCCAUGGGCCUCGGCGUCUGGCCCAGGGCCAGACGCCAGGGUCUCCGGCGUUUGGCCCCCUGGACUCCGCAAAACUCCUUUUGCACCGAUCUAAAGCCUCAUGGGCUUGACCCCUUGGCCUGGGCCAGACGCCAGGGUCUCCGGCGUUUGGCCCCCUGGACUCCGCAAAACUCCUUUUGCACCGAUCUAAAGCCUCAUGGGCUUGACCCCUUGGCCUAACCAUAUCAUCCAAUAUAUGAAUCUUUACGUCUCGACCAUUUCGAGACUCCUCGUCAUGUCCCCAAUCUCAUCCGGGACUCCGAACUCCUUCGGUACAUCAAAACAUGUAAACUCAUAAUAUAACUGUCAUCGUAACCUUAAGCGUGCGGACCCUACGGGUUCGAGAACAAUGUAGACAUGACCGAGACACGUCUCCGGUCAAUAACCAAUAGCGGGACCUGGAUGCCCAUAUUGGCUCCUACAUAUUCUACGAAGAUCUUUAUCGGUCAGACCGCAUAACAACAUACGUUGUUCCCUUUGUCAUCGGUAUGUUACUUGCCCGAGAUUCGAUCGUCAGUAUCCAAUACCUAGUUCAAUCUCGUUACUGGCAAGUCUCUUUACUCGUUCCGUAAUACAUCAUCCCACAACUAACAUAUUAGUUGCAGUGCUUGCAAGGCUUAUGUGAUGUGCAUUACCGAGAGGGCCCAGAGAUACCUCUCCGACAAUCGGAGUGACAAAUCCUAAUCUCGAAAUACGCCAACCCAACAUCUACUUUUGGAGACACCUGUAAUGCUCCUUUAUAAUCACCCAGUUACGUUGUGACGUUUGGUAGCACCCAAGGUGUUCCUCCGGCAAACGGGAGUUGCAUAAUCUCAUAGUUAUAGGAACAUGUAUAAGUCAUGAAGAAAGCAAUAGCAACAUACUAAACGAUCAGGUGCUAAGCUAAUGGAAUGGGUCAUGUCAAUCAGAUCAUUCAACUAAUGAUGUGACCUCGUUACUCAAAUAACAACUCUUUUGUCUAUGGUUAGGAAACAUAACCAUCUUUGAUUAACGAGCUAGUCAAGUAGAGGCAUACUAGUGACACUCUGUUUGUCUAUGUAUUCACACAUGUAUUAUGUUUCCGGUUAAUACAAUUCUAGCAUGAAUAAUAAACAUUUAUCAUGAUAUAAGGAAAUAAAUAAUAACUUUAUUAUUGCCUCUAGGGCAUAUUUCCUUCAAUAUGGUCAAGACACGAUGCUAAAUUUUAUUGUAUGAGAUGAUCAUGUCUUGUAACAAAGUUAUCGGCAACUGGCAGGAGCCAUAUGGUUGUCGCUUUAUUGUAUGCAAUGCAAUCACCCUGUAAUUGCUUUACUUUGUCACUAAGCGGUAGCGAUAGUCAUAGAAGCAAUAGGUGGCAAAAUGACAACGAUGCUAUGAUGGAGAUCAAGGUGUCGCGCGGGUGACGAUGGUGAUCAUGACGGUGCUUCGGAGAUGGUGAUCAGAAGUGCAAGAUGAUGAUGGCCAUAUCAUAUCACUUAUAUUGAUUGCAUGUGAUGUUUAUCCUUUAUGCAUCUUAUUCUGCUUUGAUUGACGGUAGAAUUAUAAGAUGAUCUCUCACUAAAUUUCAAGGUAUAAGUGUUCUCCCUGAGUAUGCACCGUUGCGAAAGUUUUUCGUGCUGAGACACCACGUGAAGAUCGGGUGUGAUAGGCUCUACGUUCAAAUACAAUGGGUGCAAAACAGUUGCACACGCGGAAUACUCAGGUUAAACUUGACGAGCCUAGCAUAUACAGAUAUGGCCUCGGAACACUGAGACCGAAAGGUCGAGCGUGAAUCAUAUAGUAGAUAUGAUCAACAUAGUGAUGUUCACCAUUGAAAACUACUCCAUCUCACGUGAUGAUCGGACAUGGUUUAGUUGAUUUGGAUCACGUGAUCACUUAGAUGAUUAGAGGGAUGUCUAUCUAAGUGGAAGUUCUUAAGUAAUAUGAUUAAUUGAACUUUAAUUUAUCAUGAACUUAGUACAUGAUAGUAUUUUUACUUGUCUAUGUUAUUGUAGAUAGAUGGCCCGUGCUGUUGUUCCGUUGAAUUUUAAUGCGUUCCUUGAGAAAGCUAAGUUGAAAGAUGAUGGUAGCAAUUACACGGACUUGGUCUGUAACUUGAGAAUUAUCCUCAUUGUUGCACAAAAGAAUUAUGUCCUGGAAGCACCGCUAGGUGCCAGGCCUGCUGCAGAUGCAACUGACAACGUUAAGAACGUCUGGCAGAGCAAAUAUGAUGACUACUCAAUAGUUGAGUGUGCCAUGCUUUAUGGCUUAGAACCGGGACUUCAACGAUGUUUUGAAUGUCAUAGAGCAUAUGAGAUGCUCCAGGAGUUGAAGUUAAUAUUUCAAGCAAAUGCCCGGAUUGAGAGAUAUGAAGUCUCCAAUAAGUUCUAUAGCUGCAAGAUGGAGGAGAAUAGUUCUGCCAGUGAACAUAUACUCAAAAUGUGGUAUAAUCACUUGAUUCAACUGGGAGUUAAUCUUCCUGAUGACGGUGUCAUUGACAGAAUUCUUCAAUCACUGCCACCAAGCUACAAGAGCUUCGUGAUGAACUAUAAUAUGCAAGGGAUGAACAAGACUAUUCCCGAGCUCUUCGCAAUGCUAAAAGCUGCGAAGGUAGAAAUCAAGAAGGAGCAUCAUGUGUUGAUGGUCAACAAGACCACCAGUUUCACGAAAAAGGGUAAAGGGAAGAAGAAGGGGAACUUCAAGAAGAACGGCAAACAAGUUGCUGCUCAAGAGAAGAAACCCAAAUCUGGACCUAAGCCUGAGACUAAGUGCUUCUACUGCAAGCAGACUGGUCAGUGCAAGCGGAACUGCCCCAAGUAUUUGGCGGAUAAGAAGGAUCGCAAGGUGAACAAAGGUAUAUGUGAUAUAUAUGUUAUUGAUGUGUACCUUACUAAUGCUCGCAGUAGCACCUGGGUAUUUGAUACUGGUUCUGUUGCUAAUAUUUGCAACUCGAAACGGGGACUACGGAUUAAGCGAAGAUUGGCUAAGGACGAGGUGACAAUGCACGUGGGAAAUGGUUCCAAAGUCAAUGUGAUCGUGGUCGGCACGCUACCUCUACAUCUACCUUCGGGAUUAGUUUUAGACCUGAAUAAUUGUUAUUUGGUGCCAGCGUUGAGCAUGAACAUUAUAUUUGGAUCUUGUUUGAUGCGAGACGGUGAUUCAUUUAAAUCGAAGAAUAAUGGUUGUUCUAUUUAUAUGAGUAAUAUCUUUUAUAGUCAUGCACCCUUGAAGAGUGGUCUAUUUUUAUUGAAUCGAUAGUAGUGAUACACAUAUUCAUAAUGUUGAAGCCAAAAGAUGCAGAGUUGAUAAUGAUAGUGCAACUUAUUUGUGGCACUGCCGUUUGGGUCAUAUUGGUGUAAAGCGCAUGAAGAAACUCCAUACUGAUGGACUUUUGGAAUCACUUGAUUAUGAAUCAAUUGGUACUUGCGAACCGUGCCUCAUGGGCAAUAUGACUAAAACGCCGUUCUACAGAACUAUGGAGCGAGCAACAGAUUUAUUGGAAAUCAUACAUACUGAUGUAUGUGGUCCAAUGAACAUUGAGGCCCGCGGCGGGUAUCGUUAUUUUCUCACCUGCAGUGAUGAUUUGAGAAGAUAUGGAUAUAUCUACUUAAUGAAACAUAAGUCCAAAACAUUUGAAAAGUUCAAGAAUUUCAGAGUGAAGUGGAAAAUCAUCGUAACAAGAAAAUAAAGUUUCUAUGAUCUGAUCGUGGACGAGAAUAUUUGAGUUACGAGUUUGGUCUACAUUUGAAACAAUGUGGAAUAGUUUCGCAACUCACGCCACCCGGAACACCAUAAAGUAAUGGUGUGUCCGAAUGUCGUAAUCAUACUUUACUAGAUAUGGUGCGAACAAUGAUGUCUCUUACUGAUUUACCGCUAUCGUUUUGGGGUUAUGCUUUAGAGACGGCUGCAUUCACGUUAAAUAGGGCACCAUCAAAAUCUGUUGAGAUGACGCCUUAUGAACUGUGGUUUGGCAAGAAACCAAAGUUAUCGUUUCUUAAAGUUUGGGGCUGCGAUGCUUAUGUGAAAAAACUUCAAACUAAUAAGUCGAACCCAAAUCGGAGAAAUGUGUCUUCAUAGGAUAACCAAAGGAGACUAUUUGGUACACCUUCUAUCACAGAUCCGAAGGCAAGACUUUUGUUGCUAAAUUCGGAUCCUUUCUAGAGAAGGAGUUUCUCUCGAAAGAAGUGAGUGGGAGGAAAGUAGAACGUGAUGAGGUAACUGUACCUGCUACCUUAUUGGAAAGUACUUCAUCACAGAAACCGGUUCCUGUGAUGCCUACACCAAUUAGUGAGGAAGUUAAUGAUAUUGAUCAUGAAACUUCAGAUCAAGUUGCUACCGAACCAAGUAGAUCAACCAGAGUAAGAACCGCACCAGAGUGGUAUGGUAAUCCUAUUCUGGAGGUCAUGUUACUUGACCAUGGCAAACCUCCGAACUAUGAGGAAGCGAUGAUGAGCCCGGAUUCCGCAAAAUGGCUUGAGGCCAUGAAAUAUGAGAUGGGAUCCAUGUAUGAGAACAAAGUAUGGACUUUGGUUGACUUGCCCAAUGAUCGGCAAGCCAUCGAAAAUAAAUGGAUCUUCAAGAAGAAGACUGACGCUGAUGGUAAUGCUACUGUCUAGAAAGCUCGACUUGUUGGAAAGGUUUUCGACAAGUUCAAGGGGUUGACUACGAUGAGACUUUCUUGCCCGUAGCGAUGCUUAAGUCUGUCCGAAUCAUGUUAGCAAUUGCCGCAUUUUAUGAUUAUGAAAUUUGGCAAAUGGAUGUCAAAAAUGCAUUCCUGAAUGGAUUUCUGCAAGAAGAGUUAUAUAUGAUGCAAGCAGAAGGUUUUGUCGAUCCGAAAGGUGCUAACAAAGUGUGCAAGCUCCAGCGAUCCAUUUAUGAACUGGUGCAAGCCUCUCAGAGUUGGAAUAAACGUUUUGAUAGUGUGAUCAAAGCAUAUGGUUUUAUACAGACUUUUGGAGAAGCAUGUAUUUACAAGAAAGUGAGUGGGAGCUCUGUAGCAUUUCUGAUAUUAUAUGUAGACGACAUAUUGUUUAUUGGAAAUGAUAUAGAAUUUCUGGAUAGCAUAAAAGGAUACUUGAAUGAAAGACCUCGGUGAAGCUGCUUAUAUAUUGAGCAUCAAGAUAUAUAGAGAUAGAUCAAGACGCUUAAUUGUACUUUCACAAAGCACAUACCUUGAUAAAGUUUUGAAAAAGUUCAAAAUGGAUCAAGCAAAGAAAGGGUUCUUGCCUGUAUUACAAGGUGGGAAGUUGAGUCAGACUCAAUGCCCGACCACUGCAGAAGAUAAAGAGAAAAUGAAAGAUGUUCCAUAUGCUUCAGCCAUAGGCUCUAUCAUGUAUGCAAUGUUGUGUACCAGACCUGAUGUAUUCCUAGCUAUUAGCUUAGCAGGGAGGUACCAAAGUAAUCCAGGAGUGGAUCACUGGACAGUGGAGAAGAAUAUCCUGAAAUACCUGAAAAGGACUAAGGAUAUGUUUCUCUUUUAUGGAGGUGACAAAGAGCUAGUCGUAAAUGGUUACGUCGAUGCAAGCUUUGACACUGAUCCGGACGAUUCCAAAUCGCAAACCGGAUACGUGUUUAUAUUGAACGGUGGAGCUGUCAGUUGGUGCAGUUCUAAACAAAGCGCCAUAGCAGGAUCUACGUGUGAAGCGGAGUACAUAGCUGCUUCGGAAGCAGCAAAUGAAGGAGUCUGGAUGAAGGAGUUCAUAUCCGAUCUAGGUGUCAUACCUAGUGCAUUGGGUCCAAUGAAAAUCUUUUGUGACAACACUGGUGCAAUUGCCUUAGCAAAGGAAUCCAGAUUUCACAAGAGAACCAAGCACAUCAAGAGACGCUUCAAUUCCAUCCGGGACCAAGUCCAGGUGGGAGACAUAGAGAUUUGCAAAAUACAUACGGAUCUGAAUGUUGCAGACCCGUUGACUAAGCCUCUUCCACGAGCAAAACAUGAUCAGCACCAAGGCUCCAUGGGUGUUAGAAUCAUUACUGUGUAAUCUAGAUUAUUGACUCUAGUGCAAGUGGGAGACUGAAGGAAAUAUGCCCUAGAGGCAAUAAUAAAGUUAUUAUUUAUUUCCUCAUAUCAUGAUAAAUGUUUAUUAUUCAUGCUAGAAUUGUAUUACCGGAAACAUAAUACAUGUGUGAAUACAUAGACAAACAUAGUGUCACUAGUAUGCCUCUACCUGACUAGUGAUAACCCACAAGUAUAGGGGAUCGCAAUAGUUUUUGAGGUAGAGUAUUCAACCCAAAUUUAUUGAUUCGACACAAGGGGAGCCAAAGAAUAUUCUCAAGUAUUAGCAGUUGAGUUGUCAAUUCAACCACACCUGGAUAACUUAGUAUCUGCAGCAAAGUAUUUAGUAGCAAAGUAGUAUGAUAGUAAUGGUAACAAUGAUAAAAGUAACGAUAGCAGUUUUAUAGUAAUUGUAACAGUAGCAACGGAAAAGUAAAUAGGCAAAGCACAAUAUGUGAAAAGCUCGUAGGCAUUGGAUCAGUGAUGGAUAAUUAUGUCGGAUGCAAUUCCUCAUGUAAUAGUUAUAACGUAGGGUGACACAGAACUAGCUCCAGUUCAUCAAUGUAAUGUAGGCAUGUAUUCCGAAUACAGUCAUACGUGCUUAUGGAAAAGAACUUGCAUGACAUCUUUUGUCCUACCCUCCCGUGGCAGCGGGGUCCUAAUGGAAACUAAGACAUACUAAGGCCUUCUUUUAAUAGAGUGUCGGACCAAAGCAUUACCACAUAGUGAAUACAUGAACUCCUCAAACUACGGUCAUCACCGAGAAGUAUCCCGAUUAUUGUCACUUCAGGGUUGUCGGAUCAUAACACAGAAUAGGUGACUAUAGACUUGCAAGAUAGGAUCAAGAACUCACAUAUAUUCAUGAAAACAUAAUAGGUUCAGAUCUGAAAUCAUGGCACUAGGGCCCUAGUGACAAACAUUAAGUGUAACAAAGUCAUAGCAACAUCAAUCUCAGAACAUAGUCGAUACUAGGGAUCACACCCUAACAAAACUAACUUGAUUACAUGGUAAAUCUCAUCCAACCCGUCACCGUCCAGCAAGCCUACGAUGAAAUUACUCACGCACGGCAGUGAGCAUCAUGAAAUUGGUGAUGGAGGAUGGUUGAUGAUGACAACAGCGAUGAAUCCCCCUCUCCCGGAGCACCGAACGGACUCCAGAUCAGCCCUCCCGAGAGAGAUUAGGGCUUGGCGGUGGCUCCGUAUCGUAAAACAUGAUGAAACUUUUUCUCUGAUUUUUUUCUCCGUGAGACAGAAUAUAUAGAGUUGGAGUUGAAGUUGGUGGAGCAUCAGGGGGCCCACGAGACAGGGGGGCGUGCCCAGGGGGAGGGGGCACGCCCCCCACCCUCGUGGAUAGGGUGUGGGCCCCCUGGCCUUGAUUCUUUCGCCAGUAUUUUUUAUAUUUUCCAAAAGUUAUCUCCGUGGAUUUUCAGGUCAUUCCAAAAACUUUUGUUUUCUGCACAAUAAACAACACCGUGUCAGUUCUGCUGAAAACAGCGUCAGUCUGGGUUAGUUUCAAUCAAAUCAUGCAAAUUAGAGUCCAAAACAAGGGCAAAAGUGUUUGGAAAAGUAGAUACGUUGGAGACAUAUCAACUCCCCCAAGCUUAAACCUUUACUUGUCCUCAAGCAAUUCAGUUGACAAACUGAAAGUGACAAAGAAAAACUUUUACAAACUCUACUUGCUCUUGUUGUUGCAAAUAUGUAAAGCCAGCAUUCAAGUUUUCAUCAAAGAUUAUGAACUAACCAUAUUCACAAUAACACUUAGGUCUCAUGUUUACUCAUAUCAAUGGCAUAAUCAGCUAGCGAGCAAUAAUAAUAAAUCUCGGAUGACAACACUUUCUCAAAACAAUCAUAAUAUGAUAUAGCAAGAUGGUAUCUCGCUAGCCGUUUCUGAGACCGCAAAACAUAAAUGCAGAGCACCUUUAAAGAUCAAGGACUAACUAAACAUUGUAAUUCAUGGUAAAAGAGAUCCAAUCAAGUCAUACCCAAUAUAAACUAAUAGUAAUGCAUGCAAAUGAUAGCGUGCUCUCCAGCGGGUGCUUUUUAAUAAGAGGGUGAUGACUCAACAUAAAAGUAAAUAGAUAGGCCCUUCGCAGAGGGAAGCAUGGAUUUGUAGAGGUGCUAGAGCUCGAUUUUAAAAUAGAGAUGAAUAACAUUUUGAGCGGUAUACUUUCACUGUCAACGCAACAACUAUGAGAUCUCGAUAUCUUCCAUGCUACAUACAUUAUAGGCGGUUCCCAAAUAGGAUGGUAAAGUUUAUACUCCCCCACCACCAACUUGAUCAUGGGACUGGGCAUCCCGGUUACUAGCCAUUUUCUCGUGAAUGAGGAGCGGAGUCCACUCCCCUUGAGAAUAACCCACCUAGCAUGGAAGAUACAGAUAGCCCUAGUUGAUACAUGAGCUGCUCGAGCAUAUAAAACAGAAUUUCAUUUGAAGGUUUGGAGUUUGGCACAUACAAAUUUACUUGGAACAGCAGGUAAAUACCGCAUAUAGGAAGGUAUGGUGGACUCAUAUGGAAUAACUUUGGGGUUUAUGGAGUUUGGAUGCACAAGCAGUAUUCGCGCUUAGUACAGGUGAAAGCUAGCAAAAAACUGGGAAGCGACCAACUGAGAGAGCGACAACAGUCAUGAACAUGCAUUAAAAUUAAUCAACACUGAGUGCAAGCAUGAGUAGGAUAUAAUCCACCAUGAACAUAAAUAUCAUGAAGGCUAUGUUGAUUUAUUCCAACUACAUGUGUGAACAUGUGCCAAGUCAAGUCACUCGAAUCAUUCAAAGGAGGAUACCACCCUAUCAUACCACAUCACAACCAUUUUAAUAGCAUGUUGGCACGCAAGGUAAACCAUUAUAAACUCCUAGCUAAUUAAGCAUGGCAUAAACAACUAUAAUCGCUAAUUGUCAUUGCAAACAUGUUUAUUCAUAAUAGGCUGAAUCAGGAAUGAUGAACUCAUCAUAUUUAAAAAAACAAGAGAGGUCGAGUUCAUACCAGCUUCUCUCAUCUCGAUCAUUCAUCAUACAUCGUCAUUAUUGCCUUUCACUUGCAGGACCGGACGGUGUGGAUAAUAAUAAUAAUAGUGCACGUGCAUUGGACUAAGCUGGAAUCUGCAAGCACUCAAUUCAAUUGAGAAGACAAGGUAAUAUGGGCUCUUGGUUAAAUAAACAAUCAUGCAAAUGGGAGCCACAAAACAUUUCAUUAUGGUCUUCUCCUCUCGACCCCCGAAGGAAAGAAAAAAAAAUAAAACUAUUUACAUGGGAAAGCUCCCAACAAGUAAAAGAAGAACGAGAAAUCUUUUUGGGUUUUUAUUUAAUUACUACUACAAGCAUGGAAAUUAAACUAACUAAUUUUUUUGGUUUUUCUUAAGGUUUAUCAAACAAACAAGAAGAAAGCUAGAAAAAGGAAAUAAACUAGCAUGGAUAGUACAAUGAAAGAGUAUGAGCACCGACAACUAGAAUAGUGUGUGAGCAUGAAUGUAAAGUCGAUGAGAAAUACGUACUCCCCCAAGCUUAGGCUUUUGGCCUAAGUUGGUCUAUGCCCAAGGAUCGCGGCUACUCUCCCUGGUGUAUUGAGGAGUGUCAUCUGGAUACCAUUGGCUAGCGAUCUCCUUCGGAUCCCACUGAUAACAGGAUGGAUGAUAGGGGUCUAGUGGUGGUUCCGACUUAGGCUCUAGAGCUGAUGUAUGGCCUCGUUGCAUGUACACGGCCUUCGGCAAAACGAGGUAAUGGCUUGCAGUUAAAUCAAACAAAGAAGGCACAGGCAAGGUAAUAAUUUCAAUGUGUUUCUUAUUAAAUCUCAGGUUAUACAGGAGCAUCUUAUCAUCAUUGUCAACAAUAAAUUCGUGUGCUACCAUGCUCCUGUAAUCUAAAAAGGUAAGAGGCAGCAGUGUCUCCUCUUUCUCAUCAUGCCUAAUAGGUAUCUCGAAAUGUUUAGCAAAGCGUGCAGCAAAGAUGUUGGACAACGUAGCAAUAAUUCAAAAUUUUCUACGCAUCACCAAGAUCAAUCUAUGAAUAUUCUAGAAACAAGAGAGGGAGAGGAUGAGCAUCUUCAUACCCUUGAAGAUUGCGAUGCGGAAGUGUUACAAGAACGCGGAUGAGGGAGUCGUACUCGUGGCGAUUCAAAUCGCGGAAGAUCCGAUGUAACGCCGAACGGAUGGCGCCUCCGCGUUCAACACACGUACAACCCAGGGACGUCUCAUCUUUCUUGAUCCAGCAAGGGGAGAGGAGAAGUAGAGGGAGAGCUCUGGCAGCACGACGGCGUGGUGGUGGAGCUUGCAGUUCUCCGGCAGGGCUUCUCCAAGCACUACUGAGGAGGAGGUGGAGUUGGAGAGGGGGAGGGCUGCGCCACGGGCAAGGGGUGAAGCUCCCAUGCGCCUCCCCACUAUAUAGAGGGGUGGAGCGGGCUGGUUUCUUGAUCUCCAAUCCAUUGGGGCGUUGGCAAAGGUGGGAGGAAAGAAAUCCCAUCAUUUCCUUCCCCAUCGAUUGUUAUCCCCCCUUUUUAGGGAUCUUGAUCUUAUCCCUUCAGGAUAUGAUCUUAUUCCUUCUAAGGGGGGAUCUUGGUGCGCCUUGACUAGGGGUGUGGGGCCUUUCCCCCACUACCCACGUUCAAGUGGGCCCCCCAUGCAGGUGGGCCCCACUCCGGAACCUUCUAGAACCUUCUCGGUACAAUACCGAAAAAUCCCGAACAUUUUCCGGUGGCCAAAAUAGGACUUUCCAUAUAUAAAUCUUAACCUCCGGACCAUUUCGGAACUCCUCAUGACGUCCGGGAUCUCAUCCAGGACUCCGAACAACAUUCGGUAACUGCACACUAAUUCCCUUUACAACUCUAGCGUCACCGAACCUUAAGUGUGUAGACCCUACGGGUUCGGGAAUCAUGCAGACAUGAUCGAGACAACCCUCUGGACAAUAACCAACAGCGGGAUCUGGAUACCCAUGUGGCUCCCACAUAUUCCACGAUAAUCUCAUCAGAUGAACCACGAUGUCGGGGAUUCAAUCAAUCCCAUAUGCAAUUCCCUUUGUCAAUCGGUACGUUGCUUGCCCGAGAUUUGAUCGUGGGUAUCCCAAUACCUCGUUCGAUCUCGUUACCGGCAAGUCACUUUACUCGUUCCGUAAUGCAUGAUCCCGUGACUAACUACUUAGUCACAUUGAGCUCAUUAUGAUGAUGCAUUACUGAGUGGGCCAAGAGAUACCUCUCCGUCAUAUGGUGUGACAAAUCCCAGACUCGAUUCGUGGCAACCCAACAGACACUUUCGGAGAUACUUGUAGUGUACCUUUAUAGCCACACAAUUACGUUGUGACGUUUGGUACACCCAAAGCAUUCCUACGGUAUCCGGGAGUUGCACAAUCUCAUGGUCUAAGGAAAUGAUACUUGACAUUAGAAAAGCUUUUAGCAAACGAACUACACGAUCUUGUGCUAUGCUUAGGAUUGAGUCUUGUCCAUCACAUCAUUCUCCUAAUGAUGUGAUCCCGUUAUCAAUGACAUCCAAUGUCCAUGGUCAGGAAACCAUGACCAUCUGUUGAUCAACGAGCUAGUCAACUAGAGGCUCACUAGGGACAUGUUGUGGUCUAUGUAUUAACACAUGUAUUACGGUUUCCAGUUAAUACAAUUAUAGCAUGAACAAUAGACAAUCAUCAUGAACAAGGAAAUACAAUAAUAACCAUUUUAUUAUUGCCUCUAGGGCAUAUUUCCAACAGUCUCCUGCUUGCACUAGAGUCAAUAAUCUAGUUCACAUCAUUAUGUGAUUGUAAUGAAUCCAACACCCAUGGGGUUUGAUCAUAUGUCGCUUGUGAGAGAGGUUAUUAGUCAAAGGGUCUGAACCUUUCAGAUCCGUGUGUGCCUUACAAAUCUCUAUGUCAUCUUGUAGAUGCAGCUACCACGCGCUAUUUGGAGCUAUUCCAAAUAACCGUUCUACUAUAUGAAUCUGGUUUACUACUCAUAGUCAUCCGAAUUAGUAUCAAAGUUUGCAUCAACAUAACCCUUUACGGUGAACUCUUUUACCACCUCCAUAAUCGAGAAAACUGCUUAGUGCACUAGUUACUAAGGAUAACUUUGACCGCUGUCCUGUGAUCCAUUUCUGGAUCACUCUUGUACCCCUUGACUGACUCAUGGCAAGGCACACUUUAGGUGUGGUACACAUCAUAGCAUACUGUAGAGCCUACGUCUAAAGCAUAGGGGACGACCUUUGUCCUUUCUCUCUCUUCUGCCGUGGUCAGGUCUUGAGUCUUACUCAAUACUCACACCUUAUAACACAACCAAGAACUCCUUCUUUGCCGAUCUAUUUUGAACUCCUUCAAAAUCUUGUCACGGUGCGUAUUCAUUUGAAAGUACUAUCAAGCGAUUUUGAUCUAUCCUUAUAGAUGUUGAUGCUCAAUGUUCAAGUAGCUCAAUCUAGGUUUUCCAUUGAAAAACACUUUUCAAAUAACCCUAUAUUCUUUCUAGAAAUUCUACAUCAUUUCUGAUAAACAAUAUGUCAACAACAUAUACUCAUCAGAAAUCCUAUAGUGCUCCCACUCACUUCUUUGGAAAUACAAGUUUCUCAUAAACUUUGUAUAAACCCAAAAUCUUUGAUCAUCUCAUCAAAGCGUAUAUUCCAAUCCGAGAUGCUUACUCCAGUCCUUAGAAGGAUUGCUGGAGCUUUGCAUACUUGUUAGCAUCUUUUAGGAUUGACAAAAACUUUCUGGUUGUAUCACAUACAACCUUUACUCAAGAAAAUCGUUGAGGAAACAAUGUUUCGACAUCCUAUAUGCAAGAUUUCAUAAAUAAUGCAGGAACUGCUAAUAUAAUUUCAACAGACUCUUAGCAUCGCUACGAGUGAGAAAGUCUCAUCGUAGUCAACUCUUUAACUUGUCGGAAAACAUCUUAGCGACAAGUCGAGCUUUCUUAAUGGUGACACUUACCAUCAUUGUUCAUCUUCCCUUUUAAAAUCUAUCUGUACCCAACAACCUUACGACUAUCAAGUAGUUCUUACAAAGCCUACACUUUGUUUUAUACAUGGAUCCUCUCUCGGCUUUUAUGGCCUCGAGCCAUUUGUCGGAAUCCGGGCCCACCAUCGCUUCUCCACAGCUCGUAGGUUUCAUGAUCUUCAAGACAGGAUUACCGUACCACUCUGAAGUAGUACGCGUCCUUGUCGACCUACGAAGUUUGGUAGUGACUUGAUCCGAAGUUUCAUGAUCACUAUCAUCAUCUUCCACUUCAACUGGUGUAGGCGCCACAGGAACAACUUCCUGUGCCCUGCUACAGAUUGGUUAAAGGGAUGGUUCAGUAACCUCAUCAAGUCUGCACCAUCCUCCCACUCAAUUCUUUCAAGAGAAACUAUUCCUCGAGAAAGGACCCGUUUCUAGAAACAAUCACUUUUGCUUCCGGAUCUGAAAUAGGAGGUAUACCCAACUGUUUUGGGUGUCCUAUGAAGAAGCAUUUAUCCACUUUGGGUUUGAGCUUAUCAGGCUAAAACUUUUCCACAUAAGCAUCGCAGCCCCAAACUUUUAAGAAAUGACAGCUUAGGUUUCUCUAAACCAUAGUUCAUACGCUGUCAUCUCAACGGAAUUACGUGGUGCCCUAUUUGAAGUGAAUGUGGUUGUCUCUAAUGCCUAACCCAUAAAUGAUAGUGGUAAUUCGAUAAGAGACAACAUGGUAUGCACCUUAUCCAAUAGGGUGUAGCUAUGAUGUUCGGACACACCAUCACACUAUGGUGUUCCGGGCGUUAUUAGUUAUGAAAAAAUUUCCACAAUGUCUUAAUUGUAUACCAAACUCAUAACUCAGAUACUCAUCUCUAUGAUCAUAUCAUAGACAUUUUAUCCUCUUGUCACGAUGAUCUUCAACUUCACUCUGAAAUUACUUGAACCUUUCAAUAAUUCAGACUUGUGUUUCAUCAAGUAAAUAUACUCAACAACUACUCAAAUCAUAUGUGAAGUAAUAACAUAACGAUAUCCACUGCGUGACUCGGCACUCAUUGGACUGCACACAUCAAAAUGUAUUACUUCCAACAAGUUGCUUUCUUGUUCCAUCUUACUGAAAACGAGGCUUUUCAGUCAUCUUGCCCAUGUGGUAUGAUUUGCAUGUCUCAAGUGAUUCAAAAUCAAGUGAGUCCAAAUGAUCCAUCUGCAUGGAGUUUCUUCAUGCAUACAUACCAAUAGAUAUGGUUCGCAUGUCUCAAACUUUUUGAAAAAACGAGUGAGUCCAAAAGAUCCAUCGACAUGGAGCUUCUUCAUGCAUUUUAUACCAAUAUGACUCAAAUGGUAGUGCCACAAGUAGGUGGUACUAUCAUUACUAUCUUAUAUCUUUUGGCAUGAACAUGUGUAUCACUACGAUCAAGAUUCAAUAAACCAUUCAUUUUAGGUGCAAGACCAGUGAAGGUAUUAUUCAAAUAAACAGAGUAACCAUUAUUCUCCUUAAAUUAACAACCGCAUUGCGAUAAACAUAAUCCAAUCAUGUCUAUGCUCAACGCAAACACCAAAUAACAAUUAUUUAGGUUUAACACCAAUCCUGAUGGUAGAAGGAGCGUGCCAUGUUUGAUAACAUCAAUCUUGGAAAUACUUCCAACACAUAUCGUCACCUCGCCUUCAGCUAGUCUCCGUUUAUUCCGUAGCCUUUUAUUUCAAGUUACUAACACUUAGCAACUGAACCGGUAUCUAUUACCCUGGUGCUACUAGGAGUACUAGUAAAGUACAGAUUAAUAUAAUGUAUAUCCAAUAUACUUCUGUCGACCUUGCUAGCCUUCUCAUCUACCAAGUAUCUAGGGUAGUUCUGCUUCAGUGACUGUUCCCCUCAUUACAGAAGCACUUAGUCUCGGGUUUGGGUUCAAACUUUGGGUUUCUUCACUAGAGCAGCAACUGAUUUGCCGUUUUAUGAAGUAUCCCUUCUCGCCCUUGCCCUUCUUGAAACCAGUGGUUUCACUAACCAUCAACAAUUGAUGCUCCUUCUUGAUUUCUACGUUCGCGGUGUCAAACAUCGCGAAUAGCUCAAGGAUCAUCAUAUCUAUCCCUGAUAUGUUAUAGUUCAUCACGAAGCUCUAGUAGCUUGGUGACAAUGACUUUGGAGAACCAUCACUAUCUCUUAAGGAAGAUUAACUCCCACUCGAUUCAAGUGAUUGUAGUACUCAGACAAUCUGAGCACAUGCUCUACGAUUGAGCUUUUCUCCCUUAGUUUGCAGGCUUAAGAAACUCGUCAGAGGUCUCAUACCUCUUGACAUGGGCAUAAGCCUGAAAUCCCAAUUUUAGCCCUUUGAACAUCUCAUAUGCUCCGUGACGUUUCAAAAUCGUCUUCGGUGCCUCAAUUCUAAACAGUUUAACAUUACUGAACUAUCAUGUAGUCAUCAAAACGUGUAUGUCAGAUGUUCGCAACAUCCACAGACGACGUUUGAGGUUCCGCACACCGAGCGGUGCAUUAAGGACAUAAGCCUUCUGCAUAGCUAUGAGGACAAUCCUUAGUUUACGAACCUAGUCGGCAUAAUUGCUACUAUCAGCUUUCAACAAAAUUUUCUCUAGGAACAUAUCUAAAACAGUAGAACUAAAGCACAAGUUACGACAUAAUUUGCGAAGACCUUUUGACUAUGUUCAUGAUAAUUAAGUUCAUCUAAUUUAAUGAACUCCCACUCAGAUGGACAUCCCUCUAGUUAUCUAAGUGAUACAUGAUCCGAGUCAACUAGGCCGUGUCCGAUCAUCACGUGAGACAGACUAGUCAUCAUCGGUGAAUAUCUUCUUGUUGAUAGUAUCUGGUAUACGACUCAUGUUCGACCUUUCGGUCUCUUGUGUUCCGAGGCCAUGUCUGUACAUGCUAGGCUCGUCAAGUCGACCUAAGUGUUUUGCUUGUGUAAAUAUGGCUUACACCCGUUGUAUGCGAACGUUAGAAUCUAUCACACCCGAUCAUCACGUGGUGCUUCGAAACAACGAACCUUCGCAACGGUGCACAGUUAGGGGGAACACUUUCUUGAAAUUUUAGUGAGGGAUCAUCUUAUUUAUGCUACAGUCGUUCUAAGCAAAUAAGAUGUAAACAUGACAAACAUCACAUGCAAAUCAUAAAGUGACAUGAUAUGGCCAAUAUCAUCUUGCGCCUUUGAUCUCCAUUUUCGAGGCGCGGCAUGAUCACCUUCGUCACCGGCAUGACAUCAUGAUCUCCAUCAUCGUGUCUUUAUGAAGUUGUCUCGCCAACUAUUACUUCUACUACUAUGGCUAAUGGUUUAGCAAUAAAGUAAAGUAAUUACAUGGCGUUAUUCAAUGACACGCAGGUCAUAGAAUAAAUUAAGAGAACUCCUAUGGCUCCUGCCGGUUGUCAUACUCAUCGACAUGCAAGUCGUGAUUCCUAUUACAAGAAUAUGAUCAACCUCAUACAUCACAUGUAUCAUUCAUCACAUUCUUUUUGGGCCAUAUCACAUCACAUAGCAUACCCUGCAAAAACAAGUUAGACGUCCUCUAAUUGUUGUUGCAUGUUUUACGUGGCUGCUAAGGGUUUCUAGCAAGAACGUUUCUUACCUAAGCAAAGCCACAACGGUGAUAUGCCAAUUGCUAUUUACCCUUCAUAAGGACCCUUUUCAUCAAAUCUGAUCCAACUAAAGUGGGAGAUACUGGCACCCGCUAGCCACCUUAUGCAACAAGUGCAUGUCAGUCGAUGGAACCUGUCUCACGUAAGCGUACGUGUAAGGUCGGUCCGGGCCGCUUCAUCCCACGAUGCCGCCGAAUUAAGAUAGGACUAGUAACGGUAAGCAAAUUGAACAAACCAACGCCCACAACUAAUUGUGUUCUACUCGUGCAUAGAAUCUACGCAAUAGACCUAGCUCAUGAUGCCACUGUUGGAGAACAUAACAAUAAUUCAAAAUUUUCUACGCAUUACCAAGAUCAAUCUAUGGAGAUUCUAGCAACAAGAGAGGGAGAGGAAGAGAAUCUUCAUACCCUUGAAGAUUGCGAUGCGGAAGCGUUACAAGAAUGUGGAUGAGGGAGUCGUACUCGCGGCGAUUCAAAUCGCAGAAGAUCCGAUCUAACGUCGAACGGACGGCGCCUCCGCGUUCAACACACGUACAGCCCAGGGACGUCUCCUCCUUAUUGAUCCAUCAAGGGGAGAGGAGAAGUUGAGGGAGAGCUCUGGCAGCGUGACGGCAUGGUGGUGGAGCUUGCAGUUCUCCGACAGGGCUUCGCCAAUCACUACUGAGGAGGAGGUGGAGUUGGAGAGGAGGAGGGCUGCACCAGGGGCAAGGUUGAAGCUCCCAUGCGCCUCCCCACUAUAUAUAGGGGUGGAGGGGGCUCGUUUAUUUCCCUCCAAGUCCAUUGGGGCAUUGGCAAAGGUGGGAGGAAAGAAAUCCCAUCAUUUCCUUCCCCACCGAUUGUUAUCCCCCCUUUUUAGGGAUCUUGAUCUUAUCCCUUCGGGAUAUGAUCUUAUNNNNNNNNNNNNNNNNNNNNNNNNNNNNNNNNNNNNNNNNNNNNNNNNNNNNNNNNNNNNNNNNNNNNNNNNNNNNNNNNNNNNNNNNNNNNNNNNNNNNNNNNNNNNNNNNNNNNNNNNNNNNNNNNNNNNNNNNNNNNNNNNNNNNNNNNNNNNNNNNNNNNNNNNNNNNNNNNNNNNNNNNNNNNNNNNNNNNNNNNNNNNNNNNNNNNNNNNNNGGGUCUUGGUGUGCCUUAACCAAGGGUGUGAGGCCUUGCCCCCACUACCCACGUUCAUGUGGGUCCCCCCAUGCAGGUGGGCCCCACUCCGGAACCUUCUAGAACCUUCCCGGUACAAUACCGAAAAAUCCCGAACAUUUUCCGGUGGCCAAAAUAGGACUUCCCAUAUAUAAAUCUUUACCUCCGGACCAAUUCGGAACUCCUUGUGACGUCCGGGAUCUCAUCCGGGACUCCGAACAACAUUAGGUAACUGCACUCUAAUUCCCAUAACAACUCUAGCGUCACAGAACCUUAAGUGUGUAGACCCUACGGGUUUGGGAAUCAUGCAGACAUGACCGAGACAGCUCUCUGGCCAAUAACCAACAGCUGGAUCUGGAUACCCAUGUUGGCUCCCACAUGUUCCACGAUGAUCUCAUCGGAUGAACCACGAUGUCGGGGAUUCAAUCAAUCCAGUAUACAAUUCCCUUUGUCAAUCGGUACGUUGCUUGCCCGAGAUUCGAUCGUGGGUAUCCCAAUACCUCGUUCAAUCUCGUUACCGGCAAGUCACUUUACUCGUUCCGUAAUGCAUGAUCCCAUGACUAACUACUUAGUCACAUUGAGCUCAUUAUGAUGAUGCAUUACUGAGUGGGCCCAGAGAUACCUCUCUGUCAUAUGGAGUGACAAAUCCCAGUCUCGAUUCGUGCCAACCCAACAGACACUUUCAGAGAUACCAUUAGUGUACCUUUAUAGCCACCCAGUUAUGUUGUGACGUUUGGUACACCCAAAGCAUUCCUACGGUAUCCGGGAGUGCACAAUCUCAUGGUCUAUGGAAAUGAUACUUGACAUUAGAAAAGCUUUUGGCAAACGAACUACAUGAUCUUGUGCUAUGCUUAGGAUUGGGUCUUGUCCAUCACAUCAUUCUCCUAAUGAUGUGAUCCCGUUAUCAAUGACAUCCAAUGUCCAUGGUCAGGAAACCAUGACCAUCUGUUGAUCAACGAGAUAGUCAACUAGAGGCUCACUAGGGACAUGUUGUGGUAUAAGUAUUCACACAUGUAUUACGGUUUCCAGUUAAUACAAUUAUAGGAUGAACAAUAGACAAUUAUCAUGAACAAGGAAAUAAAAUAAUAACCAUUUUAUUAUUGCCUCUAGGGCAUAUUUCCAACAAAAGAUACCUCCAAAGAUGGGGCCCUUUGUAUGGUUUAGGCUUAGCCUUUUAGCAAUAGCGACACUCAUACUAAAAGUGUUAUCACUGAAUAAGGCAUGGAGCGGAAUAAUAAUAUCAGGAACACUGAAGUUACCACUAUUUCCGCGACCAAUUAAGCAUCGACUAGCAAAUAUGGCAAAGUACCGUAAAAUAGGAAAGUGUAUGCUAGUGAUUCUCGCAUCGGAACCCUUCUUCAAUUCCCCUACAGUAAUAGUGUCAAUAACACCAUCCACAUCUUUACGAUGUGGUUCAUCUAAGCUGCCCUCAAAGGGUAUUCUACAAGCUGUGCAAAAAUAACGUAAAGAUAUUUCCUUAGCCUCAUCAUAUAAAUGAAAAGAUACUGAAGGAGGCGAAUUCUUAGGAUAGUAGUAAAAGUUUGCACGAAGUAUUGGUAAGUAAGAGAUAUUGUUCGAUCCGGUUGUGGAGGAAGUCGAUGAGGCCCGCAUUUUUAGCCAAAGAAUAAAAGUCUUCAUAAAUCCCGGCUACUCUUAGAAAAUUAUCACAAGGCCAUUCACACUGCCGUACUUCCGCUACACGAGGAGGAUUAUACUUGGCCUUUUCUUUCUCCUUAGCUUGUUUAUCCUUGGAUCUUUGGCUAGAAGAGCCCCUCAAGAACAACCUCUUCAUCUUUUCUGAAAGUUUCAGAAAAUUUUAGUAACUUCAAAAUAAAAGUGAAUCAAACUAAACAAGAUUGAUAGCAACUACUCCCACAAAGUGCCUAGAGCCUAUAUCAUGCAUUAGAAUUACUUGGGACCUCAUAAAUUUGACAUGCAAGCUCAAGAACAGGGUCACCUAUGCAGCACUAGAACAAAAACUAAUUGGACCAAUGGAGGAGUCACAUACCAAGCAACAAUCUCCCAAAGAAGUUUUGUGAAUGGAGCUUUGAGCAAGGAGAUCGAAAAUCGCAGCAAAAUGAGCUAGAACUCGUGCUUGAGCUGGAUGGGGAUUUUUUUGGGAGGAAGAUGGAGUGUGUGGGUGCAGGAAUAAGUUGAGGGGGGGGGCACCAUGGGCCCACGAGGCAGGGGGCGCACCCUUGACCCUCGUGGCCAGGUGCUUGCCCCCCUGCUGUGUUUUCAGUGCCUAAAAUUCUCAAAUAUUCCAUAAAAAAUCAUACUAAAUUUGUAGGGCAUUUGGAGAACUUUUAUUUUCGGGAUAUUUUUUAUUGCAUGGAUAAUUCAGAAAACAGAUAAUACUAUUUUUGCUUUAUUUAUUUUAAAUAACAGAAAGUGAAAAGAGGGUACAGAAGGUUGUGCCUUCUAGUUUCAUCCAUCUCAUGAUCAUCAAAAGGAAUCCACUAACAAGGUUGAUCAAGUCUUGUUAACAAACUCAUUCCGAAUAACAUGGAACCGGAGAAAUUUCGAAUAACACUAGAUUACCUCAACGGGCAUAUGAACAUCCCCAAUAAUAAGAAUAUCAUAUUUUUCUUGACAGUACGAAGAGGAAAUUCAAAACCUCCAAUAAUGAUAGUUGGAAUUUUUCCAAUAGAAUUGAUACUACGAACUUGAGGUUGUUUUCUCAGAAAGUGUACCGUAUGCUCAUUACCAUUAACAUGAAAAGUGACAUUGCCUUUGUUGCAAUCAAUAAUAGCUCCUGCAGUAUUCAAAAAGGGUCUACCAAGGAUAAUCAACAUACUAUUGUCCUCAGGAAUAUCAAGAAUAACAAAGUCCGUUAAGAUAGUGACAUUUGCAACCACAACAGGCACAUCCUCACAAAUACCGACAGGUAUGGCAGUUGAUUUAUCAGCCAUUUGCAAAGAUAUUUCAGUAGGUGUCGACUUAUUCAAUUCAAGUCUAUGAUAUAAAGAGAGAGUCAUAACACCAACACCGGAUCCAAGAUCACAUAAAGCAGUUUUAACAUAGUUUCUUUUAAAGGAGCAUGGUAUAGUUGGUCCUCCUGGAUCUCCAAGUUUCUUUGGUAUGCCACCCUUAAAAGUGUAGUUAGCAAGCAUGGUGGAAAUUUUAGCUUCCUGUAUCUUUCUUUUAUUUGCAAUGAUAUCCUUCAUGUAUUUAGCAUAAGGGUUUACUUUAAGCAUAUCAGUUAAGCGCAUACGUAAGAAGAUAGGUCUAAUCAUUUCAGCAAAGCGAUCAAAAUCCUCAUCAUCCUUUGUGUGGGAUGGUUUAGCAGGAAAAGGCAUGGGUUUCUGAACCCAUGGUUCUCUUUCUUUACCGUGCUUCCUAGCAACUAAAUGUCUUUUAUCAUAAUGUUGAUUCUUUGAUUAUGGGUUAUCAAGAUCAACAGCAGGUUCAAUUUCUACAUCAUUAUUAAUGCUAGGUUGAGCAUCAACAUGAACAUUACCAUUAACAUUAUCACUAGAUUCAUGUUCAUCACCUGAUUGUGUUUCAGCAUCAGAAAUAGAAAUAUCAUUGGGAUUCUUAGGUGUGUCUACAAUAGGUUCACUAGAAGCAUACAAAGUCCUAUCGUUUUUCUUUUUCUUCCUUUUAGAAGGACUAGGUGCAUCUACAUUAUUUCUCUAAGAAUCCUGCUCGAUUCUCUUAGGGUGGACUUCAAGAUACAAAGGUUCCUGAGUCAUACUACCAGUUCUAGUAGCCACUCUAACAGCAAAGUCAUGUUUAUUAUCUAAUUCAUCGAGCAAAUCACUUUGAGCUUUAAGUACUUGUUCAGCUUGAGUGGUGACCAUAGAAGCAUAUUUGCUAAUGAGUUUAAGUUCACCUUUAACCCUAGCCAUAUAAUCACUCAAGUGUCCUAUCAUGAAAGCAUUACUCUUUAAUUCUCUACCAACAUAAGCAUUAAAACUUUCUUGUCUAGCCAUAAAGUUAUCAAAUUCAUCUAAACAUGGGCUAGGAAAUUUAAUAGACGGGAUUUCAACUUUAUCAUAUCUAUAGAGAGAAUUUACCUCUACUACCUGUGUCGGGUUAUCAAGACAAUGUGUUUCUUCAAUAGGCGGUAAUUAAGACCAUGUAUUUCUUCAAUAGGAGGUAAAUUCUUAACAUCUUCAUCUUUAAUACCUUUUUCUUUCAUUGAUUUCUUUGCCUCUUGCAUAUCUUCAGGACUGAGAAAUAGAACUCCCCUCUUCUCCGGAGUUGGUUUAGGUGUAGGAUCAGGAGUUGGCUCAAUUGGCUCAGGAAUUGGCUCAGGAAGAGUCCAACUAUUUUCAUUAGUCAACAUAUUAUUCAAUAGUAAUUCAGCUUGGUCGACUAUUCUUUUUCUGAAAACACAACCAGCACAACUAUCCAAGUGGUCCUUGAAAGCAUCGGUUAGUCCAUUAUAAAAGAUAUCAAGUAUUUCAUUUUUCUUAAGAGGAUGAUCAAGGAAAGCAUUAAAUAAUUGGAUAAGCCUCCCCCAAGCUUGUGGGAGACUCUCUUCUUCGAUUUCCACAAAAUUAUAUAUUUCCCUCAAGGCAGCUUGUUUCUUAUGAGCAGGGAAAUAUUUAGCAGAGAAGUAAUAAAUCAUAUCCCGGGGACUACUCACACAACCAGGAUCAAGAGAAUUAAACCAAGUUUUAGCAUCACCCUUUAAUGAGAACGGGAAUAUCUUAAGGAUAUAAUAAUAGCAAGACUUCUCAUCAUUAGUAAACAUGGUGGCUAUAUCAUUUAACUUGGUAAGAUGUGCCACAACAGUUUCAGAUUCAUUGCCAUAAAAAGGAUCAGAUUCAACCAAAGUAAUGAUUUUAGGAUCAAUAGAGAAUUCAUAAUCCUUAUCAGUAACACAGAUAGGUGAAGUAGCAAAAUUAGGGUCAUGUUUCAUUCUAGCAUUAAGAGAUUGCUGCUUCCAUUUAGCUAAUAACUUCUUAAGAUCAUAUCUAUCAUUGCAAGAAAAAAUAGCUCUAGUAGCUUCUUCAUCCAUAACAUAACCCUCAAGAACAACAGGAAAUUCAUACUUAGGGGGAGAACCUUCAUCAUCACUAUCAUCGAUAAUUUCAUCUUUGAUAAUUUCAUUCUCUCUAACCCUAGCAAGUUGUUCAUCAAGAUAUUCACCUAAUGGCAUAGUAGUAUCAAGCAUAGAAGUAGUUUCAUCAUAAGUAUCAUGCAUAGCAGAAGUGGCAUCAUCAAUAACAUGCGACAUAUCAGAAUUCAUAGCAGUAGCAGGUUUAGGUGUCGCAAGCUUACUCAAAACAGAAGGAGAAUCUAGUGCAGAGCUAGAUGGCAGUUCCUUACCUCCCCUCGUAAUUGAGGGAAAAAUCUUAGUUCUUUCGUCUUUCAAGUUCCUCAUAGUGAUCAGAAGAUAUAAAUCCCAAGUGACUCAAUGAAUAGAGCUAUGCUCCCCGGCAACCGCGCUAGAAAAUAGUCUUGAUAACCCAAAUUUAUUGAUUCGACACAAGGGGAGACAAAGAAUAUUCUCAAGUAUUAGCAGUUGAGUUGUCAAUUCAACAACACCUGGAUAACUUAGUAUCUGCAGCAAAGUAUUUAGUAGCAAAGUAGUAUGAUAGUAAUGGUAACAGUGAUAAAAGUAACGAUAUCAGUUUUGUAGUAAUUGUAACAGUAGCAACGGAAAAGUAAAUAGGCAAAGCACAAUAUGUGAAAAGCUCGUAGGCAUUGGAUCAAUGAUGGAUAAUUAUGUCGGAUGCGAUUCCUCAUGUAAUAGUUAUAACAUAGGGUGACACAGAACUAGCUCCAGUUCAUCAAUGUAAUGUAGGCAUGUGUUCCGAAUAUAGUCAUACGUGCUUAUGGAAAAGAACUUGCAUGCCAUCUUUUGUCCUACCCUCCCGUGGCAGCGGGGUCCUAAUGGAAACUAAGGGAUAUUAAGGCCUCCUUUUAAUAGAGUACCAGACCAAAGCAUUAACACGUAGUGAAUACAUGAACUCCUCAAACUACGGUCAUCACCGAGAAGUGUCCCCAUUAUUGUCACUUCGGGGUUGUCGGAUCAUAACACAUAAUAGGUGACUAUAGACUUGCAAGAUAGGAUCAAGAACUCACAUAUAUUCAUGAAAACAUAAUAGGUUCAGAUCUGAAAUCAAGGCACUCGGACCCUAGUGAUAAGCAUUAAGCAUGGCAAAGUCAUAGCAACAUCAAUCUCAGAACAUAGUGGAUACUAGGGAUCAAACCCUAGCAAAACUAACUUGAUUACAUGGUAAAUCUCAUCCAACCCAUCACCGUCCAGCAAGCCUAGGAUGAAAUUACUCACGCACGACAGUGAGCAUCAUGAAAUUGGUGAUGGAGGAUGGUUGAUGAUGAUGAUGAUGACAACAAAUCCCCCUUUUCGGAGCCCCGAACGGUCUCCAGAUGAGCCCUCCGGAGAGAGAUUAGGGCUUGGCGGCGGCUCCAUAUUGUAAAACGUGAUGAAACUUUUUCUCUGAUUUUUUUCUCCACGAAACGGAAUAUCUAGAGUUGGAGUUGAGUUCGGUGGAGCAUCAGGGGGCCCACGAGACAGGGGGGCGUGCCCACGGGCAGGGGGCGCGCCCCCCACCCUCGUGGACAGGGUGUGGGCCCCCUGGCCUUGAUUCUUUUGCCGGUAUUUUUUAUAUUUUCCAAAAGUUAUCUCUGUGGAUUUUCAGGUCAUUCCGAGAACUUUUGUUUUCUGCACAAUAAAAAACACCAUGGCAGUUCUACUGAAAACAGCGUCAGUCCGGGUUAGUUUCAUUCAAAUCAUGCAAGUUAGAGUCCAAAAUAAGUGCAAAAGUGUUUGGAAAAGUAGAUACGUUGGAGACAUAUCAACUAGCUCGUUGAUCAAAGAUGGCUGUGUUUCCUAGCCAUAGACAUGAGUUGUCAUUUUAUUAACGGGAUCACAUCAUUAGGAGUAUGGUGUGAUUGACUUGACCCAUUCCGUUAGCUUAGCACUUGAUCGUCUACUAUGUUGCUAUUGCUUUCUUCAUGACUUAUACAUGUUCCUAUGACUAUGAGAUUAUGCAACUCCCGUUUACCAGAGGAACACUUUGUGUGCUACCAAACGUCACAACGUAACUGGGUGAUUAUAAAGGACCUCUACAGGUGUCUCCGAAGGUACAUGUUGAGUUGGCGUAUUUCGAGAUUAGGAUUUGUCACUCCAAUUGUCGGAGAGGUAUCUAUGGGCCCUCUCGGUAAUGCACAUCACUAUAAGCCUUGCAAGCAAUGUGACUAAUGAGUUAGUUGCGGGAUGAUGUAUUACGAUACGAGUAAAGAGACUUGCCGGUAACGAGAUUGAGCUAGGUAUUGAGAUACCGACGAUCGAAUCUUGGGCAAGUAACAUACCAAUGACAAAGGGAACAACACAUGUUGUUAUGCGGUUUGACCGAUAAAGAUCUUCAUAGAAUAUGUAGGAGCCAAUAUGAGCAUCCAGGUUCCGCUAUUGGUUAUUAACCGGAGACGUGUCUCAGUCAUGUCUACAUAGUUCUCGAACCCGUAGGGUCCGCACGCUUAAAGUUCGAUGACGAUCGGUAUUAUGAGUUUUUGUGUUUUGAUGUACCGAAUGUAGUUCGGAGUCACGGAUAUGACCACGGACAUAGCGAGGAGCCUCGAAAUGGUCGAGACAUAAAGAUCAAUAUAUUGGAUGACUAUAUGUUCGGACACCGGAAGUGUUUCGGGAGGUUUCGGACAUAUACCGGAGUGCCGGGGGAUUACCGGAACCCCCCGGGGGGUUUAUUGGGCCUCAUGGGCCCUAGUGGAGAUGAGGAGGGGCGGCCAGGGCAGGCCGCGAGCCCCCUCCCCCUCUAGUCCAAAUUGGACAAGGAGGGGGGCGGCACUCCCGCUUUCCUUCCUCUCCACUCUCCCUUCCUUUCCCCCUCCUACUCCAACUAGGAAACGAGGGAGUCCUACUCCCGGUGGGAGUAGGACUCCUCCCUCGUGUGCCCUCCUCCUGGCCGGCCACCCCCUCCCCCUUGAUCCUUUAUAUGCAGGGGCAGGGGCACCUCUAGACACAACAAUUGAUCUCUUCAUCUCUUAGCCAUGUGCGAUGCCCCCUCCACCAUAUUCCACCUCGGUAAUAUCGUCGCGGUGCUUAGGUGAAGCCCAGCGUCGGUAGAAUCAUCAACACCGUCAUCACGCCGUCGUGCUGACGGAACUCUCCCGCAAAGCUCUGCUGGAUCGUAGUUAGUGGGACGUCAUCGAGCUGAAUGUGUGCUGAACUCAGAGGUGCCGUACGUUCGUUACUUGAUCGGUCGGAUCGUGAAGAUGUACGACUACAUCAAUAGCGUUGUGCUAACACUUCCCCUCUUGUUGCUAUGCAUCAGCAUGAUCUUGCGUGUGCAUAGGAUUUUUUUUGAAAUUACUGCGUUUUCCAAUAGGCGGGUCAUUGCGGCCCGCAGGCUCCAUCCGGGCGACGCGAGCUGCCCGGCGCUCCGCAUGCAUGCGACGAGCGCCAGCCAUGGUAUUGGUAAAGCGGGAGCUGAAACUGAGUAGAAGAACAACAACACACCCCUACCUGGGGCGCCAAAUGUUGGAAUCCAGUCUCCAGGGACCCAAGAGGUUCGAACUCUAGGGUACGUUAGUUCCUACCGCCCUACUCUGCCCUCACAACUUCACGGAGACACUGUGGUAAGCUCGAGCUAAGGUAGAGGAACAAUGAACACGGUAGUUACCCAGGUCCGGGCCACCUUGCAGUGUAAAACCUUACUCCUGCUUGUCUGGGAUUGCUUGGCAAGAGAGAGUACAAGUGUUGGGUUCUAGUUGCUAAACGAGUCGACACCCUCUAUGGUGGCAUCUCGCCCUCUUCUUAUACUGCCCCUGGUCCUCUUCCCCCGAAAAGACAAGGCAGGAAGGGUUGCCACAACGGCUAGUUUGAAGGGGGACAAGGUCACAGCUUAUCCUGACUAAAGGCGUUCUUCGCCUACAAAAGACUCCUACCGUGACGAGCUGGUGGGCACGGGAAUGACGACAGCCCUAGCACACCCAUUGUCUUAUUCAUCUUGCACCGAUCAGGCAACCUUUGGAGAUUGCUUUGGGAGCUGGCCUCGCUCCCUUAGCACGAAAGAGGAAAGCCUCCUUAUCUGCGUCCGCUGGCGCGACCUCUGGCAUCGCUUGUCGCCUCGCUCAUCACCCACGUGAAGACUCUGGACUGCAUGACCGGGCCUGGCGGCUCUUGACUUGUUUGCCUCCACAAGGGCCUUGGGAGGAGACCUCGCAAGACUGCCUCGCGAGAGGGCCUCCUGAGGUUCCUGGCGGCGCCUCCGAUCUGCCUGGGGCGCUGCUAACGUAUGCCUCGCGGGCGAGGGCCUCGCGAGAAUCUUGCUCAUGAACCUUAGUUUUGGUUCGCGCACUGGGCCGAAGGAAUACAGGCCUGGGUACCCCCAGUCCCACAGCCCCGACACAUGGCUUGCCAUGUUUUUUUUGAAAAGGAGGGUGACCCCAGGCCUCUUCAUCUGGGAGAUGCAUACAGCCAUUCAUUGAUUAUUCUCGAGGACCUUACAAAGUAUAACAACAAUAUGCCUUAAUCCGCCAUCUUGGCAGCAUCUGCCGCUACUCCUAUCCAAAUGAUGAAGGUGUGCAAGCUGGGCCACAUACACAUACCUCUCACCUAAGCCUAACAUCUAAAGCCGGAUGCCUCGACCGAGCCAUCUGCCAGGUCCGGGACUCAAAUGGUCUGACGCACUCACAUGUGUCAUCGCCGUCAUCAUCCACUGGUCCAUAUUCAAAGCAGAUUGAGGUGACAACCUUGGCAGGUCCUCCGUCAUCAACGCCACCAUGACACCAAACGACGACCUCCACCUAUGUGAGCCUUGGCAAGUCCUCCGCCAUUGACGCCACCAUGAUGCCAGCCGACGACCUCCACCUACGCGAGUCCAUCUCCAAGCAACGGACGUAAAUCCAUGCUAGGAAAGGGCCGCACGACCGCCGUCGGUGAAAGAACUAUGUGGCGCUUUGGCUCAUCGUAUGAUCCAUUCGCUUCCUUAUCUUUUCUUUUUCUCGGCCUGGUAGACAUGUCUUUCACAUAAAAAACCUGCGCCACAUCAUUGGCUAGGACGAAUGGUUCGUCUGCAUACGCAAGAUUGUUGAGAUCCACUGUUGUCAUUCUGUACUACGGGUCUUCCGUUACCCCGCCUCGUGUCAUAUUGACCCAUUUGCACCGAAACAAAGGGACCUUCAAACCACCUCCAUAGUUAAGUUCCCAUAUGUCCUCUAUGUAACCAUAAUAUGUUUCCUUUCCCGUGUUGGUUGUUGCAUCAAAGAGGACACCAUUGUUUUGGUUGGUGCUCUUCUUAUCUUGGGCGAUCGUGUAAAAUGUAUUCCCAUUUAUCUCGUACCCUUUGAAAGUCAUUAUAUUCGAAGAUGGUAACUGGAACAACGAGUACAGGUCAUCUUCAACAUCGCCAUCAUGCAUGGCACAUUUCUGCAACCAACCGGCGAAAGUCCUCGUUUGUUCAUGUGUAAUCCAGUCGUCAGACUGCUCCGAGCGUUUGGAGUGUAGAAAAUUCUUGUGUUCCUCCGUAUACGGAGCCACCAAGGCAGAAUUUUGUAGAACUGUGUAGUGUGCUUCAGUGAGAGAAUGCCCGUCCAUACAUAUUAUUUGAUCCCCUUCUAGCAUGCCUUUUCCAUCCAGUCCACCCUUAUGCCGCGAUUCAGGAACACCAAUCGGCUUAAGGUCAGGAAUAAAGUAAAUACAAAACUCAAUAACCUCCUCAUCUUCAUGGCCCUUCGAGAUGCUUCCUUGUGGCCUAGCAUGGUUAUGAACAUAUUUCUUCAAGACUCCCAUGAACCUCUCAAACAGGAACAUAUUGAGUAGAAAUACAGGACCCAAAACGUUAAUCUCUUCGCAAAGGUGAACUAGGACGUGCGUCAUGAUGUUGAAGAAGGAUGGUGGGAACACCAACUCGAAACUGACAAGACAUUGCACCAAAUCAUUCUGUAACCUCAGUAUGAUUUCUGGAUCGAUUACCUUCUAAGAGAUUGCAUUGAGGAAUGCACAUAGCUUCACAAUGGCUAAUCGAACAUUUUUCGGUAGAAGCCCCCUCAAUGCAACCGGAAGCAGUUGCAUCAUAAUCACGUGGCAGUCAUGAGACUUUAGGUUCUGGAACUUUUUCUCUACCAUAUUUAUUAUUCCCUUUAUAUUCGACGAGAAGCCAGAGGGUACCUUCAUACUGAGCAGGCAUUCAAAGAAUAUUUCCUUCUCUUCUUUGGUAAGAGCGUAGCUGGCCUGACCCUGAUGUAUGCCGUCUUUUCCGUGCAUACGUUGCUGGUCGUCCUGGGCCUCUAGUGUAUCUUUUGUCUUCCCAUACACGCCCAAGAAGCCAAGCAGGGUCACGCAAAGAUUCUUCGUCACGUGCAUCACGUUGAUUGUGGAGCGGACCUCUAGGUCUUUCCAAUAUGGCAGGUCCCAAAAUAUAGAUUUCUUCUUCCACAUGGGUGCGCGUCCGUCAGCGUCCUUCAGAACAGGUUGUCUGCCAGGACCCUUUCCAAAGAUUACCUUCAAAUCCUUGACCACAUCAUAUACAUCAACACCAGUACGGUGGCGAGGCUUCGUCCAGUGAUCCGCCUCACAUUUGAAAUGCUUGCCUUUCUUUCUUACGGGAUGCCUGCUCAGAAGAAAUCGAUGAUGUCCCAAGUACACAUUCUUCCUACAAGUAUCCAAAUAUAUACUGUCGGUAUCAUCCAAACAGUGCGUGCAUCCGCGGUAUCCCUUGUUUAUCUGUCCUGAAAGGUUACUGAGAGCAGGCCAAUCAUUGAUGGUCACAAACAGCAAUGCCUUUAGGUUAAAUUCUUCCUGUUUGUGCUCAUCCCACGCACGUACACCUUUUCCAUUCCACAGCUCUAAUAGUUCUUCAACUAAAGGCCUUAGGUACACAUCAAUGUCAUUGUCGGGUUGCUUAGGGCCUUGGAUGAGCAAUGGCAUCAUAAUGAACUUCCGCUUCAUGCACAACCAAGGAGGAAGGUUAUACAAACAUAGAGUCAUAGGCCACACGCUAUGGUUGUUGCUCUGCUCCCUAAAAGGAUUAAUGCCAUAUGCGCUUAGAGCAAACCAUACGUUCCUUGGGUCACCUGCAAACUCCUCCCUGUACUUUCUCUCGAUUUUUCUCCACUGCGACCCGUCAGCAGGUACUGUCAACUUCCAGUCUUUCUUACGGUCUUCUCUGUGCCUUGCAUCGCCUGCACAUGCUCUUUGUUUUGGAACAAACGUUUCAACCAUGGUAUGAUAGGAGCAUACCACAUCACCUUGGCAGGAAUCUUCUUCCUGGAGCGCUCGCCCUCGACAUCACCAGGGCCAUCGCGACUGAUCUUAUAACGCAAUGCACUGCAUACCGGGCAAGCAUUCAAAUCCUCGUACUCACCACGGUAGAGGAUGCAGUCAUUAGGGCAUGCAUGUAUCUUCUGCACCUCUAACCCUAGAGGACAGACAUCCUUCUUUGCUUCAUACGUACUCUCGGGCAAUUCAUUGUCGUUUGGAAGCCUAUUCUUUAUCAUUACCAGCAACUUUCCAAAUCCCUUGUCAGAUACACCAUUCUCUGCCUUCCAUUGCAGCAAUUCCAGUGUGGUCCCAACUUUUUUUUGUCAGCUUCGCAAUUCGGGUACAACAAUUUCUUGUGAUCCUCUAACAUGCGCUGCAACUUAUUCUUCUCCAAAUCACAUGUGCAGUUACUCUUUGCAUCGGCAAUGGCCCGACCUAGAUCAUCAGUGGGCUCAUCUGAUGCCUCUUCUUCAGCUUCUUCCCGCAAUUCCGGCUCAGCUUCUUCCCCCAUUGUUGUAUCAUCGUAUUCAGGAAACCGAUGUCCACAAUAGCUAUCGUCGUCCUCUUCUUAUUCAUUGUCUUCCAUCAUAACCCCUCUUUCUCCGUGCUUGGUCCAAACAUUAUAGUGGGGCAUGAAAGCGGACUCAAAUAGGUGGACGUGAAUGGUUUUUGACGUAGAGUAAUUGUGACCAUUCUUACAGCCAGCACAUGGACAAUGCAUAAAACCAUCCACCCGCUUGUUUGCCUCAGUGGCAAGCAGAAAAGUAUGCACGCCAUUAAUGAACUCGGGAGAGCAUCGGUCAUCAUACAUCCAUUGUCGGCUCAUCUUCAUUACACAACACCGAAAAGACCAAAUUAAUACAAGUUCAUACAUAAAGUUCAUACAUAUAUAUAGUUCAUCAACACUUAAAUGCAACAAACAAAUAACUCUCUAGCUAAAGAAUUUAAAUGCAACAACAAAUGCGAUCAAGAUUGCAACUAAGGUAACAAUUGAUCCAACAACAUAAUGAUACCAAGCCUCACUAUCAAUGGCAUAUUUUCUAAUCUUUCUAACCUUCAAGCGCAUUUUCUCCAUCUUGAUCUUGUGAUCAUCGACGACAUCGGCAACAUGUAACUCCAAUUCCGUCUUCUCCCCCUCAAUUCUUUUCAAUUUUUCUUUCAAAUACUCGUUUUCUCUUUCAACUAAAUUUAACCUCUCGACAAUAGGGUUGGUUGGAAUUUCCGGUUCACAUACCCCCUAGAUAUAAAUAUCUAUGUCAACUUGAUGGGCAUAAUUUGUCAUAAACACGAAAUGCAACAACUAGUUUUAAAAGAGAAUAUACCACAUCCGAAUCAUAACAAGGACGAGGGCCGACGGGGACGGAUAUCAAAACCAUGGCACUAUGUAUAACAAACAACAUACAGGUAAGAUAAUUAUACGAGUAACUAUAUAUCCAAAUCACACAAACAUCAAUUUGGUAAUGUAAAACAUUCAUGAACAAGAGCCUCACCACAAGGUGGUGCCGGCGACAGGACAGUGCGGGCGAUCGAUGAUGGUCAUGAUGGAGAUUUAGAAGGCACUAAGUAAACCACACCUACAUGUGCAAACUAAGUGUUAUUUUUGACCUCAAAUUGCAUAUAAACCAAAUACUAGCACAUAUAAUUCCUCCCAAAUUACUAAACUCACAAAUUAAUCACUAUACAAAGCAUUGCAAGAGCUAAUCGCCCGGGAGUUAGGGCUUUCGCCCGGGAGACCUAGUGGAAUGUGAAGUAAGGAGAUCAAUCCAUACCGACGCCUCCAAGGAGGGAAAUGGUGCCCUCAGGCGUCGCUGUCGAUGCGGCCGAUCAUGGCCGGCCAGGGAUUUUGCCUGAACUAGAUCUCCGCCACCAGCAACACCUCCUGUACAGAACGUUGACCAAGAGGAAGCGCGGCCCGACCAGGCUGGCCCGCACGCCGAACAGGGGAAGAAGGGAGGUGCCAGAUCACACACACCGACCACCGUAGAAGCUGCCGUCGGCCGCCAACGACCACCGGAUCCACCACCCGCACGGCUGUUAGCCGAUCAUGCCUUGCCAAUGGAGCCGCCGCUCCAGAUCCAGGGUUCCCCACACAGGAGUAGGGCAACCGAGGCCCCGCCGCCAUGUAAUUAAGAAAAUGUUUAUUUAGUCUAAUACAUAAACUGGCCCAUGGCACAACAUAUGAUUAACUAGAAAUUAGAAGGGGAUUUCAUGCAUCUUCUUUAUUUUCUAUGUGUAGUCACAUUAACCAUUAACCCUUGAGCCGUCACCAGGUAGUGGUUAGGUUUGCAUCCUCAUCUACAAUGUCUUAUCCUAGUGGUGUGUUCCAGAUCCCAAGUAAUUGACAGUGUCACAUUUAUCCCACAAUAAUACAUAUCAACCUAAGACUAAUUAUACCAAGUUAUGAUUGCAUGUUAUGAUUAUAAAUGAGUAAUUUUAUAUGCAUUAUACCCAUAUCCAUUCAAACUUAUAUAGAAGUGAAACUGUGAAAGGCACUCCCAUUUUCAUAUGUGAAAAAUGAUAGUAGCAUAAAAGGCCUACCCGUUAUGAACCUUAAACAUGUUCAAUGUUUGGUUUUUUGGUUGGAAAGAAAUGUGUGUUUGUUUCUUUCUUAGAGGAAUAUGUGUUUCUUUCUCUUCGUCGCGAGUCAUAGAGUAGUGAAUAGAUUAGUAACCGUGGGUUCUUGAACCAACGGCUGAGAUGGGCAAGGUGAGAUGCGAGUGCUUAUCCUCCCAUUUCCAUGUCAUGCCUUGAUGAGUCAAAUGAACAUAGGGGUGGCCGCGCCUAAGACCGCACAGGGAUAAUGGUGCCUGCCUAUUCUGCCAAAAUAAUCCCAUUGAAUUCGAAGGUAUUCCCUUAGUCACGGUUGUGCCACACCCUCAAUGUCGCCUCGUGCUGCGGCCUCCUCCUCCAUUCCUCGACUCGGCCAUGGUGACGGGGACCAAGAUCUGGGGCAGCACGCCACUAUGAUAAACUGCAGGAAGACUCUCCAGUGGGCCCCUUUAUGCACCAUCGUCGAUGGGGUUCGCCGGCCAGGUGAGGAUGUGAAUUUCCCUCUUCCAGCUCUCAUUCACCGGUGUGGCCACCAUUGGCCAAAUCUUCACUACCUUGGGUGCGCUCUUUCCUAGCCGCCCUUAGAUCUCUCUACUUCUCCCUAUUUCUUGUUCCAUCGAAUGGCGACCUCCUCGCUGGUGCGUCCGAUCAUGGAGGUUCCAAACAAGCAUAGCCUCCAAGGCACUGCACACCCACAUCUCAGAAGGCACACCAUCACCUAAUUACCUUGUUAGGCUAAAUUUACUACCCACGGGUAUGUGUAUGGGCCAAAUGUAGUCCGCACAGGGUGUCGGGGGGAUGGGUACAAUCAAGCGCUCCCUGUAGCUGAUUCCUGUGGGCCCAUCAAUUAGGCCAGAUAUGUGUGCUCUAUCAUUUCUCCCAUAUAAAUAUACCACACCCAACCUUCUCACACUAGAACCCUAAAUCAAACCGCACAAUAGUCCUCUUUUCUCCGCUAGCCGCCGCCAACCCUCUCUUCUCCCAACCCUUCCCACUUCCUAGAUCGAGCCUCACGCCAUCAUGACAGGCCGACGGGAAGCCUCUCUGGAGGAGCCAUCUAUGCAUCAACGUCGAUGGGGUUCGCCGACCAAAUGAGGGUGUGGAUCCCCAUCUCAUGCUGUCAAUCAUCGGCACAGCCACCAUCAACCAGAUCUUCACUAACUCAAGUAUGUGUUCUCUCUCUCUCCUUCUCUCUCCUGGUCGCCCUUGGAUCCCUCUCGUACUCCUUAGUUUCUUGUUACACUGAUAAGUGACCUCAUCGCCGAUGCUUUCGACUAUGGACAUGUCCAUCAAGCAUAGCCUCCAUGGCACCGCACACGCAUGUCCUAGGAGGCACGCCAUCAGCUAAUUACCUUAUUUGUGCUCAAUUUGCAACCCACAGGCAUGCGUAUGGGCCAAAUGUUGUCCCACCAGGUAUCAUGGGGGUGGGUACGUUCCACCACUCAUGUACCUGAUAUCCAUGAGUGCCGUCAGUUAGGCCCGACAUGUGGGCCCUAGCAUUUCUCCCGUAUAAAAUUACUACAUCCAUCCAUCCCACGAUGGAACCCUAAAUCAAUCCACAUUUGACUCCUCUGUCCUCUCCUAGCCGCAACCAACCCUUCUACCUUCUCCAAGCCUCUCCCUCUUCCCCAAAUCGAUCCUCCUACCAUCAUUCACCACCCGUUAACUAAGAUGGUGUUGCAUAGCCUCGACCAUGUAGAUCUAUUCUCCGCUCGUCCCUAUCACCCUCACCCAUCAUAGGCGCAUCUCAUCUCGUCGCUCUUGCUGCCGAAUCAAUUGUGGGGACUGCGAUGGUGUGCCACUUAGAGUCCAAGCCCUACUGGUCAGCUACUCGCGCGUCACGACAGCCUCCUCCAGAUCCACCCCUCUGCACGACCACGAUUGACUCUGAUGAGAUCGCACAUCACUUUUGCCUCUCAAAUCCCAAGGUAAUCAUAGGCCAUGCCAUGGCCAGAAUCUCCCUCUCGCCGCUGCGAUUUUGCUCCUGGCGUUCUUCCCGUCUCGUGUUCUGUGUUGUUCGUUCCUUCCUACCGAGAGAUCGAUUUCGAGUUCUUUUUGUUUUGUUUGCGGUGGACCUUUCUUUCGGUGUGUGUCUGUUUUUUGUUUUGCCUUGAGCAGAGUUUAUCUAACCUUCAGGUCGCCGGUGCUCCGUCUGGUUCCUGAUAUGGUUCUAUUACCUGCUUUACUGUCUCAUCUCACUGUUGGAUUCAUUUUACCAAUCUUUCCCAGUUUGGUUGCCGGCCAAAAAUUCUUUACUUUUUCCCCACUCGGCGGCUGUUGUGACUGAUUCCAUAGUUUCCUUUCGAUCUUGUUCUGUUUUAGUAGGAUUUCCGUUUGGUCUGACUUCGCAGCGACAACAUGAUCAUGGCAGAAGAUUCAUGCUUUCGCCCGAUUGUUUCUAUACGGAUUUUUAUCGAACAAAUCUUUGAAUGUUCGAGGUUCAUAAUUCAAUUUCUCAGUUCGUAGACAUGGUUGCUUUUUGGAACUGAUUUUGGUUUAGAUAGAAUUCUCGCAACAAGGGGAAGAAUUUCUUUACUGUUUGUUUCAAUAUGUAUCCCAAGUGUUCAAACUGGUUCUCAUACUCGCUAACACAGUCUGUGGAUUGUCUGAUUUUCAUUUUCCAUGCAGGUACCACAGGAUCAACUCGGAAUCUGUCCAAGUCCCCAAUGGCGGCGGCAACGGCAUCAGAGCCACCAAGAAGCCAACAGAACCAGGCGUCACCCACACCAAGCAUGGACGAGCAUGACAGCGCCCCAGCCGUGGAUGCCGACAGGUCGAUCCUCACGUCCUACCUUGCCCGCGCCUCGCUCAAGCAGUGCCCGCCACAAGGGCUUCCGUCGUCCUCAUCUACUGCCAUCAUGAGGAACCACCAGCUGUACAACGCCACCGCCCUCUCCUCCCAGGGACUCAAACUCGGGGAUGUGUUCUACAACUUGGCCACCCAAACCUUCGAGCCAUCCAAUAGCCUCGACGGAGCGGUCUACACCUUCGCCGCACAAGCCUCCCAGGCAUACAACAGCCUAGGCAGCGGGCUCUACAACCUUGCCGCCCAGGCUACCCAGGGAGGCAACCUCGGCGGCGGGCUCUACAAACUCGCCGCCCAAGCCACCUAGGUAGCCUACCUCGGCGGCGGGCUCUACAACCUUGCCGCCUAGGCCACCCGGGGAGGCGACCUCGACAGCUGCAGCGGCGGCGAUGUUGAUACCGCCGCCGCCGAGGUCACCUCCUUGAGUGACCUGGGUGGAAAGUUUGUAGAGCCCGCCGUCGAGGUUGGCUCCCUAGGUGGCCUGGUCGGCGAGGUUGUAGAGCCCGCCGCCGAGGUCGCCUCCGUGGGUGGCCUGGGCGGUGAGGUUGUAGAGCCCGCCGCCGAGGUCGCCUCCCUGGGUGGCCUGGGCGGCGAGGUUGUAGAGCCCGCUGCCGAGGCUAUUGUAUGCCUAGGAGGCUUGUGCGGCGAAGGUGUAGACUGUGCCGUUGACACUGUUGGAUGGCUCGGAGGCUUGGGUGGCCAAGUUGUAGAGCCCGCCAACGAGGUUGAGUCCCUGGGACUGGGAGGAAUGCGUGGCGGCGUUGUACAGCUGGUGGUCCCUCAUGAUCGCAGCAGAUGAGGACGACGGACGCCCUCGUGGUUGGCGCUGCUCAAGUGAGGCGCGGGCGAGGUAGCACGUGAGGCUCGACCUGUCGACAUCCACGUCUGGCGUGCCAUCGCGCUCGUGAGUGACGACGCGGGUUCUGCUGGCAUGUCGCCGGGCCAUCCUAAGGAUCAAGAAACGCCCGACGACGCAAGGCCAGGCCCAGCCGCGCGCGAAGGCGAGAAGCUAAUGCGCCGCCGAGCGCCCGUGGCCCGGUCAUCCUCGACACCUCGCAAGAGACUCCUCGCGCUUCCACUCUCUCGCCACUGCCACCUCGCACCGCCACUCUCUCACAGCGCAGAUACGUACGCCACGCACCAUUCUCUGUCGAAGCCAGGUAACGUAGCCACUAUGGGACCUGCCCGUCGUCCAUGGCCACAGCGUCCCCACUCCGUCCAUGUUGAGUUGCCUUCGGCCGUCAUGGUUGGGUCGGUCCGGCCCUACCUGCUGCUCGUGUGCUUGAGCCAGGGCCGGGCCCGGUCUCGUUUGCGUGGCGUUGCGGAUCCCCCUCCCUUUUUAGAAAUAGUGGCGUGUUUCUUUACUCAAUUACACCUUUUGUAUUCUUGCCCUUUAUACGCGUAAGUAACGCCACACACAUUAAUCGGCACCUCAUUAUCUCCGGGAUAGAGACUGAUAAUCUGGGCGAUCUCCAGCGUCGUCUGUGUUGUGCUGUGAUCACUCUACACGCAAACAAUAGUGUCUUUUUUUUGCAGGGUGCAAACAACAGUGUCUGUCCUGGCACUAAUGCCAUUAAUAGUUUCCUUCCAUUGUUUGUAUAUGUACGUGGUGCAGGCCAGAGGAACUGCUGAUAUCACCGCUGAGUUCGUAUUAGGUUGGUCAUAAUGAUAGUAUUAUAGUUAGUAUCAUGCAUGUCAACUAGAUAAAUUUUGAUAAAGUGUCAUAGAAUUAAAUGAAGAAAAAAAGCAUUGAGUAUUAUAUCGUGAUACCGCAUUAUAACAAAUUCUAUGCUAGCAAUAAAUAAGGUACUACAUUACACUAAUAUAUGAUACUAUGGGAUGCAGUAUCGUACAUUAGUAUCAUAUGCAUGAUACUAGCAUAUGAUCCUCCCAGUAGUAGAGAUUUGACCGCAUUAGUGGCAUUAAUUAGUCUGCUUGCUUGUGCAUAUCCAACCAUCCAUCUAUCCAUCUGUAGAGUUGAGGUCUCCUUUUAUAUAUAUGUUGUGUACUUAUACUGGCUGCGCAGGCUACAUCCCAUAGACAUUGUUCGGUUUGGGUCAUGUCUGUCCUCCUUGCUUGCUGACGAUGCCGAACAUGAUGGUGACCAGAUCAUCCGCGGAGGACCCUCAUGUCGCUGCCGGAGAGCAGCAGCAGCCGCAGCGGCAAGCGGCGGACAAGGUACCUCGCACCACUGAGGAGGAGCCAGCGGAUUUUACCAAUCUUUCACGGUUUGGUUGCCUGUCUCGUCUCACUGCUGGAUUUUACCAAUCUUUCUCGUCUCACUGCCUCAAAUUCUUUUCUUUCCCCACUCGACGGCUGUUGUGACUGGUUGCAGAGUUUUCCCGUCGAUUUUGUUCUGUAUUAGGAUUUAUGUUUGGUCUCACAUGGCGUAAGAUUCAUGCUUUCGGCCGAUUGUUUCCAUGUCGUCGCUGCAGGCAGUUCCGUGUGUGCUUUUUUGUGCGGAUUUCCGUUGAGCAGAUCUUCGAGUGCUCGGGUUUCGUAGUUCAGUUCUGCAGUUCGUAGAUGUGGUCGCGUUUUAGAACUAAUUUUGGUUUUGGUUUACAGUUCUCGCAAUGAGGGGAAGAAGUUUUUUCUGUGGCUUUCAUGUUGUAUCCCAAGUAUUUGACUUGGUUCUCGUGCGAUCCAAAUCGCUGGCUAACAUCGUAUCUGGAUUGUCUGAUCUCGCUUUUCGUGCAGGUACCAGACGAUCAACCCGGAAUCCGUUCCAGUCCCCAAUGGCAGCGGCAGUGGUAGCGCCGCCACCAUGAAGCCAGCAGAACCCGCGCCGUCACCCGCACCAAGCAUGGACGAGCACGACGGCACCCCGGCCGUGGACGCCGACAGCUCGAGCCUUGCGUCCUACCUCGCCCGCGCCUCGCUCGAGCAGCGCCGGCCAGGAGGGCGUCCGACGUCCUCAUCCGCUGCCAUCGUGAGCGACCACCAGCUGCACAACGCCGUCGUGCACUCCUCACAGGGACUUAACAUCGGCGGGGAGCUCUACAACUUGGCCGCCCAAGCCUCCGAGGCAUCCAACAGCCUAGGCGGGGCGGUCUACACCUUCGCCGCCCAAGCAUCCCAAGCACACAACAACCUCGACAACGGGCUCCACAACCUCGCCGCCCAGGCCUCCCAGGCAUACAACUGCCUCGAUGACGGGCUCAACAAACUCGCCGCCCAGGCUACCCAGGGAGCAGACCUCGGCGGCGGCGGGUUCUGCAACAUCGCCGCCCAGGGAAUCGACCUCGGCGGCAGCGGCAACAGCAGCGACAUCAUCAUCGCCGCUCCGGAAGGCACCGCACCGCUCAAGUAGGGCCGCAAGAAGCGCUCGCGCGCACGCUGCGAGCCGCACGCGCCCGUGCCCGCUCCCAGUCCUACACCCGCACCGGUGCCUACUCCUGCGCCAGCACCGGUGCCCUCUCCCACCCCCGCGCCUGAGCCCGAGCUGAUCCCCGCUCAAGCGCAUCCCCGGUCAAUCUUAAAGAUCAAGAAACGCCCGGUGGCGCAAGGCUAGGCCCAGCCGCGCGCAGAAGCGGAGAAGCUGAUGCCGCCGCCAAGCGCUCGCGGCCCUGUCAUCCUCGACACCUCGCCACAUACUCCUCGCGCUGCCACCCUCUCGUCACUGCCACCUCGCGCCACCACCACCCUCUUGCAGCACAGGUACGCACGCCACGCCCACAUUUUCUAUCGACGCCAGGUAAGGUAGUCACCAUGGGACCUGCCCGUCGUCCCGGUCCGGUCUAGUCCGAGCCGCUGCCCGUGGGCACGGGGUCAGGGCCGGGCCGGGUCUCGCUUGCGUCGCAUUGUGGGUCCCCCUCCAUUUUUUAGAAAUAGCGGGGCGUUUCUUUACACAAUUACACCAUUUGUAUUCUUGCCCUUUAUAUGACAGCAGUACAGCAAAGUCAGUAACGCCACACGCAUUAAUCGGCACCUCAUUAUCUCCGGGAUAGAUACUGAUAAUCUGGGCGAUCACUCUACACACAAACAGCAGUGUCUAUCCUGGCACUAAUGCCAUUAAUACUUUCCUUCUAUUGUAUGUAUACGCGGUGCAUGCAGGCCAGACGAAUUGGUGAUAUCACCGCUGAAUCGGCAUAGUAAUAGAGAUUUGAUGCAUGCAUUAGUGGCAUUAGUGUGCUUGCUUGUGCAUAUCCAACCAUCUAUCCAUCCAUCUAUAGAGUAGAGGUCAUCUUGUACUGACAGGGCAGGCUAGACCGCAUACACAUUGCUCAGUUUCUACUUUUUAGAUCACACCCAUCUGAAUUCUCGUUCGGGUCGUGUCUGUCGUUGCUGCGUGCGUACAUACUGAUGCCGAACACGACGGUGACCAGGUCAACCGCGGAGGACGCUAACGCCGGUGCUGGCGGUGAGCAGCAGCAGCCAGCGCCCAAGGAGGAGGAGCCCAAGCAGAAGCAGACGCCGCAUCGGCAAGCGUCAGCCAAGGCGGCCCACAGCAGCGCCGACUCCGAGCAGGAGCCAGCGGCCAAGGCGGAGCCUAGGCAGCCGACGCCGCAGAGGCAGCAGCCACCGCGCCAGGCGUCGAUGAAGGAGAAAGGCAAGGCGCCGAUGGUGCAGGAGCUCCCCGCGGUGGCGCCGCACGUCGCGGCCAAGGUGGCGGCGGCCGCGGCCGACGCGGUGGAGACCCUGGCCCGGCCGCCGGUGCCGCUCGUCGCGACCCAGCUCACCCGCAAGGAGAAGGAGGAGGACUGGUUCGCCAUGACCGGCACCAGGCUGCCCUACCGCCCCCAGCAGCGCCGCCCCAAGGCCGUCGAGGACAAGCUCCAGGUACGCCACGCACCGCCAUUCUUUUUUUGUCUGUCUUUCAUGCACGCGUUCGUCUCGGUGUUACUACGAGUGGUAAGGCUGACAUGAUCAGCGAUGUGUUGGCGCAGAAAAUGUCCCCGGGGCAGACGCUGCCUGAGGUGACCAGGGCCAGGUACAUGGUGCGCGUGAAGAAGCAAAAGAAGGUACCACUCCAUCUCCUGCCACUGCACACUUUUUUUUACCAGCCAACUUUAUUUUUACUUACAUUUACACAGCACCGUCAUUUCGUCAUUAGAACAAUGGCAUUAGUUUUUAUAUGAUUAUUUAGACUUUUCAGAUAUUUGGAUGAUACUUAUAAGGAUUAGUGCUAUACUGAUACUAUACGUAGAUGAUUGUAUACUUAUUUGUAUAGAGCUGGGAGGGUUUGCGCUUUCUAUUUAUCGUCCUAGCCGAUGUCACGUGGGCCCGGACCAUUGUUGACUGUGCAUGCGAGGUCGGGCUGCCGUGUCUAUGUGGCUGGCUGCCGACGUGCAGGUGUGUCCAGUACUGAGAUUUUGUCAUGUCUACACAGGGCCAGCCGUCGUGGAGGUCUUGGUAGCCAAGGCCCCGUNNNNNNNNNNNNNNNNNNNNNNNNNNNNNNNNNNNNNNNNNNNNNNNNNNNNNNNNNNNNNNNNNNNNNNNNNNNNNNNNNNNNNNNNNNNNNNNNNNNNNNNNNNNNNNNNNNNNNNNNNNNNNNNNNNNNNNNNNNNNNNNNNNNNNNNNNNNNNNNNNNNNNNNNNNNNNNNNNNNNNNNNNNNNNNNNNNNNNNNNNNNNNNNNNNNNNNNNNNNNNNNNNNNNNNNNNNNNNNNNNNNNNNNNNNNNNNNNNNNNNNNNNNNNNNNNNNNNNNNNNNNNNNNNNNNNNNNNNNNNNNNNNNNNNNNNNNNNNNNNNNNNNNNNNNNNNNNNNNNNNNNNNNNNNNNNNNNNNNNNNNNNNNNNNAGCCAAGCUUGAUAAUCUUUGUGUUGUUUUGCAGCGCCCCGGCCUGCGAGCAAUGGCGGAGGAGGACGCCCUGAGCUCCAAGAGGCACGACUCAGACGAUGACGCGGCGGGAGAAAAAAACCAUUUCGGUGUCGCCGAUGUAGAGGAGUGUGGUAGCCGGAGGAAGAGGGGUUGAUGGCAGCAGUAGAUUCAUGGGCAUUCAAUGAGCGUCAGUCGAAACAAAACAAAAACAAAAAAAAACUCUAUCUAGCGUUCGGCUCUUUUCCUUUUCUUAAAACUUUCGUUCGUUCGUGUCGUCGGUGACAGACGGUUCGUUGGUCUACAAAUGGUUGGUCCAAGCCCGCCGCCGCUGUUUCCGCACCUCCGUGGUGGGGGCCGGGGUGGCGGCGGGCUGUGCGUAGUACCAGACUUGGGUCCAGACUUGCAUAGCUUGGGGAAGAGCUUGGAAGAGGAAACAAACCUUUUCGCUCCAUUUCAUCGUUGUUGUUCGGUUUGCAUCGUUUUGCUUUUUCUUGGUUGAAUUUUGCACUGCCGGUUUUGUGCUUUGUGGGCGCUGUGUCCUGCCGAUAGCCGCCAUGGAUUUCUGUUUUGCAGGGACUGUUUGCCUCACUUGGGCAAGCGAGAUUCUCAAGUGGAUGGAUGAGAUAUGAUGAUGGGAUAUGGGCGCUGCUGGAGGCAAAAUUGUGCUAACUUGGCGAUGAGCUUUGCCACAAUGCCACACCUGCAGCUACAUGACUCAAAUCAGGGUACGCUCUUUACCACACCGUGGCUCUAAGAUUUACUGCUAGUGCUUAGUAGAGCGGCCUCCAUUUCGAUUAGUUUGAGCCGGAGCGAGCCUCUCAUUCCUUUUCCGUGCAUGCGAUAGCAGUGCAAGUCGGAGAGACGGGCCCUUCUCUAGAAUAUGCUCCAAUUCUCAUGGCGUUCUAUUAGGGCAUAUUUGGCACUUUAGUUAGAGAACAAGUAGAGUGCAAUGGAUUUAGUGUGUUGGUAUUUAAGGCCUGAAAUUGAUUUGGGCGCCACUCAAUUCCUACGAAAAAGAGAAAGGCCAGGCACCUAGCUAGGCGGCGACGACCCAACCAAUGAGGCCAUGCCAAGUACAGUGCCGGAGACAAGGGACAACAAUGGCGAAGGGCU